rnacentral:lncRNA from 1 species
AAUAGAAAACUACCAAGUUGUGUGAUUGGUUUCAUCUCGGCUUUGAGUUUCUAAGACAGUUUUGCUUAUACGACCAUGUUUCUUUUGUCAAUAGGAUAUACUUUUAGUUACAACAUUUGCUACUAUUCAUGGAUUUAUACUUUUAGUUCUACUUGUCAAGAAAUAGAGCAAACUAUGAUGCUUUUAUUUACUAUGUGGAAUAGACUUUGUGAGGUAUGAGAUGUUAGCAAUUGGGUAGGUUCAACUAUAAAGAGACAUGAAUUUCUUUUAAUUUUAUUAUGUUGUAUAAUGAGUACAAAUGUUAAACAUUCUUAUUAUAUUGUAUCUUCUAUAAUUUAUAUGGUUAUCAUUUUGGGAUGCAUUGUAGUGCAUUUUUUUUUAAAUAAAUAAAUUCUUUUCCUUCGGAUUUAAUGCAGGAAACGUGCCUACGGUCAGGAAAGUCCCUCAAACACUGAUCGAAUAUUUCCUGUAGAUAUAACUUUUCUGUGGAUGCUAAAAUUUUAAGGAAACAAUUAUCCACAAAGGUAUUACAUGGAAACCUAAAUCUUAGGCAAAAUUCACAGGAAACAGGUUUUAUGCGGAAACUUCAUCAAAAUCCGCAGGAAAAUCAAGAGUUUCUUAUAUUGUUAAUUAGUUUACCUAUGGAAAGAUUGUGAAAUAUAAAGAUGUUAUGUAUACCUCAAAGAUGAUAAAGAAUUAAGAAAUUUGAGUUUAGUCAAACUAUUUGGCUUGUAUGUAUACCCAUACAAAUAAUUUGAUGUUGAAGAUUGACAUUAAUCAAACUAUAUAGUUUAGUUUAUUUAUGAAAUGUUUCGUUCAUAUAUAAAUUUGGAAUUAUUUGUUAAAUUACUAUUAUGAAAAAAUUAUCUAUACCGUCUUUGUUAGAUGCUUUGGUAUUUGUUUUGCAAUGAGAUGCCUUGUUAUUAUUAUGUUUAAAUGAAUGAAAAUUGUUUCAUAUAUCUCAAAACAGUACCGUGAGCAGGGAGGGUUUUUUCACCCGGCGAGAAAUUUACAAGAAAUUUAUGGUAUCGUUACAGAAAAUUGAUUUGUAGUAACAACCGAAAUUCGUCACUAUAUGAUUAAUUUCCGUAGUUAAAUUCGUCUGUCAUUGCAGAAUAGAUGUUGCUGCAUGUUUUCCACCUUUACCUACGGACAAAACCGUAGGUAAAUUUAAAGAUACUAUUUUAAGAACAUUAAGGAUCUCUAUCUACGAUUGUGACUGUCACUAAAACUUAUCAUUGUUUUAAUAUUUUCUAUUCUACUAUGAAUUCUAAAAAUGAAUAAUUCAUCAAAUUACCACUAAAACUAUUUUAAUCAAUAUAAUAAAAUUCCGUCCCUAAUUAUAAGACCCUUUUGAGAAUUUUUUUGUCCCUUUUUAUAAGACCCCUUUGUUAUUUCCAACUACAAUAAUUAUUUCUUUACAUACAUGUCUCUAUUUAUUAUACAUCUUUUUCUUUAAUCAGCAAUAAAUAACAUGUUGAAAACAUAAACCAACUCUCUCUCUUAAAGGAUAAAAUUGUAAAAACAAUAGUAAUUACAAACAUAUUUAAUACAAAUAUCUACAUCUUAAUUCCCGUUAUUUUUUUAAAAUGGUCCUAUAAUAAGAGACGGAUGUAGUAAUCAAUAUCAUUGGAAUUUGAAAUUGACUACUAUAAUCAAUUUUUAGAAUAAAUUCUUGAAGUGCCUUAACAAGAAUAAUUCUCCCUAACUAUGAACUAUUAUACCAUUCACCCAAACCAAUAUUCAAUACCCACAUAAAUACUCAAUACUCACAUAAAUCAAAAUCUAUACAUACUCCACUACUCAUUUAAUUUAUGGUAAUAAGAUUUGAUUCACUAGUCAUAAUAGCUUAUUAGACAAAAUGACAUACUAUCAAGUUACAACUUACAAUCACUUCAUACCUAAUAAAACUUACAUUCAAUUCCACAACAAGUUCAUACAAAUUGUACUUUUAUUGACAAAAUGAUAACCCUCUUUUAUACCAAUAAUAUUGUUGCCUAUAUGCAAACAAGUAUGCUUCCAAAACACUACUAGGAAAAGCAAAAUUAGCGAGGGAAAUUAGUAACGGAAAAAAUGAAAUUCCUCACAAAUUCCUUGGUCGCAAAAUUUAGUGACGGAAUUAGAGAGGGAUUUCAUGUUUUCCCACACUAAAUAUCCCUCACUAAUUUUUGUUUUUUUAGUAGUGAAAUUCGGAAGGUUAACUUCUAAUAUAUGUUAUCUUAACAUAUUUUUCAAAUGUUUGGAGACAAAAUUCCGUUAUUUAGUUACAAAUGUUCAAGAACGUUGUGCAAGUUUGAUUUUUAAAAUACUUUGAUGUAAUUUGAUUAUGUGAAACAAUGAUAUUUAGUGUUUAUUUUGUGUCUAGUUUUAUGAUAUUAAUGAAUGAUUUUGUAACUUUGAAUUUGUGUAGUGUUCGAUAUGAAAUUUGGUUCAAUGAUAUUUUAUAUUAGUGGUUAUGAAUGAAAUUUUAGAUUAAUUUAUGAAAUUUUGUUUUAAAAUCAUGUAUAAUAUGCAAGAAACUAAAAAAAAAAGAAUUUGAAUUUAAAUGGGUUGAACUUUUUUUUUUUUAUUUUUUUUUUAUAAUGUUUGAGCCAUUUUUAUGUGGGGUGAACGGACUUAAUUAAUAGCUUUUUAAGUCGGAUAAAAGAUAGACUUAAAAUUAAAAUAGUUAUUAAGUCGGUCACCUAUAAGUCGGAUAUGAACCGACUUAAAAAGUCAUUUUCACCCCACUUAAAAAGUGUUUUAUGCACUAUUCGUGAACAAGAAGAAGAUGAAAUUUAUAUGAACUUGUUUGAAGUUUUUUUUUUUUUAUAAGAAAUUUGUUAUUCCACUUUUGAAAUUAAAAGAAAUGAUAAGUACAUAUAAGAUAAUCAUAUGUGCAUAUUAUUAUUUGCUUAUAUUGAUGUGUGUGAAUAACUUAAUUAUCUUUGUUUACUAUUCUCUUGUGUUGAAAAAUAGUCUUUGUAAAUCUUUUGAUGUGUACGACUUUGAAGAAGUAAUAUUUUGAAUUAAAAUUACUAGUUUGAAAGAGAUUUUUUUUCCAGUAAACUAGCUAGCAAAAUUCUCUAUAAUUCUAGUGUAAAGAUGUUCAAGAACACUGAUUAUCCGACGAAUUUGAACAUCAAGGGGUUGUUAUAAACUAGAUCGUGUUGUCCCGCCAAUAGAAAUAUAUAAGUUGACAGGGCGGUAAGAUCUAGUUCAAAAACAAAAACCCUCAUGAAACACCUUCCCUUUCAUCUUCAUUCAUCUUAUUAUGUUGGUUUACGUCGUUUAUUUUUGCGUGUUAUAAACCAUGCAAAACCCUCCAAACCUCAUGUUUUAACACAGUCUGGGAUGAUUCAGAUUAUAUAAUCCGAACCAUCCCAGAACGCGGAGUGUGGCUUGGACAGUUUGUGGUACGUUAUUUGUAUUUUUAGUAGAUUUAGAUUGUGUAAAUAUUUCUUUUUGACUGCAAUUAUUGUCUAGAAAUGUUUUAUGGCUAUAAAUAUCCUUACAUCCUUUAUCGUUUUCAUUCAUUAUUAACUUCUCAAUCAUUCUAAAAUUCUUCACUGUUGACCAUUCAUAUGAUCUCUAAAAUUGCUUUGUUUUUUUUUUUUUUUGGAUCGUAUUAUGGUUAACAUAGACCUUUCAUUUUAAUUUAUGCACCAUUUAUGGGUUUCAGUAUGCUCGGAUUUGAUAAUCCAAUUUUUUUUUUAUAAAAGGGUUUAAAUUUUCUAAUCCAAACAAAUGAUAUUUUUGGAGAGAAACAAAAUAGAAUGGGAAAUGUAUGGUCAAAUAUUUUGGUCUUUUUGGAACUAAAAAAACAAGGCGUCCUCCAAAAUUAAAUUGGAGCCCGGCAAGUUGAAAAUCAUUCAUGAAUCUCCAUAUCAUUUUUAUUAAUGGGCAAUCCCUCUGAUCCUCUCCAAUAAAUGGAGUUAGACUUUAAAACGACGAAGUGGUGGAAAAUCUAAAUAGUUUUAGUUUUGUAAUCUACUCAUCCAAAAAGAGAAAAUAAAAUGGAAUAACAGUCAUAAUUUGUCCCUACCAAUCACUCUCUUGUCAAUUUAACCCUUAAACUAUAAAAAUCAACUAAAAAGUCUCUAAAUUAUUCUCUCAUCCAACUAUUUAGUCCUUUAAUUAACAAAAUUGGUUGAUUUUUUUUUAUUUUUUUUACAAAAGCUAAAGAGAACAGCAAGAAACAGAAAAAGAAAAAGACUAUGAUCUCAAAAAAUAAGUUCAAGUGGCAUCAUUUAGAAGGAGAUGCAAGAGCUCCUUCGGAGGAGAUACAUGAUGCAAAAGAACAAAUAACUAAAAUGAAGUUCGAACAUUGAUUCCCUUCAUGUAAAGUAUGGCAAACCGUUGUAUUGUUUUGGUUGAUUUUCAUGAUAGUAAUAACCAAAAUGAUGCAUUUUCUACCGUCCAAUGAUUUUUUUUUUUUUAGAGAAGUCCAAUGAUUUUUUGUUAGUUGAUUUUAAUAAUUUAGAGACUAAAUUGAUGAGAAGUGAUAAUUUAAGAACAAAAUUGAUCAUUUAUUCAAAUAAAAUGGAACAAGUUUUAUGUAUUCUAGAAGGAAGCAUCUCAAUAUAGUAUCUGGUCCACAUAAUAGACUCACGGACCAAAGCUCUAAUCACUAGUUAUUGGAUCAAACAUAACUAUUACUUCCUCCCUCCCGUAAUAAUUGAGUCAUUUGUAAAAAAAUAUUGUCCUAAGAAUUUUGAUCCAUUUCAGUUUUCAAUACAACAUUAAUUUUUUUUUUUUCUAAUUAUAACUCUAAUAAAUAAUACUUUCACCACUCUCAAUUCAAUAUAUUAUACUUUACAUUUAUGAUAAAGAAGAAUAUUACACCAAUACUUGCCAAAGACAUUCAAAAUUAUUUUUAUCUCUCUUUCAUUUAUACAUUUUUCUUAAUCUAUAUGAAAAGGUAAAUUAGCUCAGUUAAAUUGGAACGGAGGGUGUAUGUUCUUAUUGAAAGAUUAACAAAGUUCUAUUAUGAUUAAAAAAUCUCAUUCGUGAACUACCUUGCUCGGAGUGGUAAUGACUAUGUCAUAAAGUUGCUGCUCAAGGUUUGUGACCCUCCCUCAAAAAAAAAAAAAAAAUUAAGUGACCCUAAAUCACUAAUGGCCAACAAGAUUUCAUCUUCAAUAUUUAGGGGAUGUAUUGGAUUAGGAUUCUAUGGGAUUUUAAAAGACUUUUUAAUUAUGAAAAAGUCUUGUGGUAUUCAAUCAAGACUUUUUGCAACUUAAAAAAAGUCUUGUGGUAUUCAAUCAAGACUCUUUGUCAUUUUAAAAAAGUCUUGAGGUAUUCAAUCAAGACUUUUCAUCACUUAAAAAAAGUCUUGUGGUAUUCAAAAUCAUUCAAAUUUCGAAGGAUUGUUUAAUAAAUUAGAUUUUGAUGGAUUUUGUGGAAUUUUGUAGUGUAAUUUUAAUAAGAAAAAGUCUUUCAUAAAAAGAUGAGAUUUCUUGAGAUUGUUUUUCUUUUAAAAGUUAGUAUCUAUUUCUUCUCCUUUCUCCCUCCCUCCCUCCCCCUCCCUAUUCUAUCCUUUCUCUCUUCGUUUCUCUAUCUCUCCACUCUCUCCACUCUCUCUCUCUCUCUCUCUCUCUCUCUCUCUCUCUCUCUCUCUCUCUCAUCCCCCCUCUCUCUAUGUCAUAAAAAAAUAAAAAAUUGUAUUGGGAAUAUUAUGAUAGAGAGUAUGUCGUAAUCAAUGAUCCGCAAAUCGAGUGUUAACUCUCCGAGAUUAUCGAGUUUAUGUUUUUAGGUACAAAAAUCGUGUUAACUCUGAGGUAAAAUCGGUUUCUGAUAAAAUUGGAAGGUUUAACGAGUUUGACUGAGUUAACACUCGGUAAACUCGUGUAACUUGACCGAUUUGUAAUGGCUGACAUAAUAUUUUUUUUUUAAAGAUUUGUAAGUGCUAGCAUAAUUUUAAAUAUGUACAAUUGAAUUUUGUGGGAAUAACAUUUUUAACAAAUAAAAAAUGUGUACUGAGAAUAAUGUGUUAAGAGUGUUUUUUAGUCCCUUAAAAUCUUAUAAAAUUCUUAAAAUUUGAAAAUCAAUAGUAAAAGAAUUUUUUAUUGAUUUUAUUUUUCUUUAUUCAAACGCUAGAAUUUAUUUGUUCAUUAUUUUUAUCAUCCACGCUUGUAAGUUUCUUCUUUUUCCCCUAAAAUUUAUUGAAUCCUUUGAAAUUUUAAAAUCACAUAAAAUCCUUUGAAAUCCUUAAAAGUCAGUGUGAUAAAUCCUUUAAAAUCUUGAGUGUAUAAAGUCUUUUACAUAAAAAGUCUUUUAAAAUCUCACAGAAUCAAUACAAUCUCACAUAGUCUUUAAAAAUCUUAAAGACUUUUUUUAUUAAAAUAGUCUUUUAAAAUCCUAAUCCAAUACACCCCUUAAUUGGUGUUAAGGGAUUUCGGAAUUUAUUUUUUAACUCCAUAAACUUAUAGUAAGUAGUAAAUCUCAAGUGAAAUCUAUUUGCAGCAAGAUUCAAUACAACUUUGAAAAGUAAUAAUUGUAUGAUGAGGAAAUCAUUGGUAAAAUUAUGUAUUAACGAGAACAUAAUGUAAUUUAAAACAAUGAUUUCCAUGUGAAUAAGUCAUGUACCUUGCAAAACACCCACAAGAUGAAGUUAGUUACUCAGGGUUCGUGAAAUUACCACAAUUGCUUCAAAAUAGUUGGUGUCUCCUUUGUGAAAAAACAAAUCAAUAGAAAAAGUCAAAUGAUGAAACAAAUGACAUACAAGAAAUAUUUCUGCAAAAUUACCUGCGGAUUUUGGUAGAAACUCUAAAUUUUCUAUCGGAAUUACCUACGGAUAUUAGUGAAAACUUCGCAGGAAACUUGUUCCUGCGGAUUUUGUCAAGGAUUUAUGCUCCCAGGUAAUAAUACCUUAAUGGAUAAUUGUUUUCUUAUGAUUUUAGAAUCCUUAGCAAACAUUCGGUCAAUGUAUGAGGAGUUUCCUCAUGCCCGUUAGCACUUUGUUGCAUACAUACUCACAAGUAGUUCCAUAGCAAACUACGCAACAAAAUUGAAACAAUAUCAGAGAAAAAUAAACUGCAGGAAAAUCCGCAUGAAAUUGAUUUAUUUUUAAAAGAAUAAUAAUGCAUCUCAUUGCAUUACAAAACGAUAAAAAUAUAAAUUAUAGACGAUACAAUUUCUAUCCAUUUCAGCAAUUAGAACAAAUUCGAAGUGUAAACCAAAAGAAUGUUUAACAAUUGCAUUAAUCAAACAUCAAAAUAAAAUUAAAAGAAACUCAUGUCUCUUUGUAAUAAUUCAUAAUUCAUAAAAGACAAUAAUAUAAUUCAUAGUAAUAUUGAAGCAACCCCUUUAUGCAUUUGUAUUUGAUUUUGCACACUGGACAAGCUUAGUUCCCCUUUCGUGUUUUAUACUCAAAGCAAGUAAAAAGCGUGAGGUAACCCACUUAGGUUGAUCUAGUGGUAUUGACUUGGGACCUGGGAGUGUGCUCCUCCUCGAUGUCUCAGGUUCGAUUAUCACCGAUGUCAAUUUGGGUAGACUAAUUUAACUUCUUAAAAAAAAAAAAAAAAGUAAAAAGUGAGGUGUCCAUGAAAAUGACAUACUUAGAAUGCUAAAGAAGAAAAUGGGAUCAGGAAUUCAUGUUAUGUGACCCUGCAAUUAGUCUCCCAUUAGUGUCCAUUGAAACCAGCACUCAGCACCACCUCCUGCAUGUAUAUCAACUGCAUCUUUCAGAAUUUAUUCAACAUUUAAUCUAGUUACAGAGAACUAAAGUAAACAUUAUAGUUUUUAUUAUCCUAUAUUUUGCUUAAGCUUAAGUUUUAGUCGAAGGAAUAUGAAUUGUUUCUAUAUUGACAUUAGAUACUGACAGCAGGUAGGACGAAAAAUGCAACAAAAAUGAUAAUUGAAGGACCGUUUUGUUUUGUUUUAAAAGAGCAGGACCAGUUUCGUGAGUAGACCAAAACACGAGGACCAAAAAUGUAAUUAAGCCUAUAUUAUAAUUAUUUUAGAAUCUCCUGUCAUGACAAUAGUCAACUUAAAAUUUUGGAAGCUCGUUAUUUUCAAACAAACAAAAAAAAACUUGAUUAAACUGCAGUUUUGACCCCCUAAUUUUCACAAUGUUGCAAUUUUGGUCCCCUAUUAAAAAAAUGAAAAUUUGAAUCCCUAUGUUUUAGCCCCUUUGCAAAAGUGACCUUUUGGUCAAUUUUGAUCGGGUCAACACGGAAGUGGCAUGCUACAUGUGUAUUUUCUCUUUUUUUUUUAAUUCAAAACGCCACCUGUGUAAUACUUGAAUAAAAAAUGGGUAAAGGAUUGGCACGUGAGAGUUUCCAACGGUAAAAAACUCCAACCUUAAAAACCCCCCAAUUCUUCAACCCUUCUUCUUCAUCUUUUCUUCUUCAUCAUUUCUUGUCCAUAAUUGAACCUUCAUCUAUUCUUCUCCAACCAUCUUAUUCAGCCAUUCUUCUCCUUUCUUCCACAUCGAUUCUUCCUCUACAUCCUUUCUUCCUUCCACAUCGAUUUCUGUCUUGUGUUUGCAGAUCGGAAAACAGAAAGUGGCUGGUAACAAUUCAUCUUCAACUGUUUCUGGGUCAUCAAGUAUGGCGAAAUCGAGGUUGGUUUGUUAUUGUGGUGUUGAAUCACCUCUGGUCACUUCUUGGACGGAUGAAAACCAAGGAAGGAGGUUCCAUGGUUGUGGAAAGUAUUUCCAGAGAAGAAAAUGCAGCUUUUUCAGGUGGUUUGAUCCAGAAGUGCCUGAGAGGCAGAAGAAAUUAACUAGAGGACUUUUGAAGAAGAAUGAUGCAAUGAAGAAGAAGACGAAAAAGUUGGAGUUAACAAUUGUAGUUUUAGGGAUGUUGUUGUUUUUAAGUUUGUUUGUGAUUUUCAUUAAGCUUGGUUAACUUAUGGAUUGAUGUAAUAUUGGUAUGAUUUUUUGAUGCAAUGUAUCAGUUAUGUAAUGUUGCUAUGAUUUUGAUGUAAUUUCUGCUAUUGGCAAAGAAUUAAUGAAACAGGUUUUAUGUUUUGGCAAAGUUUACUGCAUUAUAGUACGUAAAUACUUGACAUUGAAAUGAGCAUAACAUAGUAUUACUUCACAUUCACCAAAUGCAAAAUACAUGAAGAGUACUUAACAUUAUAGUACUUAAGAUGACAUAGGUUUAAAAAGUGCAUUAACCUUAUAUAACCAUAACCAAAAUAGAGAAUUUAACCAAAAGAUCAUAACCAGUACUUUAGAGUACUUAACCUUACAUAACCAAAAUAAAAGAUAAAGAGUACUUGACAUUAAACGACCUAAAUUAACCAAAAUAUAACAUCAGUCUCAUUGUCAUUCAUUGCCAUUCCAAACUUAAGUUUUGUUCACUGAUUGUUGAGUCCCCAUAGUUGCCAUCUCAUCACUUUUCCUUUUAGCUCCAGCAAGCCUUGACCUUCUAGGCACAAACAAAGAUGAAUCACCAACAAUAACAUGCUUGCCAGAUGUGUUACUGGUUGUAGCAGUUACAUGAGAAGCAGUCACAUUAGCAGCAUUAGCAUGAGCAUCAGUUACAGGAGCAGCAGUUACAGAACCAACAUGGUUGUUUGUACCAGCAGUACCAGAUGUAACAUUUGUAGGCCCUUUGGUGUUUGACUUUGCAGCAACAGUCUUAGUAUUUUGUUUUUGCUUGUUUUGGGUGCCACAGUUGCAGGUGCAUUGUUGUUGGGAACUUUAUCAGGUUGUAUGACAGAAGAUGUUGCAGUUGCAGGUGCAGGUGCAUUUAUGUUGACUGAAGCUUGUGCAUUUGAGUGUUGUGCAUUUGAAGCUUGUGGAUUUGAAGCCUUAGGGUGUUGAAUAUCAGUAUUAUCCUACAAUAUCACAAAGUGUGUUAUAUAUCAGAAGUUGUGUUAUAUAUCAUAAAGUAUUAUAACCUAGAAAGUGUGUUAUUACCUUGUUCCCUCCAGGUCUAAUUGACCUAUCAGCAGUUGUUUUACCCUUACAAGUCCUCAUGUUAUGUCCAAGUUCCUUACAUAUUGUGCACCUCACAGUCUCCUGAUUUCUCUUUCCCUUCUUGCUAGUUGACUUAGGCUCAUCAUUAUCCUUCCUCCUAAGCUUCUUUGGCCUCCCAGGUGCCCUUCUGACUAAAGGUGGAAGUAUUUGUGGAAGGUUCACUUCUGGCCAUAGCUUUGGUCCAUUUGAAGGCAUGAUCAAAUUACCAUAUGUAUCAAAGAAAGUUUGCUUCCAGUCAUGUGAAACCAACCAGAUUAUACUCAAUUAACCACUUAAAUUAAGAAUACAUAAAGUCAUAUAGAACUAAAGUGGGCAAGGAAUACCACUUAAUUCCCACCUUCUACAUGCACAUGUCCUCUCUUUGAGAUUAAUCACAUAAGUAUCACUUCCAUUAGAAGCACUAAAGUGAGCAUAUUCUCUAUCACCAUGCCAAGUUGGUGACCAAUUAUUUGCAUCCUUCUUAGCCUUGUCCAAUAUUUUUUUGAUCAUUGGACAAAUACCACCAGAAUACCUCAACAUGCAAUCCCUUAAUCUAACUACCCUAUUGGUCAUAUAGAACUUUAGUCCCUCAAUAAGUGAAAUAACUGGUUGCUCCCUUAACUCAAUUAUUGAAGAGUUAAAUGUCUCACACAUGUUAUUGACUUGUAAGUCACAACAUGUGUGAGUACUGUAUCCUGCCCUAUUCCACAUACCUGGUGGAUAUUGCUUCAUCUCAUCCCAAGCUGCCUCACUAUGACUUUUCAGUUUGUCCAUAGCCAUGUUAAAAUCAGGCAUAAUAUUUCCCUAGUUGCAGAGUGCUCACUAACAUGUCUUUUCCAAAAAUUCUCAUACAAAUAUCACAAUCUCAUCAUUUCCAGGAAACUUAAACCUAUUGUAUUUCUUAUUUUUCCUUGCAUUACCAUCCUCCUCACCUGAUUCACAACUUUCUAGAAAAUCUGAGUCUCCAUUCUCAUCUUCAAAAUCUAGCUAAGUUGUGGCCUCAGUGUUCCUUGAUGCUUCAACACCAACAAUAGCUUGACAAGAGUUGGAUGACUGAGCAACAGGAGUUAGGUUCAAAGUUUGGUUAGGAAGCACAGAAGUCCACUCCCAUUCUUCAUCAAAAUCACUGUCAUCAACUGACACUCCAUCAACAUUUUCAGUUUCAGCUUCAGACUCAUGCUCAUCACCCUCAUCACCAACAUACUCAGGAUCAGAUUCUUCUUCAUCUUCAAGUUCAGCUGGUUCUUUCUCUUUAUCUAACACAACAACUUCUUCCUCAUCACUCACAUACCUUCUAUCAAGUCCUUCCAAAUCCUUAUCAGCUUCCACAUAAAAAUCAGCAGCUUCAUGAUUUAUGUGAUCAUUUACGAAUCUAAUGACAUCCCUAUCAGUUUUCAAAGGCCUAAGACCAUCACUCAACUCCAACCUGGACUGACAUAAAACAACUUAUACUCACCUUCCACACCAACCUCUCUCACUAGAUUGUUCAAAUCUUUGAGGUUUGUCUUAUCUAUGUGUAACUCACCACCAAAUUCAUAUACUUCACCCUUCUUAUAAGCUAUAACAGGGUUAGAAAUGAAAUACCCUUGGUGGUGAAACCUUAUCUUCAAUGAAUGGUUCUCAACAACCCUACAAAAAUUGAAUAAAAACCAUUUACUAUUUAAUUCAUAGUGUAUUACAUCUGUAUGAAUACUGUAUUUUCAUACAGUAUUUAUACUCAUACUUCUUUCAUACGAAUGUAAACCAAAAAAGCCAUAUAAAAUUAACAUUUUCCAGUUUUUCAACCGUGCAUAAUUAAAUACAGUAUUCAAUACUUCCAACAACCCUUUUUUAUUCAGAAAUAAUGUAUGAUGAGCUUUGAUUUAUAGUUAAACAGACAUAUGAAAACAAAAAAAACACUUACUUUGAAGCAUCCAUGUCAGGAAUCUGUCCAGAGAACACGUUUCUUUGAGUUGAUGGAACUUCCAUAUUCGAAUCUUUCGUCUUCUCUGAAUCUUUAGUUGUCGUCGCAUCAUUCUUCUUAGUCUUUGUUCUUGUACUCCCCGUCACAUCUUUACUCUUCCUCGUCGAACCCGUACUCGCCGUCUCCUUUCCAUUUUCUUUCCAUUUCAUUUUCAAAACAAACAGAGAUGAUGAAGGAUAUUCGAUUUCGGAAACUAUUUGGGAAGGAGAUUAUGGAUGAAGAAUUGAUUUGGAAACUUACGGGGUUGUGGUUUUUCACUGAUGUUAAAAUUUGGGAAAAAUUUUAACCCUAGAAUCUGAAAGAAACUCUCACGUGCCAAUCCUUAUAUAUUUUCUUUUUUCUUUUUUUUAUUCAAGUAUUACACAUGUGGUGUUUUCAAUUUAAAAAAAAAAAGGGAAAAUACACAUGUGGCAUGCCACCUCCGCGUUGAUCCGGUUAAAAUUGACUAAAAGGUCACUUUUGCAAAGGAACUAAAACAUAGGGGUUCAAAUUUUCAUUUUUUAAAUAGGGGGUCAAAAUCGCAACAUUGUGAAAGUUAGGGGGUCAAAACUGCAGUUUAGCCAAAAAACUUUGCUAAAACUAUACAUAAAAUAACUAGCAAAAUAAACAUGUAUUCUCAUAGAUUUGCUGAUUUUUUCUUGAUAGUUAAGGUACAUUAUAUUAAGCUAUAAUUUUUUUAAAAAUAAGUUAUAAAAUAUUAUUAAAAUACAAUUGAUAAUAUUAUGCACUUAAAUGUAAAAUUUAUUGUACAAUGUAUGUUUUUAUAAUAAAUUGCUAUUAUAUUAUAAUUAUUUUGUCCUUCAAAAAUAAAAGAAUUAUAAAAAAAAAAAAAAAUUAUCAAACCUUGACGAUUGCAAACAUUGUUAAUUAAAUAAAAAAAUAAAAUUAAUAUAUAAAAUAAAAUAAUUAUAAAUAUGAAAUAAUUCACACACAAUUGAUUUUCUCACAUACUCAUGAACUAAACACAACUUUGAAGAAAUGUAUUUCAAUCACAAACUACAUGCAUGAACCACCAACAUAUCUUGCAAAGAAUACAUAUAUGUCUCAUUCUUCAUUUGUCAAAAAAAAAAAAAAAAAAAGUCUCAUUCUUUAUGUAUCAAUAUAACUUUUGGAGUCAUGUAUUUCAAUCAGAGACAAACACCAUCGACAUAUGCAUGAACAACCACUAUAUCUUUCAAUGAACAUAGAUUUUCCUCAUUCUUCAUGUAUUAAAUAAGUCUCAUUGAGACAUGCAAGUCAUAUGAGAAUAAAUUUUAUAUAUGUUCGAAAUACAAAGAAAUUCUCAAUUUUAACACUUUUGCAAACACAUGAGCAUAAAAAAUCGUUACAACAUAUAAUAUUAAAAAUAAUUAGUACACAUCGAUCUAAAUAUUUAUACUAUAUGCAUGUAUUAUUCAACAAAAAUUUAUGCCUUCUACGAAUGGGGCCUUGAGAGGUCGUGCAUCCUUAUCAUGCUCAUGGCGACUACUGGCUACCAUUAUGAAUAUUAUUUUUUUUAAGAAAAAACAAUACAAUUUAAAAUAUAAUAAGACAACAAAUUAUUCUGAUUCCUUAAAAAUUAUAAUUAAAUUGAAAUUUAUCAUAGAGAUAAAGAUAAUAUAUUAUUUGUAUGUUGAUAGAUUUUUCGUAGAGACUCGUAAGGAUGUGCGGUGAUAGGUUAGAAUACAAAAUCUCCUCGUGAUAGAGAACGAGGAUGAGAGAUAUUUUGAAGGGUUAGGAUAAGGAGCGAGGACCACGUCCAGAUUUUCUUCGUUAAACCAAACAAUUUGAAUAUUAUUGAAAGUCAUUUAUUUAAAAUAUUUUCUAGCACAAUUGAUAAUUGAACAAAAAAUAUAUACAAUUAUAUAUUAAAAAAUUCAUAAUUUUGGAGAGAUAUAGACACAAAAAAUCUUGAUUAUGGGACCCAUUUAAUUAAAAUAUCUACUAUCUCUUUUUUAUGUCUAUCUCUUUCCAAAUUGUAUCCUCCAUUUAUUUUGAUAAAUGGAGAGGAUCUUAACUCCCUAUGGAUACUUGUUAACAUUUUCCUAUAUUUUAAAUAUGUAAACGUAAUAAAAAGAUAGACAAUCAUAUGCAUAACCAAAUGUUCUAGAGGGUUAAUCUAAGAAGUUGUCUAUUUUAUAAAAUAUUUUGAAUUGUCAGAUAAAUAUUUUAUUAUGUAAGACUACAUUUUAUUUUCUUUAAGCUUGCAAUUUGUAAGUUAUGAUUUAUGAUAAAUACUCUAUAUUUUUGUAUGGAUGUUUAUGUGAUAGAUAUUUUGCAUGAAUGUUGAUUUAAAGAAUGUUUUAUGCCCUCGUCCAAUCCAUCUAUAUAUACAGUUCAUGAUAUUGUUGUGUAAUUGACGGAUACAUGCAUGAGUUACAACUUAUUUUUGUAGGGCAAUAAUGUAAAUUAGGGAACCACUUAUGUGGAAACAGCACCUCACUUCAAUUACGUUGAGAAUCGUCGCAAAUCAAAUAAGAAUUUCUCAAUUCCUUUUUCAAUAUUUCGAUCAAAAACUAAGUUUUUCUACUGGUGAUAUAUAUUAAUAUUAUUAUAAAUCCUCUUGACGAGACAAGAUUUAUGAAGAUCCAUAGCGAGUUUGAAGUAUUCCAUUGAUUACAAUUUUUCAUAUUAACCAUGUUUCGUCCACAAUCUUGGAACAAAAGUGGUCCCAUGAGGAACAAGCUUAGAGGAGUUGAACUUCUUCGAUUCUUUAGUUUUGUUUAGACAUUUCAAGGUUGAUUGUUUCCUUAUUUCCUUCAGUUUUAUUACUUGUACAAAUUCGAUAGUACACAUUCAAUGUAUAGUGAUAUGUGAAAUAAUAAUAUUCUUUGUCCAUGUCUAGGUCAGUUUGGCAUUUAUAGUCCCCUUUAAAAUUCAUGUUUUGUAUGCCGAAUAAGUUAUAUCUAAUGAAAACUUAAAAUUUUAAAGAACAAGAGUUAAAUAAAAUGUUCGAACUGGUCUUAUAAUAUAACGCCAAUGGUGGAAAUAAAAUAGAUAAGUACAACUAUCAAGCUUAACAAAAAGGAAUGUGUAGGAACUCUUAAAAGAAAAUUAGACUUUACAUAAUAGCACGUCAUAGUUUCAAGUCUAAGAUAAAUAGAAUUAUCUCACCAAGCUCAAACCCAAAAUAAUAAUAAUACCUCACGAAUGACCUGACUAUCCUAUUGUGAAUAAGUGACUCUGAAGCUACUAUACAAAGAUGUAUCUAUGUGAAACACCAAAUAACUAAGAAAAAUUACCACCUAGAUUACGUGAAAGAGCCGUGACAUUUGAUUCAUAUGUUUAAUAGCAAAGUUCGGAUUUUUCUUUAAGUUGUUGUUUGCACAUUAGCAAUAAAAAGUUGAACUACACACACGCACACUUUAUACCAAUGUGGGGUGAAUGAUCCAAGUUGUGUUGGAGUGGGGUGACUUAGAUUUUUGAUGUGGUAUCCAUACUAGAGGGUUAUCUUACUCAUGUCUUAUUAAAUGCAUACUUUCAUUAUAUUUUGCUAGACAUUUGGAACUUUGGUUUAAUGCUUGUUAUUUCCAUCAUUCGAGGAUGAGAAAUGUUCAAGUUUGGGGGUGGGCAUUAUCAUACCCUAGUUUAAUGAAGCCUUUGAGUGAAUGCAUGGCCUCCUUCUUGUUUGUGUUUAUUUAACUCUUGUAAAAAAAAAUAUUUUGCAUUACUCGAGGACGAGCAAUGAUUAUAGUUUGGGGGUGUGAUAAUGGCAAUGUUGUUUUUCGAGCUCAGAAACGUAUCUUUUAAUAAAAUCGAAAUCACCGCCAAAGAUAUCACCACCAAAGAUAUUACCGGGUUGAGUCUGCUUCACGUCCUAAUAAAAUUGGUAUCACUGCCGAAUGGAAUACCGGGUUGAGUCACAACCCGGUCGCUUUCUUUAAGACGUUUCACGGCACUAUCCAAGUUUGUACAAGGUAGACUAACAACUAUGCGGCUCCAGGAUUAGAAGCCCCUAGUUCACCUGUUCGAUUAAGUACUACACCGUAAAUAAUCGUUCGAGAAAUAACACCCUCAGAUAUGGUACUAAGAUCACUCUUAAUACUGAAACCAAUAUGGUAUUGUGACCAUUCUACUAUGGUGCUGCAACCACUCAAAUAUGGUGUUACCACCAUUCUAAUUUUGAACUUCUCAAAAUAUCAAUAUGGUACUUCAACCACUCAAAUAUGGUGUUACGACCAUUCUAACAUCUUAUGUUUAAGAUCAUUCUCAUUGCACCGAAAAUGAAUAUGAUCUUAAAAUAUUAUUUAUUCAUUUUUUUUUUUGGUAGAUAGACAAAAUGGCAAAGCCAUUAUAAAUUCACACACACAAGUGAAGGAACCGGGAUUCGAACCCCAGUCAUGGCAUCCGCCCUAACAAUUUUGGCAUUUUGCCAGUUGAGCUAGGACUUCCGGAUAAAUAUUAUUUAUUCUAAAGAGGCAUAAAUUGAAGGGACUAUGCUCUUAAAGACCAUUCUUAUUUUUGAAAGGACAAUAAACUGAAUAGGGACUAUGGUCUUAAGAACACUCUUAAUUUUGAAGGGGCAAGAUGAGUAGAAAAAGGAGAAGGACUUGUUGACACGAGUCGAAGGAGGGAGAAGAGAGGAAAAACAUAGGAAUCAUCAACUGUGAAUUUCGGUGUGUCGAAUGCACUUUGUGAGCUCUCUAUUUAUAGGGAAAUUCACAACUAAUAAAUGAGAAACUUUGGAAGCAAGUAAUUCUCAUAUUAGAUCUAGUACAAAAAUAUCUCAACUUGAGUAUCAAAAUAUAUCAUAUUGAGUACAAAAUAUAUUAUUCAGUGCAUAAAUAUAUUAUUGAGUAUCAAAAUAUAUUUCAGAUCAUGUACUAAAAUAUAUUAGAUUACCUACCAAAAUAUUUCAUAUUGUAUUCCAAAAUAUUCUAGAUUGCGUUCCAAAAUAUUUUAGCAAAACUUGGGGACUAAAAAAGCACUUUCUAAUAAUGAUUAAAUUAACUAUCUAAUUUAUCAUUUCCAAAUAAUAAAAUGUAUAUCAAUAUAUAUAUUAGAGGUACAUCCCCACCAUAUAAACACUACUAAUGUGUGAUCCAUCUGAUGUGGGACUUCCACUUUUUUCAAUUCACACUACAUUAGUUCUACCCAUUGUGUGAAUUUAUGUUUAGUCAAUUACUCAAAUUUUCACAUAUUUUCCAACAUACAAAUAUGUCGGUUAUUACCUUGCAUUUAUCUCCCAUUAUAUGUGAUCCUCGAGUGCAUGCAAAACAUAUUUAGCCUUUAUUUAGUCUAGUUACCUUGCAUUUUACUUGUUAUGAAUUAAUUAUUAAGAAUAUUUUUGUAUUAAGGAUAUUUUUGUAUAUUAAUUAAAAAAUAUAAAUAAAGAAAAUUAAAUAAUUUGUAUUUUAAUUUUAAACACCAAUGUAAAUUGGUGGUAAUUGCAAAUUAAGUAUGAAAAUGAAAUUGUGUCUGGUGGGAUGAUAAGCCUAUGUGGUCCUGUUGAAGAUAGUAUACCCUCACUGGGGGAGGCUACUUCUUUGCACGCUAUAUUAUUCCAUUUACUUGAACGUUUGUAUUGUCAAAAAUGGGUCAAAUUGAGCUCAACAUAUGAUAUUAAUCAAAUAAAAUUUAAUUUUGUAAAUCUUGAGCAUGGUGUGCUACUGGUUCCACUGACCAGCUCUCAUAAGUUGAUGAAGUGAUUUGACAUUUUUUAUUUUAAGGAUAGACAAUAUUAAUUAUUAAUGUAUAAAACAUUGUCAUUUAUAAUAAAAAUUUGACAAUAUUAGUUAUGUAGUUCUUAUUUUUUACUAACUUUAAGAUUGAUACGUUUGUUAGACCAUCUUUAAUGAAAGAGUUUUAACCUUUUAAGACUUUUUACCUAUUAAGUACCUCUCUAUUGGGGAGGAACUUUUUCGAGAUUUUAUAAGACUUGGGGUCUCACUUAACAUCGCAUUCUUAAGUGAGACCCACACUUUUUUAAUAUUAAAAAAUUGAUAUGUGGUAAUAUAAAGUUAUUAAUACUAGUUGAUUAGUAAGUCUUAUUUAAGAAAUUUGUGUAAGAUGCUGGGUUGGAAGGAUUAAAUUCUUAUUAAGUAUUACUACUAAAAAAUUAUAAAUAAAUUAUGUGUAUAAGUAAGACCCAUUUAAGUACCAAAAAAUGAGUAUCUCUAUUUUGGUUGCUCUUAUAUUUGGGAUUAACAAAGACAUUUUUAGCAUAGGUAUAAUGAAAGUACGUUGAAUCAAAAAUAUAUGCAUCUCCUUUAACCCUCAAGUUGGAUAUAUAUGAUCUCAUAGGUGUUAAAAUUUUCUCAAGGGAUUCAACAUUGUAGCAUUCUUAAUAUUCAAACCCAAAACAUCUUAUUAAAUUGAAGUUUUAAUUUCACUUUUCACCCCUAUCUUUCCAAAAGUUAUGAUUUUGGUCUCCUAGCUAAUUAAAAUACAAAACAGCCCUCUAUGUAUUGGAUCUUUGGUAAUUUUGGCUCCAAGGCCAAUUUUGACUUAGUCUUCGCUGAUGUGGCAAUUUAAAAUAAAUAAAAAAAAUUUAAAAAGUAAAAUAUAUUUUUUAAAAAAAUUUAAAAUAAAAAAAAAACUUUUUUUUAUUUUUUAAUUAAAAAAUAUACUUUUUUAAAUAAUUUUAAAAAAAACGUGGCGUCUACGUGUGCGUUGACCGAGUCAAAAUUUGUCUUGGGGGCUAAAACUGCCAAAGAUUCAAUACAUAGGGAGCUAUUUUGUAUUUUAAUUAGUUAGGGGGUCAAAAGUGCAAUUAAGCUUAAAUUAAAAGAGAGGAAGAAGAUGGAAGAAACAUGACUUUUUAAUUUGAAAUUUUGCUAAAGGAUCUCAACAUAUAUCUUAAGGCAGAUAUUACAUUAACUUCUCAAAUCUCAAUAGAGUGAAUAGUAGUAUAUUUUAAUGUGAGUGUGGUUCAAAGUUCAAACUUUUCUCAUAAUCUUGGGUGUAAUAUUGACUCAAAUUUAUUUGGUCUUAUUAACUAGUGUUUCGGAGCAUUCUUUAAGCAUUCUAAAUUAAGUAAAUAUUCUUUAAAAAUGUCAAAUUUUUAAUUUUCAAUAUACUUUAUUAUUCCCUCCGUCCCAUAAUAUAAGCAAAAAUAACUCAUUUUCUUUGUCCUAAAAUAUAAGCAAAAAAUACAAACUUUUAUCCUAUUUAAUCUUGUUUUUUUAGAAAAUCUCUUUCCCAAGAAAAACUUUUGUUUAUUCUCAUAAAAUUAAAUGCAAAUUACAUUCAAUUUUCUCUCUCUUUCAUUUUUACAAUAACCAAUAGCCAAUGAAAAUUAUUUUUACAUCUUUCUAUAAAACUUUUUUCAAAGAAAACACAAAAAACUACUAUAUUUUAAAUUCUUAUGUUUUAGUUUUCUUAAUAUGUGUGAUUUUUUUUUUUUUUGCUUAUAAUUUAGGACGGAGGGAGUAUAAUUUUUAUAAAAAGUUACUCUAUUUAAAGUUCUUAACAAUACCUUGGGAUAGUAAUUAAUAUUUCCCUUUAUCAUUUUAUGCAAAAUAUUCAUAAACUAUAUCAAAUACUUUUGUUUUGAAUGCAAACUGCACCAAAUACUUACUUCCUAGCAAGUUGCAAUAAUUUAGUAGCUUCCAUUGCAUGGGCAAAAGAAAAAGUAGGUUCCAUUCCACAUGAGCAGACGGAAUAGAUGAGGUUGGACCAUCAGCUAAUUAAGUCCUUCAAUUUUAAGGCUGCUUUCAAGAAGUUCAAUAAUUUUAGCUCACCUAAAACGCGCUUAUUUUAAUAAUUUAUUCCGUCACCACUAAGCAAAUACCUAUUUAUACAUAUAUUCUAUCCAUUCUUCUCAUCAUCCAGUUAAUCACACACACUUGGACUUUGCUUUAUUUAAAAAGAGAAAAUAAUAUUAUCAUCAAGAGCAACUUCAUCUUAACUUAACACAAUGAGUCACAAUAUCAAUCAACAACAAUCUCCUGGUAAGCUUUUUUUUUUUAAUUAUUUCAAUUGAAUAUACUUAAAUAUUAAUCAAUCAACAAUCAUAUUUGAGUACUAAAAAAAUAUCCAUGCUUUAUUAUAUUCAAAGCUAGAAUCAUUUAAUUUUUGUUGCUAGAAUUUUUCAUUUCUAUUAGAAAUAAUUUAGAUUUUUAUUUAAUCUAACUUGAGUUGUGUAUUUUUUUUAAUGAUCAGUUACUGCAUAUCCAGCAGUGAGUCAGAACAACCCUCAAGCUGUUCCACCACCACCUAUGGGUUAUCCCUCAAAGGAUGAUCCACAACAAAGUGUUCCAAUUAAAACAACUAGCAGGGGUGAUGGUUUCUGGAAAGGAUGGUGAGUUUGAUUAUACCUAAUUAAUAACUAUAACUAUAUUAUUUUUUUGAAAGAAUAACUAUAACUAUAUAUGUUUAUCUUAUUUUAUUAAGUUUCAAUAUAUUGAUUUCUCAAUAGAAAUUGAAAACCUUGAGUUAAAGAAAAAGAAAUUAGAGGAAUUACGUUCAAACCCUAACGAAGGUGGAAAAAAUUAGUCUAACAACUAAUUAUAAACAUUUGUCAUUAAAAAAAAAACGAAGUUGAGCUUAGAUUUUGAUAUAUGUAACACUGUAGUAAUUAUAGUAAUAAAAUCAGUGAUUAAAUUAAAGAUUUAUUUUUAUAGUUUUAAUUUCGUCUAUGAAUAUAUAUUUGUAGUCCAAACAUUUUUUAGUAUAAAUAUAUCUGACUUUUGUUUUGUAUAUAUUUUUCUUUUUGCAGUUGUGCUGGAUUAUGUUGUUGUUGUGCCCUGGAUUGUUGUCUCUGAUCGAAUAUCAUACAACUGGAUUUAUAGAACAUUUGUGCUUGUCUUCAUGGUUUUUCUUUAUCUUAAUUAAUGUAUUUAUUUUUGUACCUCACCUAAUAAGAAUCUUUGUAUCCUAUGGGACAGCAAAAAUUCAUACCAAUUUGUAACUUGGAUCUUUAAUUUCUUUUGUACUUGUGUCUUUGCAAAGUGAAUUAAUGUGCGUUAGUUCAUUCAUAAGAAUAUCAUAGUUCUUUAUUGUUUUGAAAGAAGAAUAUCAUAGUUCUUUUUCUUUUUUUUUUCUUUUGUCAAGAAUAUCAUAGUUCUGAUUUCAAGUAAAUGAAUAAUUAGAUACACAUAUUAUAAUAUAGUUUUGUUCAACAACCGAAAUAAUGUCUUUGCUAAUUGAUCUUGACCCCUUUGACUUAUUAGCUCUAAGUUUUGGAUAAGAUUGCUUUUAAUAUUAAUUUAAUACAUUUUGUUGAUUUUUUUUUUUUGACAAAUAAUACAUUCUAAAUAAUAUUUAAAAAUAAGAAUCAUGCAGGACUCGCAUAAUUGAGGUUUUGAACAUGAACCACGAUGAAAAAUGCUUUUGAAUAGAUUUAUACAUGAGAUACGUUAAAGCAACCAACAAUAAGAAUCAUGCCAGUUUGUCAAAAAAAUAAAAUAAGAAUCAUGCCAGUUUCACCUAAAAAAAUAAUAAUCACGCCAGUUUUAUAAAUAAAUAAAAAAUGCCAGACCAGCAUAAUUUAUUUGUCUAUAGAUGCUUUGAACAUGUUAUAAAGAGCGUACAAGCCCGAAGAGAGGUACAUGGUGACUCAUCUUAUUCUAGUAAAAAAUAAUGACUCAUCUAGUUUUUAGAAGGAUCUUUUAGGCAUAUUAUAUUAGUUAGUUACUAAGAAACGUUAUUGUACGGCCGUUGUAGUAUCUUAUAAUGAGGAUCCACAAACCUAUAAAAGCACCGAAUGCCUCAUGAUUAAAAUCAAUGAAAAAUAACAAAUUUUAUUUCUUCUGUCUCUAGUUUUCUCUCUUAAUUUCUGGAGUGCAAAACAAGUUGAGUUAUGCAUAUAUAUACAAGGUGUUGGUUUUGAGUUCUAACAAUAGAUGAAAGUUAGGCAAACUAGGGUUUACCAAAAGAGAGAGAAUCCUUAGGAAAUCAAAGGCUAGGGGUUGGUUCCUUUUGGAUAGAAACUAGGGUUGGAAAACACCGUGGGGGUAAACCAUUGAGUCUCUUAGCCACGAGAAGAGAUUUAGGAAAAUGGUAAAAUUUAGUGUUUGUUCUUAGAGUACUUUUGAAAGUUGAUUUGUUGUAACAUUUGUAUCUCUUUGUAAGAAAUACUAUAAUAGUGACUUGGAGAGAUCUAUUUCCUCCAAACGUAGGUAAAAUUUAGACCGAAUUGGGUGAACAAAUAUUGUCGUGUACUCCUUCUUUUCCUUUAUUUUAUUUUAUUUUAUUUUAUUUUAUGCGAUCACUUUGGUUUGGUUGCUGUUGAUUUUGCUCCAUACAUCAAAGUAUUGGUGUGAUUUUUUUAUCUAAAUUCACAACAACCGGUGCCCACUAUGUGGCAAUCAAAACAAAGCAUUAAGUGAGCGCCAUGGACACCAAAUGGGAUAUCGAGAUAUUCAUCGGAGAAAAUGAUUUUAGGUUGUGGAAGGAGAAUAUCCAAGUAGUCUUGAUCCAACAAAAAGUAUGCAAAAGUACCGAAGGGUGAGGUAGUGUUGUCGGCUACCAUGUUGCAAGAAAACAAGACCGAUAUGGUGGACAAGGUCAAGGGUGUCAUUAUGUUGUGUCUCAAAUUUAAAUUGUUUAGCAAGAAAGUUGCAAAGGUGAAGGUCGUGUCUGUGAUGAGUUUUUCCAAAGUCCUAGUGAGUCUGGAGAGACGUUAAGCACUCAUGAUUCGUCUAUAGAGACGUUAAACACUCAACAUUAGGUUGAAGAGGCGGUGCUAAAAAUACUAAAGGUCAGUUUAGAGAGGUGGAGGUAAGAAAACUCAUGAUCGGCCUUAGAGGUGGAGGUUACAAGGUGAAAGGCAUUGUGAUAUACACAUUUGAAAGUUGAGAUGGAGAAAGUAGGUGGAGACAAAUGGUGACACCAUAAUGGUACACACCAUGACGUCUUUGUUCAUGCUAUAAAGGAGAUCAAGAAAUUCUUUAAGAGGAUGGAGAAGCGCACUUCGGGGGCUGAAGAAUGUAUGGUACAACUUGUGGAUUGCCUAAAAGACCAAGGACAAUUGGAUGCAAUGGGGUUUUUAAAAGGACGAAAUUGAUCACUCUGAGGGAUGAAGAAUUUUGGUAAAAACUUGUGGAGCUAUCUAAAAAUCCUAGUGCAGAUGGAUGCAAAGAUCUUCAAAUGGGUAGAAGGUCUUCUGAGGUUUGAAGAAGUAAAGGUAGAAGCGUGUGGUAAUUUAGACAAACUAAAGUUUAUCAAAAGGGGAUAUUUGUAAGAGAUCAAAAGCAAUAAUCGAGUAUUUUUGUUCUAUUAGUAAGAAAUCACUAUUGUUGCGUCAAAAAGUCACUAUCAUAAUCCACCAUACCAUAUGUUGUGAUAAAAAAAAAAAUAUCUUAUUGAUAAAAAUUUACAACACAAUCAGUAAAUACAACAUAAAGUUAGUACCAAAAAGCAAGUACAUCAUAAAGUCUCAAAUACAAGGUAAACAAAAAACACCCAUCAAAUGGACAAAUAAAUACAUAAUGUCCAAAGAGAUCCUGAUUCAUCUACAAACUACAAAGAAUACAAUAGGAAACAACUGGGAUAAAAAAACUGUGGUAACAAUAAUCUAUGGUAUAAAAUAAUCCAAUCAUAACUUAAAAGCAUAUAUCAAGGGCACAGCAGCAACAUAUAGCAGCACAACAUCCCUUCCAGAAACCAUCACCCCUGCUAGUAGUUUGGUCUGAAAUCUUUUGUUGAGGGUACCCUUGAGAGCCAUCCUUGGAAGGAUAACCCAUAGGUGGUGGGGCAGUUACAUAUGGUGCUGAAGAAUAACCCUCACCUUGUGGUGGAUAUGAUACUGGGGCUUGUUGCUGAUUGUUGAAGUUACUCAUGUUGAUGAUGAUAGAAAAUAUCAAAAGAGUUGUUGAAAGAUAAGAAAGAUAAUGGAAUUGUAUGAGAUAAUAUUGUAAAGUAUAGAGGGAAUAAUGUGUGUGUAUAUAUAUAUAGGUUUAAUUUGGAUAAACGCGUUACAGGUGAGUAAGGAAAGUGUAAGACGGAGUUUACAAUUGAGAUUCAGAUACAUACGCUAUGUGUUUUGAUUUGUGACACAUUUGUCGUUCCUUAUUCUUUAUGUUUCCAAACAUAUAUUCAAGGUUUUCCACGCGUAUGAUCCAAAUAUUCAGAAUUUUCUAGAUUAUAUUGUGUCGUCAACUCCAUCAUAAUAAUGGUCGGUCUAAAAAAAAAAUCGAGCAGUCAUAUUGAUUUAAUGAUAAGAUCAACUUUAUGUGCAAAUUUAAGAGUUGAAAUCCUAUAAUAAUGGUUUCAUAUUUUAUAAAAUUCUAUAAAUAAUAGAGUCAAAUUUUGCUUAAUGUAAAAUUGGAAUAGAUUCAUGCUUAUAAUUAACAACAUUUUUUUUUUAAGGAAUGCUAUAACAACACUUAUUGAACGAUAUUAAAUAUUUUUGUCAAUAAAAAUAGAAUAAUGAUACAUAGACACCCUUAGGUGGCAAUACACCCUUUGACACCCACACAAAAAUCUGACACGUAGUCACGUGGACCCCGCACAAGCACACUUUCUCUUUUAUCUCCUCUUCUCUCUUCCUAAUGCAUGAGGUGUACAAGGGUGUAUGGGAAUAAAGGGUGUCUAUGUAUCAUUACUCAUAAAAAUAUGCCUUAUAAAUGCUGUCAUAUGACAAAUAAAUACACUAUAUGAUUGAAAAUUGAACUAAAAAUGAAACGGGGGCAAAAUUCCAAAAGAAAGUUAAACAGGGGAGACAUAAAACUAAUUUUUUUUUUAAAAGGAGGACGAAAACUUCAAUAAUUUUUGAAAAUAUGGGGACAAAGAUAUAUGUAUUGAUAUAUGAAUAAAAAUAUAGACACAUGUACAAAUUGCACUUUUUUUUUCCGUAUUAAAUAUGAAUAAAAAUAUAAGCAUGUGUAUAAAUUAAAAAAAUCGGUCCCCGUAUUAAUAUAUAAAAGUUAAAAUAUAAACGCAUGUAUAAAUUAAAAAAUAUAAGUUCUUUUAUAUGAGUAAAAAUAUAGACACAGGUAUAAACAUAAAAAAAUUAGGUCUAUGUAUUAAUUUUUUUUUUGAAAAAUCUAAAAUGGAAUAUAUUAUUGAAGCCUGAAAAAAUUUCAGCAGAAGAAGUGCAAAAACCCCAGCCAAAAGAGUAUCAAAUUAAAUAUUUCAUUUGUGUAUGUACUUUCACCAUCUUUUGGCAUUAGUCUUCACUUUUUUCAUUUAGCUUAUAUCCAUCCACUUUGUAAAAAUAUUGUUAUUAGUCAUUCUGUUAGUUUUAUGUUUUAAAAAAAAACUAACGGCUUGCCACAUGGCGUGGAAUAACCAAUUCACAUAGCGCACGAUUAGUUUUUUUUAAUAUGCAGCUAACAGAAGGACCAAUAACACUAUUUUUACAAAGUGCAUAGACUUAAACCAAACAAAAUAAAAAGUGCACAAACUAAUGUCAAAAAGUACAGAGACGAACCACAUGUUUAAUUCAUAAGAUGAAGUAUGUAUGACAAUCAUUUAGGGAUUCAAUUUGGAGAUAUUGAUUUUUUGUUUAAGGAUUAAAGUGACCAUUUACUCUUUUAUAUAAUUAUGUAUGUCAUAUUUAAGUCAUAAGAUGAAGUAUGUAUAAUAAAAGAGGAAAUUAGAUGAGAUUUAAAGAUUUGAGGAUUAAAUGCGGGAUUUAGGGAUUUGAAAUUCAACUUGGGAAUAUUGAUUUUCAAUUCUGGAACUAAAAUGAUCAUUUUCUAUUUUCACUUUAGUCCAUAUGACACCUCAUCAGCUAACGGAAGUUUUUAACAUCAGAGACUAAAAUGAUAACAAAAGUGCAUAUUCAGAGACUACUUUGUAUUUAAUAUUGAAUCAGGACUUUUGUGACAGCGAGGUGCGUAUAAUCAGGUAUCAAAAUGACUAUUUACUCUUGUAUAUAAGAAGAGAGAGUUCUUCUACUUCUACAUACAACUUCUCUCAAUAGUCAAUUGGUAUUCUUUUUUUUUUUUGCAGAGACCAACUAUUUUUACUCAUUCUUGUUGGGUGGACAAAUAUGACUACGAGUUGAAGAAACAAUAUAGUCUAGAAAGACAUGAAUGUUUGGAAGCAUACUACGCGUGCAAAACUAAAAAUUCCAUUGUAAGAAAACAAACAAACAAAUGUGUCAUAAAACAAAGCACAUACCGUAUCAAGCAUUAAUGUAAACGCCGUCCUAUACUUUGCUUUCUUACCUGUAACGCGUUUAUCCAACACGUCAAAUAGAAUUUUUCCAUUUGCAUUAAGGAACCAUAUAGUAUAUAUACACAUUUUUGCUUCCAUAUUUUUCAAUCACAUAACUACAAUUCCAUAAUCUUCUUUCUUUUCCUUCAAAAACUCUUUGAUAAUUUUAACUUCAUAACAUCACUAUGAGUCACUUUAACAAUCAGCAACAAACCCCAGUAUCAUAUCCACCACAGGCUUAUUCUUCAGCUCCAUAUGUAACUGCCCCACCACCUAUGGGUUAUCCUUCCAAGGAUGGCUCUCAAGGGUACCCUCAACAAAAGAUUUCAGACCAAACUACUAGCAGGGGUGAUGGUUUCUGGAAGGGAUGUUGUGCUGCUAUAUGUUGCUGCUGUGCCCUUGAUAUAUGCUUUUAAGUUAUGAUUGGAUUAUUUUAUACCAUAGAUUAUUGUUACCACAGUUUUUUUAUCCCAGUUGUUUCCUAUUGUAUUCUUUGUAGUUUGUAGAUGAAUCAGGAUCUCUUUGGACAUUAUGUAUUUAUUUUUUCUAUUUGAUGGAUGUUAUUUGUUUCCCUUGUAUACGUUAUGAUACAUACAUAUAUUUGGUCAUAGUAAUAUAAUUUUUUUUAUCAAUAAUUAUUUUCUAUCACAACAUGUCAAAUGGUGGUGAUUUUCUGACUUGUGAGUAUCUAAAAACUAACUAAAAUAUUUACCAAAUCAGAACUGCACAGAUUCAACGAAAUGAAGAUUUUACGCAAAAAGAACAAUCUUAUGAUAUCUUAUUACUUGCAAAAAAAAAAAAGAAUUAAUACAAUCUUAUGAUAUGCUGGCAAAUAUAACCAACCAGAGUACUAAUUAGGAGAGCCCCUUCAGUCACCAGUCACCACCGCCUCAAAGCUGAGAAGGGCUUUACAUGUUUUCACACAUCUAACAUCAAAUUUGCUUUACAAAAAAAGAUUUGUAAUUCUAAAUUCGUUUGGGUGGCCUGAAUAGAGAGAUUCAUAUAACCAUAUAUUCAUGGUAUACAUGGUAACUUAAGGUGUUUUUCACUUUCAAUGUCUUCCCUACUGAAACCGUGUCUAGUAAACGUACCAAAAAUUAUACCUCUAGUGGUUCACACAGCCUUGUGAACGUGAACACAUUCUAUUACUACAACAGCAAAGGAAUGGCCAGACAAAGUGAACCAGUCUUGAAAUUUUGAACAAUUGCUUGGUAACUUCGUGUACGGUAUGUAUUAUGAAAUGCCUUGCUGUAUAGCAAGAUUGCUGGACCAAUUAUUGCUAAGGUGACCAAUGAAUGAAAACAAGUGAUGGCUGAGUCGUUUGCUAGUAUUCUAAACUCAAUCAGCAUAAAAUACAAUUUCAACAAUAGGUAACCAACAACAAUGUGUGAAAACAAAAAAAUUGACAAUCUUCUACAUCUCACAAAAAUGGUUCCCAACAGUUUUUUCCCUUCCGACAUACCUACUAAAUUAAUCUCAGGUUUUUAUAAAAGCUAUUUCUUGUAGUCUUUCUCUUGAUCUGUCUUUCCUUCAACUCAGAAGGGGGGCAGGAGGGACAUCAAGGGUGAUACCAGCUUGGAUUUGGCCCCAACCAAUGAGACGCCAAUGCUUCUCAACGCGUCUACUAAGAGCAAUCUUCUCACCCUUGCUGGUGCACACAGGGGAAGUAAGUUGCAACUUUGCCAAGUCAUUCUUCACAGCGGUAACUUUGGCACCUGUUGACAUUGAUCCUAUGUUCAACAUUAGAAUUUCUGAUUUCGUCAGCUUUGAGACCUUUCCUUGUCUCUCAGAACCUUUAGUCCGGACACCAAGAAGCCGUCGAAGCAAGAAAAAGUUUACCUGCAAAACCAUGUGCAUAGUUCAUUUAUAAAAAAUUAAAAAAUAGUGUUUCCUUUCCAGCACAAUAGGGGGGAACUAAGUGCCACAACAGAAAAAAUAUCAACACUCUUGACACUGAAUUAGUACCAAGUGUAAAUUAUCUAAAGACUUCAGAGAAAUGGACAUGUUGAUCUUUGUCCUGAUUUGUCUUAUGAACUGAUAAACCAAGCGAGAGACAAGUAGGUGUGACUAGUCACUUACCUCAAGUUCCACAAAAACAUCAGGCAGUGAUCCAACCUCUCCAAGAACUUGCCCUACCAACCUGUCAGCACGUGUCAAAGUGGGAUCCAUUGUUGUUCCAACACCAAUUAGGCCUCCAGGAACUGCAAAUUGAAGCUCAUUUUGUUCAGCAAAUAGUGAAACAAUUCUGGAGUAGAUUGGUGUGCAUCGGAUAUUUCCACUCUCGUCUUUAACAACUAUUCCAGGUCGAACUUCGAUGAAUUGGUUGACCUUUAAAACACCCUGCAAAUAACAAAUUGUAAGAUGUGCUUAAAAAGAAUGUUAUAUGUAUAAUCACAAACAUGGCUCAAGAUCAACGGGCACAUGGUCUCGGCUAAUUGGAAAUUGAUCAUAACAUAUUCAAUUGAUUUCGGCAAAAAAACAUCAAAGUCCAGUCCCAUUUUCUUGUUUGGAAAUAGAAUGACAAAUGGAGUCUUCUAUCACAUUAUUCUAAAAAUUAUGUAUGAGGUUUUCUGGAAGAUAGAAAGAUGUAAAAAAUUACAAGGCAUUUUUUCUCACUUAUUGAGCAUCCAUGUAUCAUAUUGCAUGUUCUUGACCUUAUUUUCACAACACUGGAAAGUCUGGAAUAAAUGUUAUAAAUCAAGGCAUUGUAAAGGCAAAAAUCUUUCCAAACAGUAAUUGAACUGAAAAUGCUAAGAGCCUGUUUAGUUUGAGAAAAUAUAUAUUUUCAUUUCCACUUUUCAUUUUAAUUGCAAAAACUUCCAUAAAAUAUAUAUUUUCAUUUCCACUUUUAAUUUUAAUUGCAAAAGCUUCCCCUUGUUUUCACUCUGUUGUCUUUUUUCAAAUAUUUUCACAGAAAACAAGGUUCAAAGUGAAAACUACUGAAAACAAGAUACAAAGUGAAAACAAAGGGGCAGUCUUACAAUUAAAAAUGAUAACAGCAUUUGGAAAAUAGUUCAAUUAAACCAUACACAACCUAACAUCUGCAAGUAAGGUCAGUGCAAAUUAGGCCUGUUUUUUGGAAUAUUGACCAAAGAAAGACUUACCCUCAGAAUACUUCCACCAGCUACACCUCCUUUUAUUUCAUCAACCUCAUAACCAGGUUUAUUGACAUCAAAUGACCGAAUUACUAUCAUAUUAGGUGGAGAAAUGAAGUUCCGUUCAGGAAUUGGGAUCUUUUUCACGAUGUACUCACACACAACAUCAAUAUUAUACUUCAAUUGUGCUGAAAUAGGUACUACUGGUGCACUAUCAGCAACAGUUCCCUGGGAAAACACCAAAUAAAGGGGAGAGUAUCAUUUAUGUUGUUCAAAAGAGAUUCACUUGUAUAAUUAUACCUAUUCAUAGAAAACUUACUUGUAUAAACUUCUGAAUUGCUUCAUGCUGGUUGAUAGCCACAUUUUCUUGAAUCAAGUCUACCUUGUUCUGAAGGAUUAUUAUGUGUUGUAGACGCAUAAUUUCCACAGCAGCUAAAUGCUCAGACGUUUGUGGUUGAGGGCAACUUUCAUUAGCUGCAAUGAGUAGCAAAGCUCCAUCCAUGAUUGCGGCACCAUUAAGCAUAGUAGCCAUGAGAAUAUCGUGUCCCUACAGAAAUUGGAACAAUAAAACAAUUAUCACAGAUGGAAAAAAAAAGAUAGCUAAAGAUGUGUUCAAUAAUAUAGCAUAGAUUAGAGACCUAUAACCACCUAAUUUACGUAAAGGAUACCCAUAUGGAAAGAAAAAAAACCACAACAUAUGUAAAAGAGCAAGGCAAAAAAUGUUACAAAUUUAUAGGUGCUCCUAUAGCACCAUAAUUCUCUUAACUCCGUACCAUUGAAUGCAAACCACUUUAAUUGCAUUAAGAGAUGAACUUCAGUGAGAGACAGUGUUGGCUUACAUAGGUGGCCUUGGGGGCAUACAUUUAAUUUAAUAUGCAAUACAAUACACAUAUAUUUCAGGGAUUAAAGAAAGGGAUAAUUCGAUAAGGAGAGCAAACAAUUACAAGGGAAAACAACAGUAAAAUAAAACCAAAUGUGCAGAAAUAUGAAAGUAUAUCCCCCUACAUCAUAUCCAGAAUCAACAAAAUGAUGGUUCAGGACCUUACCGGGCAAUCAACAAAAGAAACAUGUCUCAGCAAUUUCAUCUUGGAAUUUUCAAACCCAGGUACAUCACACAUAGGACUAUCUUCCUUUCCACUUCCAUAGGCCCUACAGGAAGGAAGAAAAAAAAUUGAUCACAUCACCAAAAGAUGAAUGAUCUAAUACUAAAAUGACAAAUCUAAAAUAAUACCCACUUGUAGGACAUAGGCCUUGGACACCGUUCAUCUUCACACUUGUAUAUUUUUGCAUUCGCAUAGCCAAGCUUAAUUGUAAUGUUACGUUCCAACUCAUUUUUAAAUCGAACAGUCUGUAAAACAUUCAUGGGAAAACAGAGGUCAACAGUUUAACUAUACAUUAUUGAAGCUCAAGGAAAAUGUACUAAAAUAAAUAUAUCAUGGUUAUCUAUAAUCCUUAAUCAAAACUGCAAAUGCAAAAAAAAAGUAGAAAAUUCAAUUGAUCUGAAUAUUAUCAAACAACUAUCUAACCACUAGGAGAAAAUACCCAAUUUUUGGAGAGAGGGUUUUCCAUAAACCAGAUAUAGUUACACAAAUGAAGCUAACUACACAAAGUUUCUAUGACACACUAAAAACCAUGUACUGAAACAAGGCACAAGCAUACGUCAUGAUUCUAUCACAGCUAAGAUUUCACAAAUUUCAUGUACCCACUUAGAAAUUCGAUUGAGAAAAAUAUAAAUUGCUGGAGAUGCUAACACUACUUGGAUUUCGAAAAAUUAUAAAUUGUAGGCGAUGAGUUGUGACAAUGACUAAAUGCUAUAUACUUUCUUUCUGUUUGAAAGAAUUCACCUUGGUGUAAACAGAUCCAUCAUUUAGAAUAUUUCCACAUACCAUAUACCAUAAAUUACACAUUUACAAAUUAUAAUGUACAGUUAAACACCACCAUCCUUAGCCAAACACCCCAAAAAAAGUAGAGAAUGACUUGAUACAAGGACAUACCUGAACACCUGAUAUUGCUUUCACAACCGUUGACUUUCCAUGUGCCACAUGACCUAUGGUGCCUGCCAAGAUAAAUUUCAUUACCGAUAAGCAUCAACAGUCAUCAACGAAAAGGCACACAUUUUUUGUUGAAUUUCCAAAUUCUAAUGUGAUUGCAGCAAAUUUGAACAUGUGCCUGUUAAAAUAUUGAAAUAUACAUUACCAAUAUUGAUCGUAGCCUGGCGAGAUAUGACUUCAGGAGAUAGCGGAUGCAAUUUGUUGACAUCCAACGUACUCAGGUCUUGUUCCAUCAACCCUCUCCGAGCCAUUUUGACUGCUUCUUCCAAUAAGAAAUUAAUUGAGUGAAAAAACUGAUUCAUGGCACAAUAUUUGAUAUUAAAUUACAAGACAAGAUAACCGUAUUAAGACCCCACAUUUUUGUUGUAAAAAUCUGUAUAUAAAUAUGACCCAAAACCUAUUUCUCUAAAGUUUUAUUGUAUGAUUGCAAAUUUCUAUAUAAUUUUAAAAAUAAUAAUAAUAAAACCAUUAAGAUUAUUCUUAAGCACCUUGAGAUUUCAGAGAUUUAUAGAUUGAUUCCUAAAAUUUCAAUUUAGGAGUAAAACCCUACAACUAUAGUAAGUCUGUGAAACGGAUAAUGUAAUUUUUUAUUCAAAAUAUUGCAUUAAAUCAUAAGGAGCUUGUAAAACACAAAUCAAUAGCAUUAACAUAUCAAAAUUGAACACCAUUAGAUAAAUUUCACAAAAAAAAUAGAUAAAUUUGAGAAGAAAAAAAAAUUAAGGAUUACCAAAUAGUGGGAUUUGAGAGUGGAUGAGUAAAGCAGCUACAGUGAAUGAAAUUUGCUGUAAAUAGCAAAGAAAGAGAGCUGUAGUGUUAAAGAUUGCAGAAAAAUCAAGAAUCUCUUCGAAAUCGGUUAUAUGAGUCGAGAAAUCGUAGAAGAUUCUUGGUGUAUGUGGUUUUGGGGGUGGCUAGGUUUUUUCUUGAAUUCAGAAACAGAUGAAGAAGGAGAGAUGGGUUUGUGGGUAUUUCGUUUUAUGGGUUUCGGGUUGGUUGUUUAUGGGCCAAGCAUGUAUUAUGGAGUCCAAUAAGCACCCUAGCAUAGAACCCAUCAUAAAUACCUUGUUCAAUAAUCGAGUAUUUUUUCCGAAUAAUUACAAAGACUAAUCUCUUAGACGAGUAAGGUGAAAAAAUUGUCACUAAAGAGAUUUCAUAUGGUUGUACUUUCAAGGCUGAAAUUGGGUUCAUGUCCUCCAUUUAAGUUAGAAUAGAUCUUUUAUCAUCUCAUCUAAAUGAUAUUGAAUUAACGAUAUUCAUUCAUUCAAAUUGAGAGUACAUCAGAUACAAUAACAUUUUCAACAUUGCUAAAAAUAUAAAGGGUGAAUCCACGAACAAACUCACAGCAUCCAAGUUAAUAGUAUACAACGGCAAAAUGCUUACGAUUAGUAUGAUAAAUUUUGAGUCACUAAAAUAUACAUGAUUCUGAAUCUGCAACGUCGACGCCUAAAUCAUUGGUUGAAUCUGUAAUUGACUGAAGUUGAUCUUUCAAUAGGAACCAAACGAACACCGCGACAAGACGCGAAAUCAAACGCCGCACUCAGACAACGAAAUCACAUAAAAACACAAAAUGAAAAACUUGAUAUGUGUGAAAAUCACUUAUUUAAAUUGAAAGAAAGGAGAAAAGAUGCACGGGGUGAUUCCAGGUAAAAAAAAAAAAGACCUAAAACCACUCAUCCUCGAUGAAUGAAUGAGAAAAAAAUUAGAGAGAAUGUGGAGUUUCUCUCACUAAAAAACUAAGGCAGACUAAUUUAAAAUGUCUAAAUGAUAUUGAUUUUUUUUUGGGUUAAAAAUGUUUUUGGUCCUAUAAAUAUGUCAACUUUUCGUUUUAGUCCCUCUAAAAUUUUCCUUCAACUUUUAGUCCCUAUAAAAUUUUCAAUCACUACUUUUGGUCCCUAUUUUUAAGUAAAUUUUUGUAUUUUUUAAUGAAAUGUAUGGAAUAUUGUAAAAAUCACUCUAAAAAAAAUUAGAAUUUUUUAACAAAACAUGAAUUAANNNNNNNNNNNNNNNNNNNNNNNNNNNNNNNNNNNNNNNNNNNNNNNNNNNNNNNNNNNNNNNNNNNNNNNNNNNNNNNNNNNNNNNNNNNNNNNNNNNNGGACUAAAAGUUGAAGGAAAAUUUUAGAGGGACUAAAACGAAAAGUUGGUAUAUUUAUAGGGUCCAAAAACAUAUUUAACCCUUUUUUUUAAGGAAAAUGAUAUUGAUUAUUAUUAAAGUUUUAUUGUUACCUUAUCUAAUAUAUGUAUAGAAUAGUAAUAUACUAUGAAAUUUCCUACCUUACCCUAAAAAAAUAUUAGUUUGUCGAUUUAUUGAUUUUGUACUAAAGUAUUAUUUAGUAUAGAUUCUCUUUAAAAUUAGAGAAGCUAAACUAAAUAGUUCUUUAGUGCAAAAUUAAUAAACAACAAUCUAAUAUUUGAUUAGCUAAACUAUUUAGAUUUAGCUUCUAAAAAAGACUUUAUGAAUGCAAAUGUACUUUCAUCAAAGUACUAUUUGAUUUGACUUCUGAGACACAUUUCAUUCAUGCAAAUGUAGUACAUAUUUGGAUUUUGUACUGAUUACAUGUCAUUUUAUCACUUUUUCUCAAUGCACUCACUCUUACCUUGUACGACCAAAAAAAUGUGGUCUCAUAAGACAAAUUUAAAUAUAUAAAUUAAAUUAAAUUAAACACAAGUGUCAAAAACAAAAUCAAAUUAAAUGCAUGGUGAAUUUGUGGCUACAAUUUUAUUUAAAAAUGACACAAGACUUUCGGCUUUUAUUUAAAAAUAGAAGAGAUGUACUCCAUCCAAUCUUAACUAUAAACCAAGAUUCCUAUGGGUCAACAUAGGAUUUUUCCCUGCUCAAAACUAUGUAUUCAAGAUAACCUUCAAUCUUCAUUCACGCUACAAAUGAAACAUUAGAAAUCUGAUUAACUGAACAAGCUUAUCUAAACAAAGUCCAUAUAUGGAGUCAAACAAGUAUUAUCAUCCAUGGAAGAUUAGCUUGCGGGAUCAGCAAUUUGUGACUUCACCUAUAUAACCCCUCCUACAAAAUGCACAUUAAGCUGCUUAACCAACUACCAGACUAACUAACUAAUCUCCUAAACUACUAAUAAAAAUUAUUGUAUUUUUGCUUACUACAUGCAGUCCUUGCACAAUGUCUUAGUUCAGCUCUUCUCCACUUAAUAAUCAAGUAACAUAAGGAAAAGAGUGUAUUGAUCAAGAUUAUCAUAGCCAAUGCAAGCCGAGGUCCAGACCAAAGAACUGGAUCAAAAUAGUAGAAAAGCUUUCCCAAUUUCCUCUUAGAACAAACUAUUGAGCCUCUCAGCAAGAUAUGCACCAACCAACGUCGAAAGGAACAAACACGUCUAAAAGUCAUCUAAGUGCACGUUUAGCAUUACAGCACAGGUACCAAAAUCACGGUGAGCCAACCUACAAGGUAGAUAACUUUUACAAAAUCACGAGUCUCCUCUGUGAUUCUGCAAAGCUACUGUGAUGUUAAACAUGCACUAAGGUUCCAAUUUUACUCCUUUUAGCUUAAACAUGUUAUAAACAAUAAAACGGGUAAGAUGUAAAUAAAACAUACAUCCAAAUAUCUAAAAAUAUGAGAAUUAACCUUAGCAUAAAAAAAACCAAGAAAGGGUAUGUGUUGUUCUAUUAAUCAAUUUCUAAUUUUUCAUUCUAAACCCAAAAAAAAAAAAAAAAACAGCUCAUAUGUAGCUUAAAACACACAAAUCAAAAUCCAACAAACAUAUAUCAUAUAACCCAUAAAAAGGUAAAUUUUCUAAAGGAUAUACUUUCAAACACGUUGUGAAUCAAUGUUUGAAUUAUAUAUAAGAAGAAAUAUUUAUUUAGUAUCGAACACAAUUCAAAUAAGAUUACCUUAUAUGGAGAGAAAAACAUGUGAAAAAAGUUGGUUGACAAGUUGUACCAUUUAUACAAUAUCCUUAUAUGGAGAAUAAAUGUCACGAAGUAUGUAAUGCGUUAACAUAUUACAUAAACCAAAACGAAGAAUUAUUCGUAUACAUGUCAUUGAAAAUAUAGAAAUUAAUUUUUUUCGAUAUUUUAUAAAAUAUGAGAUUUUUUUAGCGAUAAAAUAUGUGAGAUAGGUUCAUGGAUACAAUGCGAUACUUCAUGAUCUUACUUUGGUGAGUGUGGGACGCAUGUCAUAUGUGCACUUUUUAUCACUUUACUUUUCCUAAUUUAUGAUUUUAAUCUCUUCGUUUCUUUUUUUGGUAGUGGUCGGGAUUUGAACCCCGAACCUUGCAUAUUUUAUACAUUAUCCCAACCAACUGAGUUAAGCCCACGAGGACAAUCUCUUUGUUUCUAAACAUUAAGAUAUAGUCUCUCAAUUUGAAAAACUACAAAAAAAAAAAAAAAAAAAAAAAAGCCUUCACAGCUGAAUUUGGGGUUUAUUUUGGUUGAUAUGUCAAGUUGAAUAAUGAAUUGAUUGGUGCAGUAUUACAUACGUGGAUUAAAUCAUAACACUUUAUUUUUCUUUUCAUACCACCAACAUGGUGUGGACAAUUGACAAAUAGUUAGUUUUUAAGAGUUUAGUCAUGAGUUCAGUUUAUGGUCAAAGCCUAUAUAUGGAAGAACAUCCAUCAGAAGAGUUUAACCAUUUAUUAUUGUUUAGAGGUAUACAAAAAAUUGUCAAUGAUUUUUUCCUUAGAAGUAUUCUACCAUUUUUUUAGAGGUAUUUAUAUAUCCUCUCAAAAAAAUUAUUUUAUAUUGUUAUACUCUGAUUUUGGACCUAAAAAUACUCGUUCAAAUUUCUUUUUUAACACUGAUAUUUGUCAAUUCUCUGUUAUUUUUUCUCUGAAUCUUUACUUUCUUUUUAAAACAUAUUUUACUGCCUCUGUCUGUCUUUUCUUGCAUUACAAGUCAUUUAAGAACUCUCUGAAGCGUCGCAUUACUUUUCUCACAUUUUUAUUUCAAAAAAUCAUAUAAAAGGGUAUUUUGGUCAUUUCCUGCAGUGGAACCCGUUUUAGUCCCUGUGUUUGCCUCUGAGCCUUUUCAAUUUGUCUGUACAAAUCAUUGUUGAGUCUUUGUUUAAAAAAUCAUUUCAAAAAUUGCAUCUGAGUCAGUCUGAGUCAGUUUAGUCCCUAGGGGCAUUUUGGUCUUUUCCUGUCAAAAUUUCGGCAGAGAGGUAUUUUAAAAUACCUCAUUUUUGUAGCUGGUUCAUUUUAGUCCUUUUGUUGAUUUUAUUUUUGGUUUCACUUUACGUUUUUUUCAAAUUACCAAUUUUAGUCCAAUUUUAUUUUUUAAUUGCAUUUUAGUCCCUGAACAGUUUCUAAAAUUGCAUUUUAGUCCAAAAUUCUUAAAAUUACUUUUUAGUCCCUUUUUUUUUCAUAUUGCAGUUUAGUCCUCAAUUUCACUUUUUUGCAGAAAGGUCCAAGUCCAGAUGGCAGCGCCUCAUUGGUCCAAAAUUACACAUGGCAGCCUAUAAAAGGCGCAUUCAAUGCACAAGUAAAAAAAAAAUUUUAGUCACGCGCCCUCAUCACAAACACUUUCCAACUUUCUCUUUCUGCUCUCAAAGAUCAAAACUCAACAAAUUCCAGAAACCACGAAGAACACCAAGAAUACUCAAACCCUAACCGUUUCCAAAUUCCACCAGAAUCAUCACAAAUCAACACAGAACGUCACAAAUCAGCGCAAAUCAACGAAGAAUCAACAAGAUCCCUUGCGAUUCUCAGAGAUUCAUCACUGAAUCUUCAUCAUCAAAUUUUUUUUCUCUUCGCAAUUCAAAGUGCGAGUUCGCCAUUGGCAAACUCUAGCACUGAUCACGAAGGAAUCAGUGAGAAAAGGAAGAAGAAGGAAAGAAACAGGAAUCUAAAUCGGUGAAGGAGAAGAUAAAGAUCCGAAUCUGUUUCGAAGCAAGAAACCUCACCAGAAACGAUUCAAGUUCUUCCUUAAAGAUCUCCGUUUGAAUCUCCAACUAAACCAGAGGUAAAACGCGUGAACCUUAUUUUUCUUUCUCGAAAAGCAUCAACAAGAACGAAUCGAUGUAGAUCCCUAGGGUUUUCAAAAGUUUCUUUCAAAAAAGAUUGAAAACCUAAAAUGUUUUUCAAAACCGUAAAUAAGAAGUGUAGAUCUACAAAGAUUCAAGCCUUGCAUGCGAAAACUAAUAUCAAAUUCGUGUUUAGAUUGAAGGGACGAGUGAUUUAGGUUUAGUUUGGGUGAGAUCUGGAAAUUUAGGUCACCGGAAACUGCAUGAUCUCGCCGGAGAAGAUGAAGCUUCCGGCGGACCUUCAAGGUCUCCGCCGUCACUUCAUCCUCACCGGUGGUGAGUUCUAGAGAGAAGUGAGAGGGUUAGAGAGAGAACGCGUAAGAGUAGAGAGAGAAAGAGGAGUGAAAAAAUGAGAAAACCGGUGUUCCAUCCUUUAUAUAAGCCAGUGAACCGGACCGGUCCAAGACCGGUCCAAUCCCCUUCGUUCCUGGCCGUUGGAUCUAGGGUUUCCUUCCCUGGAUCAAUCCAACGCUCCUGGUGAAUCCGGAUCUUUUGUUUGGUUUGGGCCUAGGGUUCUUUGCGUUUUUGCUUUUUUUUUGCUGCUAUCUGCACCCUGCUUUUUUGCUACUUGAACCUCUGCAUGCUCAAUCUUUUCUCUAAAAAUUCCAAAAAAAAUUGUUAUAUGUUUCUUAAUACAUUUUAACACUUUUGUGAUAUUUUCCAGUGGUUUAAAAAAUGAUAAAAAGGUGUGUGUUAUUUUUUCUUGUUUAAUUUUGUGUUUGAUCUAAGUUUGUGUAUUUUCGUGGUAUAUUUUCUCAUAAAAUGUUGGCAUGUAAUGUGGAUGAUUGGUGUGUAAUUUCAUGAUGAAUAUGUUGCUGAUCAUGUGUAUAUCUUGCUGAUUGUGGAUGUAGAUUUUCAUGUCUUUCUUGUUUUGCAAGCAAUGUGUGUUUUAUCAAGAAAUAAAGUGCAAAAUAUCUUUGAAAAUGUGUCGUGAUUCUUGGCUUGAAUGUGUCCUAUUUGUUCCCCCAUUAUAGCUCAAAAUCAAAUCCCUUUAACAUUGCUAUAAUGAGGGGAUUAUAGGUCAUGUGCAUUGUCUAAGUGUCAUAACCAAUUUUAGGUAUAUUUUGCCACUUUAUUUCAUUUCAUUACCUUUUUUUCUCUUGCUGUUCUAUUCAAUUUUGUUUACCUUUCUACUAUUUUUAUGCCUUAUGAUACUAACCAUUUCAUCUCACAUUUCAUUCAUCCCAUUAGUUUUAGCAUCUUUUUUUAGUUAUUAUUCAUUUCUAUAUCAGUUGGGUUUGUAAUAAUUUUAGAUAGAUUAGUUCCUUUUUAAUUUCUUUGCAAGACCAUAGCAUGUAUCUAGGACUCAAUGUAAGGGACUAUGGACAUUAUAAGGGAUGUACACCGACACAAGCACCGACACGCACACACGUUGCAUGAUUACCGUUUAGAUGUAUGCAUAGGAAACGCGAUCUUUAGACAAAUGCCAAUUUUCCAAAAAAUAAUAAACUAAUUCCAUCACUCAAAUUUUUUUCAAACAAAUCUUGGAGUCAAAACUCCAUUGAAUUUCUUCUUUUAUUUUCUUAAACAAAUCCAAAUGAAUCCUAAUUUCUACUUAGACUUUUUUAAAUAACAAUUGAACCAACCAUUCACCAUUUUUCCCUCUUAUGCCUUUAAGGCCUCUUUCUCUUCUUCAAAACCAUUUUCCAACAAAAACUAAAAUCAACCAAACACACAAAAAAAAAAAACAUUUUUUGAGAAUGAACUACAUGGAGUUUGAUCCCUUAAAUGGGUAUGUAGGCAUGACGUCAAAACCUCUCCAAGUCCACUAAAAUAAAACCUCAAACACUUUCUCCCCCCAUUCUUCACUCAAAUAAAACUUCCUUUUUUUUAAUAAGUAGGCAAUAAAAAUAAAGCGUAGAAAUAAACUUAGGAGAACGGUUCUUAUGGAAUACCAUAAUCGUUCCGGGUGCCUAACACCUUCCCGUAGCGAAAGCGACCCCCGAACUUAGAAUCUAAGGGUUUUUUCUCAAUUUUGCCCUUCCCAAGAAAAAAUAGAGAAUAUCAAAGAUUGAAAGGUUCAAGCCUAAUUAAUGACUUGACACCCGAAAUCGCGAUAACAGAAAUGGCGACUCCACUGGGGACAUUUUUAGCGGGUCACGCCUAGUUUUCCUUAGUUUAUAUUUACACUUUGUUUUAUUGCUUACAUAUGUGAAUACUUGUUUAUUUUCAUUUGACGUGUGGGGUGAGAAUAUCAAAAGUCCUAUACCCGGGCUGAGUGAACUUAUGAAUAGGUAGAGAUAUAAUCGACAAUUCGAUCCGAGGGUUGCCUCGUGUAUUGGAUUAUGCGAUCAAUCUCACAUAGCUGAGGCAUUUUGGAAGUAAUAUUGUCGGCGUGUGUUGUCAUGCUUAGGCACUUUGCUUUCAAUUGUUCGAUGAUGCUAUGAACCGUAGUUACCAAACCCAUCCCUGGCCCUUUUUAGGACGUAGUGCGGUGGCUAAACCGAGUGUUGUCUCGAGUUUUAGUCGUCACGCGAUACUACACUCAAACUAGACCUUCUUGCGGAUAAACAUGGAACGGACGUUGUCCCGUGCUACCAUGAUAUACGAAAGAGAGGUUGCAGUUUGGGAACUUGAUUAGAACCUUGGUUACUAUUAUCCUAAGCCUUAGUUUACCAGGCACCGUGUCCGCCCGUGGCUCCUCGACUUUAAUCUCAACCCUCCAUGUUUUCUCUGUAAUUGAAAAAACAAUCAUGCAUGCAUGCAUUCAUGCAUAAAUUUUUUCUCAUGCAUUCAUCGAAGGAUUGGACAAAUUAAAAACUUUGUAAACAUUACAGGUAUGAAGAAGACUAAAUCCUACAAGUUCAAGGAGGUUGAUUUGGUUAGUUUGAGAGAGUUGGCACUCAAGGUGAAGAAUCAAACAGGUUUCCGACUCCGGUAUGGUGGUUUGCUUACUAUUCUCCGGACUAAUGUUGAAGAGAAGCUCGUGCACACUCUAGUGCAAUUCUAUGACCCGAGUUUCCGCUGCUUCACUUUCCCGGAUUUCCAGUUGGUCCCUACUCUUGAGGCUUAUUCCCACUUAUUGGAUUCACCUAUAGCCGAGAAGACGCCUUUCGCCGGUCCCGGGGCUUCUCUUACUCCUCUGGUUAUUGCUAAGGAUCUCUAUCUCAAGACUUCCGAUGUCUCUAAGCAUCUGACUACCAAGUCUCACAUCCGAGGGUUCACUUCCAAGUAUCUACUUGAGCAAGCUAGUCUCGAAACUACUUGUCAGGACGCACUCAAGGCUAUUCUUGCACUGCUUAUCUAUGAGCUCAUUCUCUUCCCGAAUCUCGACAACUUUGUGGACAUGAAUGCUAUUGAGAUCUUCCAUUCUAGGAAUCCGGUUCCUACCUUGCUAGCUGACAUGUAUCAUGCUAUCCAUGACCGGACUCUCAAAGGUCGUGGGUAUAUCCUUUGCUGCGUGCCUCUCCUAUAUAGGUGGUUUAUUUCUCACCUUCCGAGCUCCUUCCAUGAUAACUCGGAGGAUUGGUCCUACUCACAGCGGAUGAUGGCUCUCUCUCCUAACGAGGUGGUCUGGAUCACUCCCGCCGCUCAGGUUAAGGAGAUUAUUACUGGUUGUGGAGAUUUUCUCAAUGUACCUCUUCUUGGUACCCGUGGGGGAAUCAACUACAAUCCGGAGCUUGCUAUGAGACAGUUUGGGUUCCCUAUGAAGACAAAGCCCAUCAAUCUUGCCACAUCUCCAGAGUUCUUCUACUAUUCGAACGCCCCAACCGGACAGAGGGAGGCUUUCACAAGGGCUUGGUCUAAGGUCCGUAGGAAGAGUGUGAAGCAUUUGGGUGUGAGAUCUGGUAUUGCUCAUGAGGCCUAUACUCAGUGGGUAAUAAACCGAGCUGAAGAGAUUGGUAUGCCAUACCCUGCUAUGAGACAUGUGGCUGCAUCUGCUCCAUCUAUACCUUUACCUCUACCUCCCACAACUCAGGAGAUGUAUCAGGAGCAUCUGGCCAUGGAAAGUCGUGAGAAACAAAUGUGGAAAGCCCGAUACAAUGAGGCUGAGAAUCUAAUCAUGACUUUGGAUGGUAAGGAUGAGCAGAAGACUCAUGAGAACCUAAUGUUGAAGAAGAAAUUGGUUAAGGUCUGAAGGGAACUUGAAGAAAAGGAUGAGCUACUUAUGCGGGACUCCAAGAGAGCUAGAGGACGACGCAACUUCUAUGCUAGAUAUUGCGGUUCGGAUUCGGAGUCUGAGUCUGAGGAUCAUCCCACUACUUCCUAUGCUUGAGAGUUUUAUUUGUUUAUAUUUCAAAAGUCUUCCCUUAGCUUAGUAUUUCAAAGGGAUUCAUCUUGUAAACGCUUCGUUUUGCUUUGUUUGUUUAGAUGUUGUUUACAAAACUCCUAAUUUGUCUAAAAAAAUCCUUCGAUGUCCAAAAACAACUUUUGCAUUUGCAUUUGUACAUAUCAUGCAUCAUGUGCAUCAUUCAUCAAGCCACAAAAGGUUUACAAGUGCUCACUGCCUCCUGGUUCUUCUGCCACAGAGAUUGAAAGGUGGCUCGUGCUCGGAAAGUUUACGAAUCAGACAGAAUACACCGGACUAGACUCUACAGAAAGAAGAAUUCGGCAGCCAUGGAAGAAGAGAAUGCUCAGCUCCGUACCGAGUUAGCCACUCUAAGGGAAGAAUUGGCUAAAGCUAAUGAUGUCAUGACCGCUCUGCUAGCCGCUCAAGAACAAUCAGCCACAGCUAUCCCUAUAGCCACAGCUAUACCGGUGACUACAAGCAUGCUCCCAACCGCAUCUGCAGACGCUCGCUUUGCUAUGCCAGCUGGGUUUCCAUAUGGGCUUCCACCGUUCUUCACUCCCAGUACUGCAGCGGGCACUUCGGGCACUGCUAACAAUGUUCUGAUCCCUGCAACAAAUGCUGUCUCCAUCAAUGCUACUGUGCCACAAACAACGGCAGCUGUCACCGAGCCUCUUGUGCAUACCAUGCCUCAAAGUGUUAACAUCAACACACAACACGGAAACAUCCCCGUGACCAAAACCAUGGAAGAGAUGAUGGAGGAACUUGCUAAAGAACUCCGUCAUGAGAUCAAAGCCAAUCGAGGAAAUGCGGACUCUUUCAAAACUCAAGAUCUCUGCUUGGUGUCAAAGGUGGAUGUCCCUAAGAAGUUCAAAAUCCCAGAUUUCGACCGAUACAACGGGCUGACUUGUCCCCAGAACCACAUCAUCAAGUAUGUCCGAAAGAUGGGCAAUUACAAAGACAAUGAUUCCCUUAUGAUCCACUGCUUCCAAGAUAGUUUGAUGGAAGAUGCUGCAGAGUGGUAUACUAGUUUGAGCAAAAAUGACAUCCAUACCUUUGAUGAAUUAGCCGCUGCUUUCAAGAGCCACUAUGGGUUUAACACCCGAUUGAAGCCGAACAGGGAAUUCCUCAGAUCUCUCUCCCAGAAGAAGGAGGAAAGCUUCGGUGAAUACGCACAGAGAUGGAGGGGGGCAGCUGCCCGCAUUACUCCCGCUCUUGAUGAAGAAGAAAUGACCCAGACAUUCUUAAAGACCUUGAAGAAGGAUUAUGUUGAGAGAAUGAUCAUUGCUGCCCCGAAUAACUUUUCGGAGAUGGUCACCAUGGGAACUCGUCUGGAAGAAGCUGUCAGGGAUGGAAUCAUUGUGUUCGAGAAAGCUGAAUCCUCUGUGAAUGCAUCAAAGAGGUAUGGUAAUGGACACCACAAGAAGAAAGAAACGGAAAUAGGGAUGGUGUCAGCUGGAGCCGGUCAAUCCAUGGCUACUGUUGCUCCUAUCAAUGCAGCCCAAAUGCCUCCGUCAUACCCAUAUGUGCCGUAUUCUCAGCAUCCUUUCUUUCCGCCAUUUUAUCAUCAGUACCCUCUGCCACCGGGUCAACCUCAAGUACCCGUUAAUGCAAUCGCUCAACAGAUGAAACAACAGUUGCCAGUUCAACAACAACAACAAAAUCAGCAAGCUAGACCUACUUUCCCUCCGAUACCGAUGUUAUAUGCUGAGUUGCUUCCAACUUUACUCCAUAGAGGGCAUUGUACAACCAGACAGGGCAAGCCCCCACCUGAUCCGUUGCCUCCCAGGUUCAGGUCCGAUCUCAAAUGUGAUUUUCAUCAAGGCGCCCUGGGUCAUGAUGUCGAGGGGUGCUAUGCUUUGAAGUAUAUCGUGAAGAAGCUCAUUGAUCAAGGAAAGCUGACUUUUGAGAAUAAUGUCCCACAUGUCCUCGACAAUCCUCUUCCAAAUCAUGCCGCUGUAAAUAUGAUCGAAGUAUGUGAGGAAGCUCCUAGACUUGAUGUCCGUAACGUCGCAACUCCUCUGGUGCCUCUACACAUCAAGCUGUGCAAAGCUUCUCUGUUCAGCCAUGAUCAUGCCAAGUGCCUAGGAUGCCUUCGUAAUCCUUUGGGUUGCUAUACUGUUCAAGAUGACAUCCAAAGCUUGAUGAAUGAUAAUUUUUUGACUGUCAGUGAUGUCUGCGUAAUUGUGCCAGUUUUUCACGAUCUGCCUGUCAAAAGUAUGCCUUCGAAGGAGAAUGCUGAGCCUCUGGUGAUAAGGUUGCCCGGACCGGUACCGUAUACUUCAGAUAGGGCUAUCCCGUACAAAUACAAUGCUACCAUAAUCGAAAACGGAGUAGAAGUGCCUCUGGUGUCCUUGGCUGUGAUGAACAAUACCGCCGAAGGAACUUCAGCAGCCCUAAGAAGCGGAAGAGUCCGUCCACCGUUGUUUCAAAAGAAGGCAGCUACGCCUACUGUGCCACCCAUUGACAAGUCAACCCCGACUGAUGUUUCUCCCGUUAACAGAGACGCGAGCCAACCAGGCCGGUCUAUAGAGGAUUCUAAUCUGGACGAGAUGUUGAGGUUGAUCAAAAGAAGUGAUUAUAAGAUUGUGGAUCAGCUGCUGCAAACUCCGUCGAAGAUAUCCAUUUUGUCUCUACUUCUGAGUUCCGCUGCCCACAGAGAUACCCUUUUGAAAGUAUUGGAGCAGGCUUAUGUGGAUCAUGAAGUCACUGUGGAUCACUUUGGUAGCAUAGUGGGGAACAUUACCGCCUGCAGCAACCUGUGGUUCGGUGAAGAUGAAUUGCCCGAAGCAGGAAAACAUCAUAAUCUGGCCUUGCAUAUCUCUGUGAAUUGCAAGUCCGACAUGAUCUCAAAUGUGUUAGUAGACACUGGCUCAUCUUUGAACGUGAUGCCCAAGUCAACGCUGGAUCAGCUGAGUUACCGGGGAACUCCCUUGAGGAGGAGCACUUUUCUGGUCAAAGCUUUUGAUGGAACCCGCAAGAGCGUUCUCGGGGAGAUAGACUUGCCCAUAACUAUCGGCCCCGAAACCUUUCUAAUCACCUUUCAAGUCAUGGAUAUUAACGCCUCUUACAGCUGUCUCUUGGGUAGACCUUGGAUACAUGACGCGGGGGCGGUGACCUCUACUUUGCACCAAAAGUUGAAAUUUGCAAAAAGUGGAAAGCUUGUUACCAUUCAUGGAGAGGAAGCAUACCUGGCUAGCCAGCUAUCAUCUUUCUCUUGCAUAGAAGCAGGGUCUGCAGAGGGGACCGCCUUUCAAGGAUUAACUGUCGAAGGUACGGAGCCCAAGAGGGAUGGAACUGCCAUGGCUUCUUUGAAGGAUGCACAGAGAGCCGUCCAAGAGGGUCAAGCUGCCGGCUGGGGCAGGUUAAUACAGCUUCGUGAGAACAAGCAUAAGGAAGGUCUUGGCUUCUCCCCAACUUCAGGAGUUUCCACCGGGGCAUUCUAUAGUGCUGGGUUUGUCAACGCAAUCACAGAAGAAGCAACUGGAUUUGGCCCGAGGCCUGUAUUUGUUACACCAGGAGGCAUUGCGAGAGAUUGGGAUGCCAUUGACAUUCCCUCAAUCAUGCAUGUUUCUGAGUAAUAUACCUUGUUGCUUAAGUAUCUUGUUUUUUUAAAAUAACAAUCAUCUCGCUCUGCCCAAAGCGAGAGUGAUAUUUUCUGUAAGGGCAUGUUUGUUUCGGCAUUGCCGUUGAUUAAUAAAAAAUUUGUCGUUUCUUUCACGACUGCUUUUUAGUACCUUUUUUUCUUGGAAAUAAUGGUAAUGCCAGAAAAAACCAAAACAUCUGUAUUUUCUUAUUAAUUUCAAAAAUCUGCAUAAAAAACCUCUUUCUAAAAUCAUCCAACCAUUUUACGCAGAUUGAACUAUAAUAAACCCGUUGGGCACAGUAAUCCUGCAUUCCCUCCGAAUUUUGAGUUCCCAGUGUAUGAAGCCGAAGAUGAGGAAGGUGAUGACAUACCAUAUGAGAUCACUCGGCUACUUGAGCAAGAAAAGAAAGCCAUUCAGCCUCACCAGGAAGAGAUUGAGCUUAUCAACAUAGGUACCGAGGAGAACAAGCGAGAAAUCAAGAUCGGUGCUAUUCUAGAGGAAGGGGUUAAAAAGAAGAUCAUCCAACUCCUCCGGGAAUAUCCGGAUAUUUUUGCAUGGUCGUAUGAAAAUAUGCCAGGUCUAGAUCCUAUGGUUGUGGAGCAUCGGAUCCCCACCAAGCCUGAAUGUCCUCCCGUCAGGCAGAAAUUGAGAAGGACUCAUCCAGAUAUGGCUCUCAAGAUUAAGAGCGAGGUUCAAAAACAGAUUGAUGCGGGUUUCCUCAUGACAGUUGAGUACCCUGAAUGGGUUGCCAAUAUUGUACCUGUGCCAAAGAAGGAUGGUAAAGUCCGGAUGUGUGUUGACUUCAGAGACCUGAACAAAGCCAGUCCAAAAGACAACUUUCCAUUACCUCAUAUUGAUGUGCUUGUUGAUAAUACUGCUCAGUCUAAGGUGUUCUCCUUCAUGGAUGGUUUCUCCGGUUACAAUCAGAUCAAAAUGUCUCCCGAAGAUAGAGAAAAGACGUCUUUUAUCACUCCAUGGGGUACUUUCUGCUACAAAGUGAUGCCGUUCGGCCUAAUAAAUGUUGGUGCUACCUACCAAAGAGGGAUGACUACUCUGUUUCAUGACAUGAUUCACAAAGAAGUCGAAGUGUAUGUGGAUGAUAUGAUUGUGAAGUCAACAGAUGAGGAGCAACAUGUUGAAUAUUUGACGAAGAUGUUUGAAAGGUUGAGAAAAUACAAGCUUCGAUUGAAUCCCAACAAAUAUACAUUCGGCGUCAGAUCCGGGAAGUUAUUAGGCUUCAUUGUCAGCCAAAAGGGCAUUGAAGUCGAUCCUGAUAAAGUCCGGGCCAUCCGAGAAAUGCCAGCUCCACAGACCGAGAAGCAAGUCAGAGGUUUCCUCGGACGUUUGAAUUACAUCUCCCGAUUCAUAUCUCACAUGACCGCAACCUGCGGGCCGGUCUUCAAGCUACUCAGAAAGAAUCAACCUAUUGUAUGGAAUGAUGAAUGUCAAGAAGCUUUUGACAGCAUCAAGAAUUACCUGCUGGAACCACCUAUCCUUGUCCCACCCGUGGAAGGAAGGCCCUUGGUUAUGUAUUUGGCAGUAUUUGAUGAGUCCAUGGGAUGCGUACUUGGUCAACAAGAUGAGACUGGAAAGAAAGAACAUGCUAUCUACUAUCUAAGCAAGAAGUUCACCGAUUGUGAAACUCGGUAUACAAUGCUUGAGAAGACUUGUUGUGCUUUGGCCUGGGCCAGCAAGAAGUUCACCGAUUGUGAAACUCGGUAUACAAUGCUUGAGAAAACUUGUUGUGCUUUGGCCUGGGCCGCUAAACGCCUGCGUCAUUAUUUGGUGAAUCAUACAACUUGGUUGAUAUCCAGAAUGGAUCCGAUAUAGUAUAUCUUUGAGAAAGCUGCUGUUACUGGGAAAAUUGCACGCUGGCAGAUGCUUUUGUCUGAAUACGAUAUUGUGUUCAAAACUCAAAAGGCAAUCAAAGGUAGCAUUCUUGCCGAUCAUCUUGCGUACCAACCUCUUGAUGAUUACCAACCAAUUGAGUUCGAUUUCCCCGAUGAAGAGAUCAUGUAUUUGAAAUCCAAAGACUACGAAGAACCGUUGAUUAAUGAAGGUCCAGAUCCCAAUAGCAAGUGGGGUUUAGUCUUUGAUGGUGCUGUCAAUGCUUAUGGUAAAGGAAUUGGGGCAGUCAUUGUAUCCCCACAGGGGCAUCACAUCCCUUUUACCGCCAGAAUUCUGUUCGAAUGUACAAACAAUAUGGCUGAGUAUGAAGCAUGUAUCUUUGGGAUCGAGGAAGCAAUUGACAUGAGAAUCAAACACCUCGACAUCUAUGGAGAUUCUGCGCUCGUCAUCAAUCAGAUAAAGGGUGAAUGGGAGACCCACCAUGCUAAGUUGAUUCCUUAUCGUGAUUAUGCGAGACGUUUGCUGACAUAUUUUACAAAGGUUGAGCUGCACCAUAUUCCUCGUGAUGAGAACCAAAUGGCUGAUGCUCUUGCCACUCUAUCUUCCAUGUUUCGAGUGAACCGUUGGAAUGAUGUGCCAGUAAUCAAAGUGCAACGCCUUGAAAGACCUUCACAUGUGUUUGCUAUUGGGGAUGUGAUUGAUCAGGCUGGUGAAAAUGUGGUUGACUAUAAACCCUGGUACUACGACAUCAAACAGUUCUUGCUGAGCCGUGAGUAUCCGCCGGGUGCUUCCAAACAAGAUAAGAAGACCCUGAGAAGAUUGGCCAGUAGAUUCCUGUUAGAUGGAGAUAUUCUGUACAAGAGAAACUAUGACAUGGUAUGGUUAAGAUGUGUUGAUGAACAUGAAGCAGAGCAGUUAAUGCAUGAUGUACAUGACGGUACCUUCGGGACCCAUGCUACAGGGCAUACUAUGUCAAGGAAGUUGUUACGGGCAGGUUACUACUGGAUGACCAUGGAGCAUGAUUGCUACCAGCACGCCAGAAAGUGCCACAAAUGUCAAAUCUAUGCUGAUAAGAUUCAUGUGCCGCCGCACGCUCUCAAUGUUAUUUCAUCCCCAUGGCCGUUCUCAAUGUGGGGCAUCGACAUGAUUGGAAGAAUUGAACCGAAGGCUUCAAAUGGUCAUCGUUUCAUCUUAGUGGCAAUUGACUACUUCACCAAGUGGGUUGAAGCAGCAUCUUAUACCAAUGUGACCAAGCAAGUGGUAGCUAAGUUCAUCAAGAACAACAUCAUCUGUCGAUAUGGUGUUCCCAGCAAGAUUAUUACCGACAAUGGUACCAACUUGAAUAACAAUGUGGUGCAAGCUCUUUGUGAAGAAUUCAAAAUUGAGCAUCAUAACUCUUCUCCCUAUAGACCUCAGAUGAAUGGUGCAGUUGAGGCCGCCAACAAGAAUAUCAAGAGAAUUGUCCAGAAGAUGGUAACCACUUACAAGGACUGGCAUGAGAUGUUACCCUAUGCUCUGCAUGGCUACCGUACUACAGUGCGCAGUUCAACCGGGGCAACCCCUUUCUCUCUUGUAUAUGGUACGGAAGCAGUUCUUCCUUUGGAAGUGGAAAUCCCAUCUCUCCGUGUGAUCAUGGAAGCUAAGUUAUCCGAGGCUGAAUGGUGCCAGAGCCGGUAUGAUCAGUUGAAUUUGAUUGAGGAAAAACGUAUGGAUGCCAUGGCUCGUGGACAGUCAUAUCAAGCAAGAAUGAAGACUGCUUUUGACAAGAAAGUCCAUCCUCGAGAAUUCAAGGUAGGGGAACUCGUAUUGAAAAGGAGGAUAAGCCAGCAACCCGAUCCAAGGGGCAAGUGGACGCCUAACUAUGAAGGUCCUUAUGUUGUCAAGAAGGCCUUCUCCGGUGGUGCUUUAAUCCUUACACACAUGGAUGGUGUAGAACUUCCAAAUCCAGUGAAUGCCGAUAUAGUCAAGAAAUACUUUGCCUAGAAAUGUGAAAAGAACAGCGUGGUAGGUCGAAAACCCGAAAGGGCGGCCUAGGCAAAAAUGCGCUUCCCGGUGGAUCGAAAACCCGAAAGGGCGGUCCAGGCAAAAAUAAGGGACAAAAAAAUAUAUAUGAAAAGCUCGCUGAGAUUGUACACAACUCAGGCAAGAAUGAGCGUCUCGAUGAGCCGAAAACCCGGAAGGGCGGUUCAUGCAAAAAUGAGAUUGAAACAAAAGGCAAGUAACUAUAUCUGGCCAACCACCGUCUCCCUUGGGGCAUCUGCAGCUGUUAAUGACAAUCUUCAUCAAAAGCUCUUAUGCUUGCGAAUUCAAAGUUUCUAGGAAAUGUCAUGAUUGCUGUGUUCAAUGUACCACCAACCAAUAAAAUUACCAUUUUCCAAGCUUUGUAAAUCCGUGGAGUCGCGCCUUCGGCUGACCACCACUCUUAUACAUCAAUUUGAGCCUGUGCUUUUGUUUGAAACUCUGCUUUCUUUUUACUUUCAAAGUUAUGUACAAAAACAUUUUCCUUCUAUUUUUAAUAAUGACAAAUGCUCGAAACAAACAUCUUGAAAAUUGAAAAAGUUUUUUUGAAAAGCAAACCUGAGCAACAGGGUACAUUCAAAUGAACAUGCAUGAGCGAGUGUGUGUUGGUGUCUAUUUCAAUAUAUGUUACAAGCAGGUUCUCCUCCAGGAUAGUCUGUGGUCAAUGGCAAGAAUGAAAAAACAGAAUGAAAAUGCUAAGUUGAAAACCCGGAAGGGCGGCUUAGGCAAAAAUGAGCACCCCGCUGGAUUGACAACCCGAAAGGGCAGUUCAGGCAAAAAUGGGGCAAUAAAAAGAAUUUAUCUCCCCGGUGGAUCGAAAACCCGAAAGGGCGAUCCAGGCAAAAUGGGAUGCAAAAAAAAUGAUGAAUGAAAAUUGAGAAAAUAACAUGCAAAAAGCAUUGACCACAGAUGCGACGUCCACGAUACAUCCGGCAUUAUUCCCAGUAGAGUCUCCCGAGAUUCUAUCCCCAGCAAGUUGCAUAGCUACCUGCCCUCAGCCAUGGUCCCGAUACGUCUCCCAACGACGUCAUCUCCAAAGAGGAUUUCCAGGAAUGUGUAAUAUAGCACGAGCCACUACAUGCCCAAUACUCCAACAUCUUGUCUGUCUCUGCGAAACUGUGUCUACAAAUCGCCAACAGUCAUGCAUAACAAGCAUUCAUACAUGCAUAAUCAUGCAUAUUACACACCCAUGCAUUUAAUAAAACUGUUAUAUCAUCCAUACAUAUUGCAUUUCCAAUGUUAACAUCAAUCUCAAUUCAAUACUCAUGUCAGGUUCUCCGUCAAAACCUUGUGAGCCAAUAAUUUUGGUCAGUUUCUACCUUUCAAAUCAAAUCGACGUCAAGUCAGUUUCAAUCUAUAUUUUGUCAAAAAACAAUCCCCUGUGAAUUUGUUUCUGUUCGGUCAAGUGGCUAGUUCAAGUCCAAAAACAGCUUGUACCUAUCAAUUUGCUUAUGUUAUCGGUCGAGUGCCCAGCUCAAUCCAAGAGCAGUUCGUACCUGUCAAUAUGUUUCUGUUUGGUCAAGUUAGCAGUUCGCAUCCAAGAACGACUUGUACCCGUUUACUUUUCAAUGUUAUCGGUCGAGUUACCAGUUCGAAUCCAAGAACAGCUCGUACCUGUCUAUGUGUCUAUGAUUUUGGUCAAGUGGCUAGUUCAAGUCCAAGAACAGCUUGUACCCGUCUAUCUGUUUCUGUUCGCUCAAGUGGCUAGUUCAAUCCAAGAGCAGCUUGCGCCUGUCUAUUUGUCUUUGUCUCCGGUGGAGUAACCAGUUCGCAUCCAAGAACAAGCUCGCACCUGUCUAUUUGCCUUUGCUUUCAGUCGAGUAACCAGUUCGAAUCAAGAACAACUCGUACCUGCCUACCUUUCUAUGUCCCCGGUCGAGUGACCAGUUCGAAUCCAAGGAUAACUCGCACCUGCUUGUCUGCUUUUAUCCCCGGUCAAGUGCCCAGCUCAAUCCAAGAGCAGCUUGUACCCGUCAAUUUAUUCCUAGUCUCCUAUCUACCCUGUUAUCUGUUAUCUUGUCAAUGUCUACCAAUCCCGCAAUGGAUACGACAUCUUUUGUUAAUUCCAGUUUUCGUUUGUCUUGCACUCAUAAUCCAAAUGUUGCAUGGCAUUCAUGAUAUUUGAAAAUGUACAAGCGUAUUUUUACGUCCAAACACAGGGCAAAUGUUAAUAUUUAAGUAUCUUCGUCCCGUCAAGCCAAAGACUCCGUCUCUUGACCCUCCAGACAAAGAAACUUAAAUAGGGGCAGCUGUUAUACCCUGAUUUUGGACCUAAAAAUACUCGUUCAAAUUUCUUUUUUAACACUGAUAUUUGUCAAUUCUCUGUUAUUUUUUCUCUGAAUCUUUAAUUUCUUUUUAAAACAUAUUUUACUGCCUCUGUCUGUCUUUUCUUGCAUUACAAGUCAUUUAAGAACUCUCUGAAGCGUCGCAUUACUUUUCUCACAUUUUUAUUUCAAAAAAUCAUAUAAAAGGGUAUUUUGGUCAUUUCCUGCAGUGGAACCCGUUUUAGUCCCUGUGUUUGCCUCUGAGCCUUUUCAAUUUGUCUGUACAAAUCAUUGUUGAGUCUUUGUUUAAAAAAUCAUUUCAAAAAUUGCAUCUGAGUCAGUCUGAGUCAGUUUAGUCCCUAGGGGCAUUUUGGUCUUUUCCUGUCAAAAUUUCGGCAGAGAGGUAUUUUAAAAUACCUCAUUUUUGUAGCUGGUUCAUUUUAGUCCUUUUGUUGAUUUUAUUUUUGGUUUCACUUUACGUUUUUUUCAAAUUACCAAUUUUAGUCCAAUUUUAUUUUUUAAUUGCAUUUUAGUCCCUGAACAGUUUCUAAAAUUGCAUUUUAGUCCAAAAUUCUUAAAAUUACUUUUUAGUCCCUUUUUUUUUCAUAUUGCAGUUUAGUCCUCAAUUUCACUUUUUUGCAGAAAGGUCCAAGUCCAGAUGGCAGCGCCUCAUUGGUCCAAAAUUACACAUGGCAGCCUAUAAAAGGCGCAUUCAAUGCACAAGUAAAAAAAAAAUUUUAGUCACGCGCCCUCAUCACAAACACUUUCCAACUUUCUCUUUCUGCUCUCAAAGAUCAAAACUCAACAAAUUCCAGAAACCACGAAGAACACCAAGAAUACUCAAACCCUAACCGUUUCCAAAUUCCACCAGAAUCAUCACAAAUCAACACAGAACGUCACAAAUCAGCGCAAAUCAACGAAGAAUCAACAAGAUCCCUUGCGAUUCUCAGAGAUUCAUCACUGAAUCUUCAUCAUCAAAUUUUUUUUCUCUUCGCAAUUCAAAGUGCGAGUUCGCCAUUGGCAAACUCUAGCACUGAUCACGAAGGAAUCAGUGAGAAAAGGAAGAAGAAGGAAAGAAACAGGAAUCUAAAUCGGUGAAGGAGAAGAUAAAGAUCCGAAUCUGUUUCGAAGCAAGAAACCUCACCAGAAACGAUUCAAGUUCUUCCUUAAAGAUCUCCGUUUGAAUCUCCAACUAAACCAGAGGUAAAACGCGUGAACCUUAUUUUUCUUUCUCGAAAAGCAUCAACAAGAACGAAUCGAUGUAGAUCCCUAGGGUUUUCAAAAGUUUCUUUCAAAAAAGAUUGAAAACCUAAAAUGUUUUUCAAAACCGUAAAUAAGAAGUGUAGAUCUACAAAGAUUCAAGCCUUGCAUGCGAAAACUAAUAUCAAAUUCGUGUUUAGAUUGAAGGGACGAGUGAUUUAGGUUUAGUUUGGGUGAGAUCUGGAAAUUUAGGUCACCGGAAACUGCAUGAUCUCGCCGGAGAAGAUGAAGCUUCCGGCGGACCUUCAAGGUCUCCGCCGUCACUUCAUCCUCACCGGUGGUGAGUUCUAGAGAGAAGUGAGAGGGUUAGAGAGAGAACGCGUAAGAGUAGAGAGAGAAAGAGGAGUGAAAAAAUGAGAAAACCGGUGUUCCAUCCUUUAUAUAAGCCAGUGAACCGGACCGGUCCAAGACCGGUCCAAUCCCCUUCGUUCCUGGCCGUUGGAUCUAGGGUUUCCUUCCCUGGAUCAAUCCAACGCUCCUGGUGAAUCCGGAUCUUUUGUUUGGUUUGGGCCUAGGGUUCUUUGCGUUUUUGCUUUUUUUUUGCUGCUAUCUGCACCCUGCUUUUUUGCUACUUGAACCUCUGCAUGCUCAAUCUUUUCUCUAAAAAUUCCAAAAAAAAUUGUUAUAUGUUUCUUAAUACAUUUUAACACUUUUGUGAUAUUUUCCAGUGGUUUAAAAAAUGAUAAAAAGGUGUGUGUUAUUUUUUCUUGUUUAAUUUUGUGUUUGAUCUAAGUUUGUGUAUUUUCGUGGUAUAUUUUCUCAUAAAAUGUUGGCAUGUAAUGUGGAUGAUUGGUGUGUAAUUUCAUGAUGAAUAUGUUGCUGAUCAUGUGUAUAUCUUGCUGAUUGUGGAUGUAGAUUUUCAUGUCUUUCUUGUUUUGCAAGCAAUGUGUGUUUUAUCAAGAAAUAAAGUGCAAAAUAUCUUUGAAAAUGUGUCGUGAUUCUUGGCUUGAAUGUGUCCUAUUUGUUCCCCCAUUAUAGCUCAAAAUCAAAUCCCUUUAACAUUGCUAUAAUGAGGGGAUUAUAGGUCAUGUGCAUUGUCUAAGUGUCAUAACCAAUUUUAGGUAUAUUUUGCCACUUUAUUUCAUUUCAUUACCUUUUUUUCUCUUGCUGUUCUAUUCAAUUUUGUUUACCUUUCUACUAUUUUUAUGCCUUAUGAUACUAACCAUUUCAUCUCACAUUUCAUUCAUCCCAUUAGUUUUAGCAUCUUUUUUUAGUUAUUAUUCAUUUCUAUAUCAGUUGGGUUUGUAAUAAUUUUAGAUAGAUUAGUUCCUUUUUAAUUUCUUUGCAAGACCAUAGCAUGUAUCUAGGACUCAAUGUAAGGGACUAUGGACAUUAUAAGGGAUGUACACCGACACAAGCACCGACACGCACACACGUUGCAUGAUUACCGUUUAGAUGUAUGCAUAGGAAACGCGAUCUUUAGACAAAUGCCAAUUUUCCAAAAAAUAAUAAACUAAUUCCAUCACUCAAAUUUUUUUCAAACAAAUCUUGGAGUCAAAACUCCAUUGAAUUUCUUCUUUUAUUUUCUUAAACAAAUCCAAAUGAAUCCUAAUUUCUACUUAGACUUUUUUAAAUAACAAUUGAACCAACCAUUCACCAUUUUUCCCUCUUAUGCCUUUAAGGCCUCUUUCUCUUCUUCAAAACCAUUUUCCAACAAAAACUAAAAUCAACCAAACACACAAAAAAAAAAAAAACAUUUUUUGAGAAUGAACUACAUGGAGUUUGAUCCCUUAAAUGGGUAUGUAGGCAUGACGUCAAAACCUCUCCAAGUCCACUAAAAUAAAACCUCAAACACUUUCUCCCCCCAUUCUUCACUCAAAUAAAACUUCCUUUUUUUUAAUAAGUAGGCAAUAAAAAUAAAGCGUAGAAAUAAACUUAGGAGAACGGUUCUUAUGGAAUACCAUAAUCGUUCCGGGUGCCUAACACCUUCCCGUAGCGAAAGCGACCCCCGAACUUAGAAUCUAAGGGUUUUUUCUCAAUUUUGCCUUUCCCAAGAAACAAUAGAGAAUAUCAAAGAUUGAAAGGUUCAAGCCUAAUUAAUGACUUGACACCCGAAAUCGCGAUAACAGAUAUGUAUACAACUUUCUUUUAAAAUUAAAAAUUUGUUAACAUAUUUAAAUUCCAUCAAGAAUCAGGCGGUCUUUAUAAAUGUUAACUGAGUCUCUAAGAUUACACUAUCGAUGACCCUUAACCGGUUAACUAAUACUUUGGCCAACACCUAUACAAACUUCCAACUAAAGAAGUGGGUCGAAAAUCAUUUAACAUCUACGAAUGGUCUAUUUUAGAAAUAAGAGCGAUGAAAGAGUUAUUUAUCCCUUUCAGAAGUUUCCCAUUUCAAUGAAAAUCCAAGACAAAUAUCUUAAGAUCAUGCUUUAAGUCAAUCCAAAAAUCUUUAAUAAACCCAAAAUGAACAUCAUCUGAUCCAUCACAUUUAAAACUAUCGCAAUCUCAAACCUCAAUUUUCACCUCUUUCAAAGAGAAAGGCCUAGUCAGAUCGACCCCUUCCAUAUAAGUCAUAGAUUGGUGCAGUAUUAUAUAUGUGGAUUAAAUCGCAAUGCUUUAUAUAUUUUUUUCAUAUCACCAACAUGGUGUGGACAAUUGACAAAUAAUUGAUUCUUUUAAGUAUAGUCAUGAGUUCAAUUUAUGGUCAAUGUGUAUGGAAGAACAUCAACCAUUUAAAUGAAUUUUUAAACAUCUCCCUCCAAUGAAAUUAAGGAGCUCAAAACUACGACAUGUUAUUAAGAUCCAAGUAAACCUUAACAAGUGAUUAUAUUAUUAUUUAAAAUAUAUUAUAAUUUAUAGAAAAACUCUCCAAUUUUUAUUUCAAUCACAAGUAUUAUUUUUUCUAAAUUAUAAGUAUUAUAGUUUAGAGGUAUACAAAAAAUUAAAAGUUGGUUAACAUAUAUAUAAAUUGUAUCGUAUCAAAAGAUUAAAAAAAAAAAAAAAAAAAAGAAGAAGAAGGGGAAUGCAUAGAUAAUUUAGACAAAAGAAGAGAAAAUAAAUAUAAUAAAAUCUAAUUUCAAAAUAGAAUUUACCAUUGCAAUCCUUUCUCAUUUCGCUAUCUUUCUGUUUCGUAAAUAUCUUUUCUUUUGCCGCGACAAUAUGAUACCGUCUUCAACUCUCCUAUCCCUCGCCGGCGCCUUCGCUCCGGUCAGCUUCUCCGGCGAAAUGGGUCAUCCCCAAACCAACUCUUCUUCAAAACCCAGAAAGGUUUUCACCAGUUUCUGCAAAAAGGCACUUCCUUUGCAACGGCACAGUAUCAAUAGUUUGAAUUUGAAGAGAAGGAACUCACUUUUGAGCUUUGCUUUCGGUAAAGAAGCCAAUGACAACUCUUUCUCGGUAUAAUAAUUUCUUAUUGUUGCAACAGUUUUUUUCCUUCAAAAAUGAGUUCUGUUUAGAUUUUGGGCUCCAUUGAAAGUGAAGAUAUUUUGAAAGCAUACUCAAAUAUAAAAUAUGUUCAUUUAUGCAAUUUAGAAAACUUUGAGGAGACAAAUAUUUUAUACUGUUGAAGGCGUGUCUGGUGUACGACACAACACAACUUGUGUGUUAUGAUUGUCUGACACUAAUACAUUAGUUACAUUCAAUUACUUUCAAUUUUUUAGUUAUUACUAGUGUUUAUGUUUAGGUGUUAAUGUUGUGUUCGGCGUGUGUUUGUGUUGGUGCUUCAUAGUUCAUAGGAGCAACUUUUUUCCUAUAUAGUUAUUUUUCUUUGAUAAAAUUCAUUGUCAUAUAAUCAUAUCUUAUUAGCUAUGUGUAUAGAUUCAGAAUAAGAUGUUUAAAUCCUUUUGCUUAUGUCUAAAGAUAAUUUUAAUGUUCAUACAUUAUUUGAAUGUUGACUAUAGAGGAACAUAACAUAAUGUAAAUGUUAACUGAGAUAAGGUUAGUUCCCCCAUUCCACCCGAGGGUUCCGAUCGCGGCCUUUACUAAUGUCAGUUAUUUUGGCAGUUUGAUUAAUGUUUUGUCCUGAUUUGAGCAGUUUAAAGUAGUUACACAAUGUAUUGGAAAAAACCCAAAUCCCACAUUGAAAAGAUAGGGCUCUAGAUAAGAGUUUAUAAAAAGAGACACUCCUCACCUUACAAGCCGGUUUUGUAAGGAUGAGUUAGACCCAAUUUCAACGCUACGCUCCAGACCUCUCACCGUUGUAUUGUCUGGUUUGGUUUUGUAAGAAUGAGUUAGACCCAAUUUCAACGCUACGCUUCCAGGUCUCUCACCGGUGCAUUGUCUGGUUUGGUUUUUAAAACAUAGGUUUUAAACUACCAAACCACAACCUUUUCCCCUUCAUCUCCUCUUUAGUGUCUAGAAAUUGUCAUUUGUUUUUCAUCACUUUCUUUUCCUCUGUUUAAUGUUGAUUCUUAGAGACCUGAAUUUUAACUACCAAAAUUGAGAAAGGAAUCUAAUUCCUAUUAAGGAUUUGUUUUACUCAUUUAAUUUAUUUGUGCACUGAAUGAAUUUAUAUAAUCACAAUGGUUCGAUCUUGUGUAAAAUUUCAACUGCCUGUUUUUUCUAUCUGUCAUGCCUUUUGAGAUUAACGUUUCUCAUCAAGGGUGCGUAAAUAACAAAUUAUAUGAUUUUCAGGAUGUAGGUGAAGAUACCGAUGAUAUGUAUGAUGAAUUAUUAAGUAACUAUGGACAAGUAGUAUAUAAGAGAAAAGACCAAAAGCCUGCAAGUGCAGAGAUUGAUGAUGAUUCCGAAAGCCUAUCAUGUAAGCUAAUAAAAAGUUUUGUAAAUUAAUUUUCUUCUACCUUGUUUACAUUUCUUUUUACAAUCUGUCUUUUUAAACAUGUUUGUGCCUUAUAUCAGGUUUCUUUGUAAUUGUAUUUGUUCUACUGUUACAAAAACUUGUUCAGUUUAUGUUUAUAUGAAUCUAUCUAAUGUUGAGUAUGUUAACUGUUGUGCAUCUAGUUGCUGUGGAACUGGCCACGGUUGCAAGUGAGGUUAAGGCAGGGGAUAUAAAGGUCUUGUUUGUGAAGCCACUUGUUUACUGGACUCGAUUUUUUAUCAUAGCUACAGCAUUUUCUCGUCCCCAAAUUGAUGCUAUCGGGUAUGGAACCUGUCAUUGAUCUUUAUAUAUUUAUUUAGCAAUGUUCAUUUUUUUUCUUUCCUCAAAGGAUGUAUAUUUAAUCCUAUUUAUAUUGAAUUUUAUUUAGGUCAAGAAUUAGAGACCGAGCUGAAAAGAAAUAUGGUAAAAUUCCAAAUGGAGACUUGAAACCCAACUCAUGGACCCUGUUGGACUUCGGUAAGUCACUUUACAAUACAAUAGAGCCCUCUAAUUGUCUGCAUUUUAUAAAAACAAAUCCCUUGAAGUUUCCCAUUGCACUUGUAGAAGAGGUACAUUCACCAAGAAAGACAUAACUUCUAGAAAUUUAACAUUAUACUCUAACAAAAUGCAUAAUCAGAAGCAAAGAUGCAGGAUACCUCAACAUGAUUCUCCCCUUUGUCCCUAUCAAAACCUUCUAAAUCAAUCAACAUAAAUUGCAUUAAAUUCCAGUUCCAAAAGCCUAUAUUUGACACAAUCAGACAUCUGUAUUGCAACAUAAAUUGCAUUGAAUCGUAGUCAUAUCAUGUAUAUUGUUUGGUAGCCGUGUUUCUGAAUACAUUCUGAUACAGGUUCAUCUUAAUGAUUGUUUCUUGAUCACAGGUGAUGUUGUUGUCCAUUUAUUUCUUCCCCCACAAAGAGCUUUCUAUAAUUUGGAAGAGUUUUAUGGUAAUGCAACAUCAGUAGAGCUGCCUUUUGAAAAUCAACCACCAUUUCGCAAUGAGGGAGCCUACGGUUUUUCGGAUGAUGCAGAAAGUUGAUUAAUUGUUAGCUUUGAGAAGACCAAUAAUCACUGUCAAUUUAAGUUUGUUUACAUUAGCAUGAUGUAAACAAUUCAACACACUUAUCCACACAAGACUUUGCUUGUGUGAUGAGUGGAGGCUCAUUCCAUUGCAGAAAGGAAAGUGACAGUAUCAAUUGAUUCAAUGUUCAGUUUUUUCUUUCUUUCUUAGUAUGGUAUUUCCUCUAAGAAAACUGUAAUAGAUGGGUUUGGAUAAGCAGGGAGGGAAGGGGUAGAAAACUAGAAAAGUAGAUCAGAAUUGUUUGUAUUCAUCAAAUUGGCCAUGUGAAUCUAUCUAUAUUUAUGCAGUAUAGUUUGAUUUUUUUUUUUUUUCUUGUCCAAAAGUUGGUUUCAACUAGUUCAAUAUCAGGUAGAAAAACAAUGGUGAAAUAAAAAAACUUUUCCGCAAACAAUUGAAUUCGAUAAUCCACCGCAUUCACACAGUCGACACAUGUGUGGUCGUUGAAUCAAGAUCGGACAGUCAAGAUUUCAAGCAUGGUAUUUUAGUUUUUACUUUUAAAUUAUAAUAAUUUGCAUUAAAAUCUAAAUCGGCUGAUAUGUAUAAAACAAAUUAGGAAGUUUUUAAAAAAUAAUCGUUACAAACAAUUUUACUUUAUUUCUCUGAAGUGGCGCUCAACUUAACCCAGAAACAAACUUGCUUAUUGUUCAGUUUACUGCCACAAAUUUCUUUUGAAGAAUGCUAGCAACACUCUCUUUUGAGUACUCUCUUUAGCACUCACUCUUUUAUUGGAUGAAAUCAAUGUAGGAUCUACACUUUGGAAAUGAAACCCACAUAAAGUGGUGGGACAUACAUUGAUUUCACCCAAUAAAAGAGUGAGUGCUAGAGAGAGUGCUCAAAAAAGAGUGUUGCUAGCAUUCCUCAUUCAUUUUAGCAUCUAGAGAACUAAUUUUUCUUGUAUAAGUGAUUAAUGAGAAUAAUUGGUAAGUAGUUCUUCGACAGAGAAAAUCAUUUCUGACCAAAUUUCAUAGUAACAAAAGAUUACAAUCCUUUGGCAGUUGGCUGGUAUGCAUCUAGCUUAUUUUUCACAACUAUAAUUACACAACAUAGGAAAACAUAUUAAGCCACAUUUUCGCAUAGCAUUGUAAGGAAUGACAUUUUCAUAAUGAUGAGAAACUAAACUAACAAAGCAGGCUGGAAUGCUAUCUCAUCACAUAAAGCUAUGGUAUUCACACAAAUUGAAUAACUUCCUCUGUGAUAGACACAACUCAAGGACAAAUGGUAGGUUACAUUUAAACAUGAUGCAGAGAUCGGAUAACAGUCAUUCCAUUCCUCCAGCCGAUAAUAGAUGAUUUGUGCAUGAUCAUGACCGACCAAGAGAAGCUCAAUUAUUCUAUUAUUUUGUAGCCUGUUGUUGUUUUCUCUUUCAUUUUAUAGAUUCUGGAUCUGGACAGUUAGACCUCCAUCAGCAUGAGCAUUCAAGUCCAGCUGAGUCUAAGCUUCAUUUUGAUUGGAUCGGCGUCUCAUAAUCCUAAGAAGUUCUAAGACUUCUAUAACAGAACACAUCUACAGAAUUCAAUGCUGCAAGAGUCUUUCUUUCUUUCAUUUGCUUCAAAAGCUGCACAAUGGCAUAUAUAAAGACAGACAUAAACUCUUAAAACCUAGCCAAAAAUAGGUUCAGAGGCCAACAGAGAACUAUUGGCCUAUCCUCAUCAGACCUUCACAAUUUGAUAACAUGUUGUCCAUAUGGAUAUCAAGGGGACUGGUUCCUGCACACACCAGAAUAUGUAGAUAAGCUGUUAAUAUCCCUCGAAAGAAAAUAAAAUUUGAUUGUUAAGUUAAUCAUAAACAAUAUAUAGACUGAACUUCUCAGAAGUUAUGCGGACCUGACACAGACACAAGUAAAUGUAUCACAAUAUUAGUAUGCACAAUUCUUAGAGGUUUCCUUAAAUCUAGGCAAUGCAUAUGACAAUUAUUUUCCCAACAUCCAUGGUCCUUUCGAUGUGCAAGAAAGAGUUCUCAAAAUGCUACCAAAAGUGUAAUUCAACAGCUUCGAACACGUUAGACAGUGAAGAGAAUUCUAUUAAUUACAAUAAUGUGAAUUAGUAAUUAAUGUUGAGCUGCCGCUUCCCUUAACCUUUCCAUUACACUGAAAACAAAGUAUAUGCAUGUCCUAAACUCUGAAUACAUCACACAAUUCACAACUAUCGGAGUUGACAGAUAUAGAUACAAACUAAAAUGUCCAGUGUCAUGAAACUUGCAAAAGGAUAGUUACAGUAGAUACAAACUAAAAUGUCCAGUGUCAUGAAACUUGCAAAAGGAUAGUUACAGUUAAAGAUAUCUGAGUGUUGACUAACCUGUCUAUGUUUUGAUGCGCUUCUGUCCAACCAGGUUCAUAUGCCUCAAGAAAUCCCAGCUUUGCUUUAUUAGGCAAAUCAUGGGGAUGUACAAAUGGUACACCGGGUGGCCACCCUAUCUCCAUUCGUAUAUUUGCACACGGGCUAUCUAGGGUGUGAAUAUGAUUUUCACAUUCCUUGAUAUUACAAAAUCGCAGCUUGAUGCCUUUCUUAUCUGCGAUAUCUUGGACUCUUUCUUUCAAAACUCUCUGCGCUUCAAGCCUUAAUCUCUUGGAUGGUGGCAGAGGUUUGCUUUUAGGAUUUUGCUUCCUCCUCCGUACCAAAGUCUUCAUAGAUCCUGUACCAGCAUUUCAUCGAUCCAAUGACCUGAAGUUAAAAACUUUCCACUAAGGACUACUCGCAAAGUACAACUGACACUACUUCAACAUCAAUACAGUCAAACUAAGGAAACAAUAAAAAAUUUCAAGAACUACCAAAUAAAGGCAUCUAAGUUUAAUUUUUGGAAUAUCAGGAAAUGGUAAGCUACCAAAUAUCAGGAAACAAUAAAAAAUUUAAGAAGCACCAAAUACAGGCAUCUAACUUUAAUAUUUGGAAUAUCAGAAAAUGAUAACCUACAACUCUGGUCAUUUCUCUGAGCUAAGUGCUGCCCAUAUCUCCUAUUUGGGGGUUGUAUAUUGGGGAUAUAUUUUUGUACAAAAUAUGACCUACAUAGGAAUUGACUUGUAAUAUCUUCCUUAUUUUCUUUUGAUUGAACACGUAGUUAAUCACACUAAGAAUUUCCUCCAUAAAUUGACCAUCUUAACUUUUGCCUAGUUGCAAAAGGGAUGCUAAAGCAUGUGGCCAUGAUUACAAUGAUACAUUUUCACCAGUAGCUAAGAUGGCUUAUGUUAAGAGCACAAAAAGGUUUAGCAUCCAUUGUCUUUUCAAUUUUCUCAUUAAAGGGAUUGAUGUAUUAGAAAUGGUAUCUUUUCCAAAUUUUAUUUUCAUCAAAACUCUAGAAAGCCUGAAGCGAUUGGAAACCAACAUGAGCAUCAUUCAAUUUCAAAGUUUCUGAUGAAUCUUUGGCCUAUAAUAAUGAAUCAGAUUCUUAAUAAUAUUAAUUAUUAAUUAUAAUAUACAUACCGUCAUGUGUUGGUUGGAAAUUGAAGCACUGGAAAGCAGGUCUAUUAAAAAGAAGAUCAGUUGGAUGGGAUCUUUGCAUAAAAUCAUCCACGGGAACAGGAAGCUGAAACUGAGAGUCGACUCCAUAACCCGCAGCUCUCAUUUCAGAACAGUCAAGACUAGUCAUUGAUUUAGGCAAAAGUUUGAACCCUAAAGAACACCGCCCAUACAUAUUAGCCUCCAUAUUAGUAUCAGUUUUGUGCAAUGCAGGGUUUACAUAUCCCGCUGUUGCUUGAUAAAGAGCAAGCCCAGGAUAAACAAUGGCUUCUUGAGGCCCCAAAUCACCAUCCACAAGAAUCCACCGACCUUGAUAGUCUCUGACAUGUAAACCCGCCCUGUCAGACUUCACAAGAGAUAUCAAGCUUUUAUCGACUUGGUGAUCAUUAUCAGGAUACAUAAGCAAUUGACCAUCCUCUUGAGUAGCAGCUAUAUUAUGAUGUUGUUGUGGCCCUUGAAAUGAAGGCCUAGCAUGGCAGCAAACAGACAAAACUGAAGAUGAGAUUUCCUGAUUUCUCAAGGGAAUAUUAUCCAAUAUUUCUACAAAAGGAGAACUUCGCAAGUUCAAAUGGUAGCUAAUUGCAUCAAGAAUAUCCCUUGCUGCUUUUCCAAACAAAGAAAAGAUAUCGGACAAGCCAGCCGGAGGUAACUCAAUUGAGUUAUUCGGUUCCAAAGGAGUUAAACCUGGUCGAUAAUCAUACGUUUCUUGCCACAAAUUAGGAUCUGCAUAGUAACCGGAGGUUUUACACCAAUCAAGAGAGUCACUAUUAUGGAUCAUAUCUGCAGGUGGAUAUGUUUCUCGUUGAUUGAAGUACAGACGAGCAGAUUCUAAACCAGAUCUUAGAAGUGCCGCAUCAGUUGCUGGAAACUGAACAAUGACAGCUGAAAACUGAGCUAGUGAUUGCGACAAAAUUGAAACCGAAAUUUUAUAGGAAUCAGACGGCAACCCAUCUGAAGGAACUAAAUCAGAGAGCUUCACACGACCUAAAGCUGGCAGGCCAGUGGCUGCCAUGAAAUCACCUUAGCCUACACAAAUGAAACCAACUGAACUAUCAGCAUACAAAAAAAAACAAUUAAUCUCAGAUCAGAAACUUAUACACAAAUGCAUAUUAUUGAAACCUGAAAAAAAAUUGUGACUGCAAUAAUAGCACGAAAGGCUUGUCGGUAUAAACAGUUUACUUAAGCGUUUAUCAUUAUAAGUGCUUAUGUAUAAGCUAUUUUUAUAACAUAAGUUAAAAUAAAAUUAAACUGUUUUCAUAUAAGCUAUAGGGUCUGUUUGGCAAGCACAAUAAACAGUCUUCUAGUUGAUAGCUUAUAGCUUAUAAGCUCAUACGACUGAAAAAGAUCAGUUGGUAACUGUUGUUUUCUCACCAACUUAUUAUAACUUAUUUUGACUCAAUUCUACACCUGUUAUCUUAUAGAAAAAAUUAAAUAUUAAUUAAACUUAUCUAGUUUAUUUAUGUCAUUUCAUAUUUUCAACCAGACACUACAAAUUCAACCAGAUAGUUUAUUUGCAUGAUCUAUCAAAAACAAACAGUGACAAGUAGUUAUGUGAGUAGAUAACCUCAAGACCCUAAAAGCAUUAUCAUUUACAAGAGAUAUUAAGCAUGAUCUAUCAAAAACAAUAAUAAUUUUAUUUUUUUUUCUAUCACCAUAUUCAUAUGAAAAAAUUCACAAUCAAAUCAUCAUGACCAAUGACCAUGAAGAACAAUUAGUCUCGCUCAGCUCAGCUCAGAGAAACUGAUACACUAAAACCUAUGUUGUCAACCGCGCCGCUUAAUCGCAAUGCUCUAGCGAGUUGCCUAUUGCAGGGGCGGCCGUAAAUCGCGGUGCUACAGGAGAGGAGAAGGAAAACUCGAAAGAAGACAAAAAAGGAGAAAUAAACCUUUUGGAUGACUGUAUCUGACGACGGACGAAAAACUCUGGCAGCGUUUUCCGGCGAGGUGAGUUCAGUUCAGUGGGACUUCAACUUGUUUAUGAAAAAAGGGAAAUUUGGCAACUGCUGCAUAUGUAGAGGAGAUGCUUAGUUUUUUUUUUUUUUCUUGUCAAUUGUUAAAAUGUGUUUAUUUUUGUCUUUAGUGAAUCAAGGGCUUUUAAAAAGAUUUCAUAUUUUUUUUUAUUGUUUAUUGUGUUUUUCUUUUAAAGAAGUUGUAAUAAUUUAAAAUUUGAUUGAAAGUUAAGUAAAGUCUAAUUAAUAAUUAGAUUUUUGGUGAAGUUUAUUUUUUUUUCUUCUAAAUCAUAAAUACAAGUAUAUUUGUCAUUUCUUUGAAGAAAAAAAGAAGAAGGAAAAUGUAUGUAUUUAUAUUUCCUUUAUAAAACUUUAUUGCAAGUGAAUUCAAUCAAAUUACGACAUAUAAUUUUGAACAUAAAUUCAAUUAAAAUCACUCCUGUAUACGUACAUAAUUGAUUUAAAAUUUACACUUGUAUAUAAUUUAUACUCCUUAAAUUUCAAAAAAUACAUUAAGUCCUUAAAUUUCAGAAAAUACAUUAAGUUUGAAAUGAAUAUUGAGAAACAAAAUUCAAACUAAAAUCACUCCUAUAUACACACAAACACAAAGAAACGUUCCUCAAAAGUAAAAGUUUAAAGAAAUGAAACAAUAAAAAAAUAUCACUAUUAAGAAGAAUCGAACCUAGGACCAGCCCAGGUGGGUUUCACGUGUUGUUAAAGUGGAGUGUCUAGUCAUAUAUGUGUUAGUUCUCCGUAGACUACACACCAUUAUUUUCUAUUUCCUCAAAUGUCUGUCUAUUAAACUUUUCCCCUUUUUAUUAGAGAAAUGAUAUUUGACAUCAAAUUUGAAAAAACCAUUUUUUUUUUAAGUUCAUUACAAUACAAAAUAUAAAUUUUUAAUACUAGAACCAGCAAAGGUUAACGGAGAGGCAUGUCCGCAUUUCCCAUUCAAUAGUGUCCCAAGUUGAUCACUACCAAAAAAAGUGUCCCAAGUUGAAUUACCUCUUGUGAUGUUUUGAAGAAUAAGAAAAGUUAAACAUUAGAGGCACUUUCUGAACACGAAUUUCAUUAAAUUUUUCGUGGUUCAUUUAGGGAGCUCCUAAUAUUCAUCCCAAAACUAUUUCAUAAGUUAACGUGCAGGAUUUUUUUUAAAACGUAAGGGUAGAAAAGAUCUUCCAAUUACCUUAACAAUUUUCAAACUCUGCAAUUCAAUACAGAAAAACAUUUAAAAUCGUAAAAUUAUAAAUGGCAUGCAAGGCGUUGCAUUAUCAUAUGCCUGUUUGGUUAGGCGGUUGCAACCAACAAAAGCACGGCUACAGGAUUUCUAAAGCAAAAGUGCCAUGAUUUCAAGAAGCUAGCUUUUGAAGUUUUUGCUUUUAACGUGGUGAAUUGCCGCGGUUUUAAGGAAAACGCAAAGCAAACAGGUGCAUAGUCAGACAAAUAGCUCACCUAAGUUUGGCAUUUCCCACUAAUUCUAAAAAGCAUUGAUACAGAAAUUUCCAACUAGAUCCACACCAAACAUACACAUUAUUUGCACACUCAGAUUGUCAAUUACAUAGAACUCCACAGGUGCAAGAGGUUAAAAUACCGUCUCCCAAAUUUUGUAUUUCAGAACAGCAUUGCAAAAAUCAACCGAAAUGCAGAUUAAUAAAGUGAAACACGGUUUUCAAACUACUUAAAGCACUAAUUUGAAAACAUGUUAGGAAACAGACAGCCAUGAAGAAAUGCGACAAAUAUCCCUUAACAACUUAACCUAGAAUAACUUCUCGUUGCUGGUACACAAUCCUGAUAAAUGUAUCAAUAUAGAGACAGUAGAUAUACAGGAAUUAUCUAUGGUUUGCGAGCUGGGGGUGGUGAACUGCUGCUGCUACUGUUGCUACUGGCUCGUCCUUUCAAAGGCCUGAAUUAGAAGGCAGUUUACAUUAGUAAAGAAUCCAAAAUGAAGAUGCAGAUCAUAAAACCAUAAAACUGAAAGAAACAAACGUGAUUCUAAGCAAAUUUACAAAGUUAAAUUUAAAGCUGUCAUUACUGAUGACAAAAUAUCCUUUAAUGAAAAUGUACAAAUGCCAACUCUUCUAACAAGGGUAUAUUUUAAUUGGUGGUAUAAGGUGGAAUGGACUGAAAUAAGAUAACAUCCAUUUCUUAAAAUCUAAUCUGUCGUAACCCACAUCGUUUGCAAUCUGCAAUCUUUCCAUAGCGCUAUAGCAUAGCUGAAUUUGAUACGAGAAUGUCAUUCAAAAACCAUGGAACACAAAAUCCAAUGGCUUAAAAUGCCAAUUGAGGAGAGAUAUGAUAUCAAUCCUAAGCAUAUGAACAUCUACUUAAAAAUGCAUCCUUGUACUGUGUUUGAACAAUGAAACACCAAAGUUAGGCGACAAAUUCCGGCUUAAAUUCGGCAGAAAGUAGGAGUCUGACAGGCACCAAAAAAGAUGCUGCUCAUUCAAUUGCAUUUGGUUAUUACGACUUUCAAGCUUUAAAUAGUGCUGUUUCAUUUGCAUUAUAUUUUAUAAGGUUCUCCAAAAAAGAGAGUUGCCAGUAGAAAUUCUUCAAAACAACUCGAAUCUUACAUGAUCUUGUUUGAGGUCAUAAUGAUUGCAUUAUAAACAAGUUAAAAAAAUAUGGUAGUGAUAAAUGUAUCAGAAGUAACUAUAAAAAGGCACCAGAGAUUGUAAUCAGAAUAGAAGAAAAGACGGCAGUGAAUGUUACCAAACAAAUAAAAAUAAUAACAAAAAAGAUUAGACAUGAAAACCAUUAUACCAAAUAUUGUACACAUUACCUUCUUGGACUGCGACUCUUUGAUCUCCGGGAUACCUGUUGUCAAAGUUAUGAAUGUUAGAAUCAUUGACCAUGUAAAAUAAUGACAUCUACACCAAGUAAAAGGCACAAACCUUGCGAGGACUUGGCGAAUCAGAGUAAGAUGAUGACCUUCCCCGUCUCAUAGGUGGCCUGCCUCUGUCAAUAAGAAAAUUUUACCCAGGCGUUGGUACAUUUUCAAAGUAUUAUCAUGCAAAGUUCAAUCAAUCAAAACAUGACUAGGAAUUAAAACUUUGCAUUUAUGGAUGCAUAUGCACUACAAAUGUUGGUGGACACUGGAAGUAUUCUGUAAAAUAAGCAUUUCUUCCUAAGAAACAAGAUUUUUUUUAAAGGAACCUUGAUUCCUAAGAAACAAGAUCGAAAUCCCCAACUGCCAUGAUUAUAUCACGUAAAAAAUUCAUUUUUCAUUUUAUAAAAUAUUCAGUCCUACAUAAUAAGCAUCAAUUAAAUCUUCACUAAGGACUACAUACAUGACCAUUCAAGGGAAUGUCGAAUUUUGGAUAACUACAAAACACCUCGGGUCCAAACAUCAUAUAAAAUAUUCAGUCCUACAUAAUAAGCAUCAAUUAAAUCUUCACUAAGGAUUACAUACAUGACCAUUCAAGGGAAUGCCGAAUUUUGGAUAACUACAAAACACCUCGGGUCCAAACAUCAUAUGUUCACAUGCUCAUUUACAACACUUUAUUUUAUGCUUCUAUCAAAAUAUUAUUAUGCUAAAAAAAAAUAAAUCAUUUUAGAGAACUGAGAUAUUGCAUGAGACAAAAUUACCUGCGAGGUGAGAAUGAUCUUGAGCGUGAGCGUGCAGAUCUACGUAUUGGAGAGCGACUACGCCUACGACCAACUGGAGAUCUUCUAGGAGGACUACGGGCUCGUCUAGGAGGUGAACUAUAAAAAAAACAUUUAUUUUUCCAAUGAGCAAUCAAUGGCAUGUUAAAAUGCAAAUUGAAAAACAAUAAACGAGGAAAAUAAGCACUCAAAAUAUGGUUACCGGCGUCUUGGAGGUGGAGGAGGAGAACGUCUCCGACCUGGGCCUGGGCUUCCACGCAUCCUUCGAGGUGAUACCCUACAAAAAUGAAAAUUAAUUGAGUCGGCUGUAUAAUGAAAUUGUAUAUGAAAAACAUGCAUGCAAUCACAAGCCAACCUUGCAGGGGAUCUAAGGCGCCUUGGUGGUGGAGAUGGAGAACGACCUCUUCCGGGAGACACAGGUCUCCUCCUAGGAGGUGUGUCUCCAGCUCCGCGACGAUAAGGAGAGUCUAAUCGACGACGAACAGGAGAAUCUGCACGGCGGCGAGGAGAUUCUGGUCGUCUUGGAGAUCCAGCUCUUCGAGGCACAGGAGAUCUUCUUCGUGGUGAGGGAGGAGGUUUUCUCCGAGGAGAAGCUGGUACCAUGAAUAAUUAGUUCAAUACCAAUAUAAAAACCACCAAUAUGAUAAAUAUAAAACAAAAAAAUGUUCAACAAAUAUCAAGCAUAUACAUUCUCUUGGACGCUUUGGCCCAUCUUUUUCAACUUCUGCACCAGCAUUAUCAGUCCUGGGUGCAUCUCUCUUUGGAGCAACAGCUUUUGGGGGUGGUGAAGCUUUCUGUCUUGGAGGUAGAGUAAAUCUUGCCUUAACAACAUUGCCAUCUAUUUGGGCCUGCAUAACAAAAAAAACAAAGGCAUCAAUUUCCAAAUGCGGCAGCCAACAAGCUUGAUUGUGGAAAUUAAUCCAACUCGGGCAAAAGCAACCUACACCAUCCAUGUACAAUAAUGCUUUUUCAGCUUCCCCUCUUGUCUUGAAAUGCACAUAUCCAUAUCCUUUUGGAAGAUUAACCUGGAAAGUUUUUUAAAAGAAAUUUAAAAACCUACGACUCUAAAUUCUUCUAGAACUAUGAUGCCAAAUUAAAUGCAAACUUACAGCUCUAUCCAUCACCAACUCCACACUUACAACCUCGCCAAAAUUACCUGAAAACAGGUCAGCAAAAGAGGAUAUGAGCUCCUUAAGAUAUAAAGGUCACUAAAAGUUCCCUUCCAAUUACACACACAAGCUACUAGAGGCUACUAAAAAGUUUCUCUCGAUUAUUGGUAUUUCAAGAGUGUAUGCAUAGAUAUGAAGCAACUAUGCUCCCAGUUAAUAAUAUGAAUACUUAUAUUGAAGUAUAAAUGACAAAAAGAUCAAAACUAAAAUAAAAGAAACAGAAAAAUUGCAUUGGGCUUAAAUUUUGGAUCCUAAUACCAUGAGACACUGGUUUCAAAUGAAAAAUGUAUCUCGAUUCACAGUUGAAGACGAAAGCAGAAGUGAAAGAGUUUAACUUACUGAAAAUUUCUUUCAAAUGGCCUUCAUUGACAUUCCUGCUGAGUUUCUCAACGUGGAGAACAAGAGACUCACGUACAGGAGAAGGUUUCCUGAGAUGAAGCAUGAUAAGUAAACAUAGCAAAAGAUAGAAGUUACAAAUCGAAAGAAAACUUGUCAAUUGUUGAACUUAGAAGGCUCACAAUCACAGCAUGUUUAAUUAAAUUUAAAAAUGUGAGAUGAAAAAUAAAAAAAUAUUCUAACAAAUUUACCACAUCUUAAAGAUAUGAUGAAAAAAGUCCGCACUGAAAAUUAUAAAAACAAACUUAACCAAUGUAUAUUCAGUAUUUUGAAAAUUGGGUCCGCUACAUAUAUCAUGUCCACUCAUACCACACAUUCAAUGAAACAUUCUCAUCUCCGCUACACUUAUUUUACUCUCUCUCUCUCUCUCUCUCUCUCUCUCUCUCUCUCUCUCUCAUAUUGUCAUUUCUAAUUCUAUCAUGUCCACUCAUACCACACAUUCAAUGAAACAUUCUCAUCUCCGCUACACCUCUCUCUCUCCCUCCCUCUCCCUCCCCCUCUCCCUCCCUCCCUCCCUCCCUCCCUCCCUCCCUCCCUCUCUCUCUCUCUCUCUCUCUGAAUGAAACAUUCUCAUCUCCGCUACACUUAUUUUACUCUCGUGCUGGUUCUUUACCACCCAACACUAACUCAACCCCACAAAACUAAUUUAUAAAGUGUGGAGAGUCCAUACUUCAUAAGAUCUUAUGAAGCACUAUCUCUAGUAAAUGGCGGACGCUGUUUUUCUAAUACACAUCAUCCUCGCUCAGCACUACUGAGUUUGGAGUGUGGCCAAUAUAGUCGGUGGUCGAACAUCAGAUCUAAGAUACCAUCUUAAAUUUUGGGCAAAUUCAACUUAAUGACAUAAAACAAGCAUGUAAGAUGAGGAUUGCCUAAGUUUUAUAAGAUCUAUCUAAGUCUUAUAUCUCUUGCUAACAUGUGACUAGGAUUUUUUAUAAUUGUGCUAUAAUGUUCCAUUAUAUCCCUUCUUUUAUAAUUACAUUCAAAUAUAAAAUAAAUUUAGAAAUUUCAACAAUACAAUAACUACAAAAUAAACAUCAAAAUUCUGACUUGAGUUUUAAAAGAAAUAUUACUAUACUUAUUAAUUAAAUAAUUUUGUUAUCAUGUUUAUAUUACAAUCCUUUGUCUCGUGAUCUCACGUUUUACAAUCUUUUACCCCUUUUCCAAUCCUAUGCAGAAUCUCAACUUUGACAACCUUGUAUAUAAUCCAUAUCCCUGGCCAUCUUACAUAUAUCACUUUAGUCGGUGAUGACCUCAAUAUAUAGUAGACUGUUAACAGUUGACAAUAUAAAUUGGCUACUGCGGUUUUCCACUACUAGUUUGUAUCUUAUUACCUAACAAGACAUACCAUGCUAAACUUCAACAAGAGUUAAGAUAUAGUAUAUAAAAAGCAAAAAUGAAAGAAUAAUUUCAUAUCUCCAACGUCAAGAUAUGGCAUAUGAAAAAUAUGAUUAGUAAUAAAAACUCCCAGUCUCCAUCUCCACGAGGGACAUACACAAAUACAAGAAGUGUCCUAGAAAAAAGUUGGAUUGAAAUAGCAAAUUUGAAAUGAGUUUACCUUGGAGGAGGAGAAGGUCUCUUAGACUGUGGAGGUGGAGGAAGAGGAGGAGAUCGACCUCGCCUAGCUGGUUCAGCAGAACUACACAACAAAAAUACUACCCUAUCAAUAUGAACUGAAAAAUAUAAACUUUACUAAAAUCAACAACAUGGAAAUUACUCCCACGAAAUAUUUAACCAAAAGAACCGUGAUUUGUGCGUACAGUUCAAAAUAUAAUGUACAGUGUACACCAAUUAACCACAUUUACAUUACAGUGAUCAAAAUCAUAUUCAUCAAAACAAUAAUUUGGACUAAAAUUUAAAACUGGGCAGAUUUCCAUUUCCAACUUCUCCUAUUUGAAAACCUAAACCGAACUCAAAAUUGAAAAUUAAAAACUGAAAAAUAUGACAUUCUCAAAUUAACAUCUGAAAAUCAUAAUUGUUUUCAUCUUGAACAUUUUCAUGCAUGUUCUUCUACGCAAAAAAUCAAAUUGACUUCGAUUUUUCUAAUGGUUCAAAAUUUGAACGAUUUGGCAAGAAUUAAAGUUGAAUCGAAGGAUGGAUGUACCUUUUGCGUCUUGGAGGAGGAGGACUACGGCUACGGCUCUUGGAACUGCGGGAGGGAGAGCGAGAAGAGGAAGAGAAGGAUCUGGAACGGGAGCGGGAGCGAGAAGAGGAACGGGAAGAGGAGGAGAGAGAAGAAGAUCCGGAGACGGAACCUGAUGGUGGUGAGCGACGAGCUCGACCAGGUUUCGCCAUUGUUGAAGAGAGAGAGCGUGAAACCCUCUAUAAACCCUAGCUGGUAGUGAAGUGUUGGAUUUGUGUGGAGUGAAUCGAGGUAAGAAGAAAGAAAGAAAGAAAAUGAAUGAACGAUACAGAUUUUAGUUUUAUUUUAUUUUAUUUUUACCCAUUUUUUAUGGGUCAGGAUGAAGUUUGAAUGGGUCGGGUUUACCCGAGUUUCAUGGGUUAAUUUCAUUCAUGGAACCAUCAUCAUAACCAAGCAAGUUUAUUAAUUAAAAUAAAAAUUUGAGACUUACUUUUUAGUUCCACUUAUUUCUUGAAAAUUACACCCCUUUCCAUUCGGGUUAGGCUGGUGGUAUUAACUUAAAAACAUGAGAGUGGAUUAUCUCCGGUGUUAAUUUAGCGGGCUAAUUUAACUUCAAAAGAAAAAAAAAUUGAAUAACAUCAUAAUUAUUUUUCAUUUGAAUGAAUAAAUUUGGACGAAUGUUUUUUCAUAAUUAUGCGAGUGUGUUUAUGUAAGAGUUUCAAGUUUGAAUACUUUAGAUGUCAACAUUUAUUGUUUCGUUAGUCAUUACGACGUUUAUCCUUCAAAUUAGCAUAUCCUUAGACCCAAAUACCAAGUUUAAAAAAAAAUGGCGGAAAGAAUGAUUUAGAAGGCCAAAUCCUUUUUUGCUCAAUACAAAGGACUACUUUUGAGGUUGCUUUUUGCAUUCAUAUUCUUUCCUUAAGCCUAAAAACAUUUUAGGUCAGUUCUAAGCCAUCACAUUCUUGGCAAAGUCUGCACACGUUAAUGAGAAAAGUAACUUUACAACAUAAAUUAAACCAUAGUAAGAUUUGAAUGGCCCUCUGUCCACAAUUCACUUAAAACUUCAUAUUGUGAGUUCCACUGAUAUCAUUGUCAUUAGCCUCUGUCAAAGCUGCUAAAUCAUACAAAUACAGUAUCCCAAAUUCCCAAUGGUCAUAAACAACGCAUUCCAGGGUGAUUAACUGUUAUAACAAGUCAGUUUUUCAAGCUUAAGCUAAUAAUUUGUUUAAUCAAGGUUCCUCGGUACUAGUAGAUGCCUCAGAACGUCUUCUCUUUGCUUCAUUAUCACCCAGCUGCAACGAAACACAUAAAUCUUCAUUACAGUCAUUCCUCAAUGAAGAUAAAUUCUCUGCUGCUGCAGCUUUGUCAUGCACAGUGUGUUUGUGCAACGGUGACCGCCCGAUGAAACUCGGAAUGAACUGAUGUUCAAUACUGGGACCACCUACCUUGAUUCCGUCUUCUAAUUUAAAUUCAGCCUCCAUGGUUGAUGGUUUCAUUUCCUGGCUGUUAGGUUCAACUCCUAAGGGAAUAGACUGGAUUUGAAGACCAAGAGGCUCAAAUUUGUCUUCCACUCUAUCUUUCUGAUGCAUACCAUCAGGAGUUGAGGAAUCACCAACAAUAGAGCCCAUAAAUGUAGCCGAUGCAGUCCUUUGUUCUUGCACCGCCACUACACAAAAAGAUAUUGAUUUUAGAAUUUAACCUCUAGUUUCACUUCAUUAAGAUAAUCCUGAUCAGUUGAUAGAAAAUUGUUUUCAACAUUUUCAAUGCUAUCUUCACUAUUAGGAGACAGAAACAUAGGAAUAUAGUAAAUUAAAAAAAAAAAUGAUUAUAUGCUAGUUGGUUUUUAACAAGAAAACAAUGCUUUAAAAAUCGAACCAGAGAUCACGGUUGAACCAAAUGAUGAAUAAAAUAUAAAUUUAAAAUGUGUGUGGUUGAAUCAAACUGUGUUUGACUAUGGUUCAACCAGACUGUGGUAAAACCGGGAUCAAACCAACCAGCGAACUUGUCGGUUCCCGUUUGAACUGGACAGUUCAAUCUGGUUUUUGAAACAUUUAAGAAUACAGCUGAUCAAUGCAUAGCUAAACACACUAUUACCCUACCAAAUCAUAUCAUCAGAUUAAUUCAUUCAAUUACCCACCCUAUGCCCUAUAGGCAUCAACACAAUUUCAUAUAUGAGAACAACAACCUAAUAUAAGUUCUAACCCCGUAUUUGAGAAUUAUAAAUUGAAAUAACGAUGAUGAUGAUGGUGAUAGUGAUAGUGAUAGUGAAAGAUAGACAAACCUCUAAGUCCUUCAUCACUUGUAAUCAAAUCAAGUUCAAGUAGAUUAAGAAGACGUCCUAGAUCAACCCCACUAGUCCAAUUCUCCGGAGGUAGCCCAAUUUUUAACUUAAGGCGGCCCCUAUUAGCAGUCCCUCCCCAUAUGAUCCCAAUUGGUCGUGGCUUCUCACCGUUGUCACCUUUAAACAUUAUGAGACUUCCACUAUCUCCUUCAAGGUCAAAAGUUUGUUGGUUUUCACCAACAACAAGAAAAUCUGUUAGAAAGCAUAUACCCUUCUCAUCAUUGUACUCUAGGGCAUACGCCAAAACAAUUCCUGUUGUCAAGCCAGAACUUCUUCCAACCUUAACUACUUGUUUUCCAAUAAGGGUACUAAUUGGAGACUGUAGGUCAAUAAUUUUCACAUCACCGAUAUCUCCAACGCCUCUCACUGAGGUAGUAACAGUGCACAUGUCAAAGUCAUCAGCAAAAGGAAUGAAUGCUCCGUCGGCUCUCACGAACGUCUCUGGAGGGGAAACACAUCAUGAUAUGUGAUGAGUAUGUGUAGCGAAAAUAAUGCAAGUAAUCAGAUUAAAUCAAUCAGACUUUUGAAAUUAUGUUACCUGGGUUUAUUCCGGCAAAUAUUCCAUACCAGAGCUCAUCAGUUAUAAAUGAAGUUGCUCUCUCUACUGCCCCAAGAUAAACCCCGGGUCCCAAUGUGGGUGGAAGAGGAUGAAACAUCUUUUGAUUUGGAUAAUCUAAAUCGACUGCUACAUGACGAUUUGUGAGAAAACCAACUUGUCGGCUACCUGUUUGGCUCCUCACAAUGGCACCCAAAGUUCCGUAUGUCUCCUGGCUUGCCACCUAGACCAAGGAAGUAAGUGGUCAGAGGUGGAACAUAUUCACCAAAUAGAACAGAAAAAUGAGAAUGAGAAAUAUUGCUAUUAACUCUGCAAGCUGGCAAUCGCAAGAGAUUUUGCAAACCCUGUAAUUUCACUCUUUAAAUAUCUCAAAUGACUUCUUUUGACAAGCCCGAUAAAACCACAAGAUCUAUAUUUCUGGCCUCCCUAAAUUUUUCGUUGUUUAUUCAGGACAGAAAAUUUUGAAAUAUAAACUGGUAGAGAUUAGGCUGAAAGAAAAUAUCCCGAAAUGUCUGGCCAAUGACAUUCGCAUAAUGAGAUUGCCAAAGAAAAGGCAUUGGAAACCAGAUUUAAGGUUUAGUUCCAAUUAAAAUACUAAAACCAUUGUUUAGUAGCAUAGACAUCCGUCUACAGGUACCAUAUGAGAAUUAAAAACAUGUAAAGAUAUAAAAACAGGUUCAUUGAAGCACUAGAUACUGCAUGUAACACGAUGAAGCUUGAAAUCUAAGGUCUAAAAUUUAAAGAAAUUAUGAAUCUAAUAGCUAUAUCUCCACGAGUCUAUCGUAGAAGGUCAAGUCCAUGCACUUAUUAGUUAUGUCAAGUUAAAUGAAUCUUGACAAAAGAUGUUUUGUUGAAUUUGCAUACACAACCUGCAACGUUAGACUCGUGUAGGCAUGGCUAAGCUUCCUAGGACAAACCACUACAGCAUAUGAAUAUGAUAUAAAUUAAGGACAAUAGUGCAGUAAUUACACUCUGAUUUUUUAGUGGAAGAGAUUGCCAAGUAUUAGGCUAAAAAUGCUUCUUUAAUCAUCACAUGCAUGCGAUAUUAAUCAAAUCAAAAAAAUUCUUUUGUAAACCAGAUGAUUUGUUUCCAUAGGAAACAUUAAAUAAGAGAGCAAAAAAACACCUGAGAUCCUGAACCAAUGCACGGAUCACCUCCACGCAAGUCAUCCACAAUCUCUGUAUAGUGUUGUUCUUUCGGAACUGGUUCAGGUGCACCAAAAUAUGAGAAUUCCACCACAUCUACAUCACACCAUACUCCACCAGGCCCCUGAUUCACAAAUUAAACAUCUAUUUUAACUGCAGCAGCAGACACUAGAGAUCACAACAAAUAUCUAUAUAUAUAGGUUAAAGCUGAACCUCAAGGGCAGUAGGAAGACACUGGAUUGGGCUGAGCCAUUGCUUGUGAACUUUCCUGGAAACAAACACCAGAAUGGCGGGAAUAUCUGUCAAUACACCUCUCCGAAUACGAAAACCAAUCGCUGUUCCAAGGCUGUAACAACGCAGUAUCUUGCUGUGAAAUGCUCUGAUUGUCAUGAGCUCAAGUAAUGUGGUUGCCUGCUGCCCCUUCGGCAGACGACCAAGGGUUUCAGGUAGGACCCCCUUUUGUAGAUUUAAAAAGUAGUUUGCUCUCUCUUCGGCAGCAUCAGGCAAACGGCUAGGCCAUGAGAAGUAAGCAGCAUUGCUUUCACCAUGCUGUCCAGCUGAAGCAAAAGGUUGUAGCGUCGGUGGACUAAGUGAAGGUAGAUUAGAAUGACCAUAGCAAUUCCUUUCAAGAUCCAAAGCAGAUUCUUCUGAGGGAGUUGAACCAGAGCACCGAACCCUCGAGUUAAGUCUUGGGCGCUCCAUCUUUUGAUUAACCUAAAGCAAUGUUCUAUUUUGAACCCAAAAAAACAUCAAUUUAGCACAUAUAGUCUUUAGUUUAAUUCAAAACUCAUGACAGUGAGAAAUAACAUCAAUUUAUGGCAAAAGAACUAUAAAUUAUUUUAGUACAAAAGAAACAUGUUACUAUAAAAAAAGGGGAACCUCAUGAGAUAAAUUCAACACAUAAACUUAUACUAAUUUAUAAAUAAAGGUUGUUUUAAAGAAGUAAUAAUAAUAGAAGCAUGCAAAAAAAAAAAAAUGGUUCAGGAGCAACUCAUUGCAUCAACAACAACAAAAAUACACUCCAAGUAGAGCAUAAUUAUGAUGUUCCCCACUCAAUUUAAGAAAAAACGUUCUUUUAUCAAGUUAAGCAAUUAACACAUCCUUUUAAGAAAACAAUACAGUUCAAGUAAUGAACAAAAUAAAUAGAUAAAAUAAAUAAAGAAUAAUUCCCUCAAUGGAAUUGGGAACAGAACCUAAUUUUAUACAAUUUAAUUGUCAUAUUCAAGCACAUGGAAAGUGAUUAAAUUAAUCAAUUUACCAUGAGAAAUAUAAUUAAACAAGCUAAACUAAGUUUCAAGCAUGUUAAAAACAUUGCAAAACAACGAGGCUCAAGUUCAGAAUAUUUCAUCCACACACACACACACACAAAAAAAAAAAAAAAAACAAUUUUGUUUACUCUCAUGAACAAAUCAAGGUCAACAAACCACAAAAAGGCAUAUCCUUGUUGUAUUUAUGGUUUUUCAGUUUAACAUUAAAAAAAACAAAAAGCUAAGAUUUUGAAGGUAGACAAAAAGACCCAGAUAGGUAAAAAAGCAAAAAAAAUGAACAAAAUGAAAAGCCAGAAAAAAGAACAUGAUUUGAACAUACACAGUGUUAGUGGUCGGUUGAGGAGUGAAGAUGAAAGUGGAAGAGCUUCCUUCAUUGAUAUACAGAGUUCAUUUGAAGAAUCUGUAGAGAAGAUGGAGAAUUGAGAGAGGACGGAGUUUACUGUAGUUGAAUUUCAGAAAUUUCUAUGCAAAGUUGCAUAGAAAUGUGGUAAAGUAAAGUCACCUCAGCUCAGUGUCUGUCUGUCUGUGCUGGGGGUGUCGAGACAGAUUGCAUGUUUUUAGUUUAUUCUUUUUCUUUUAUUUUAUUACUUACAUUUAUUAAUUAAUUCAACAUAAAUAAAUCAAUUUUUAUAUAUCUUGGCGUGGUGUUUACUUCGUGACAUGUUGCCGACAAAAAACAACCUUCUUGGCCGCGACAUUAUCACAGGUGCAAGCACAUCUUGUUUGGCGGGAUGUGGACAGGUCGAAACAGCUCAGCAUAUGUUUCUUCAGUGUGAUAUAUCUAGUUCUCUUUGGCAGCAGGUUCGAUCUUGGAUAGGUGUUUUCGAUGUAGCCCAUCAUAGUAUUUAUAAUCAUUUUGUCCAGUUUACUAACUAUUGUGGUGGUCUGAGGGAGCGUUGAUCUUUUAUGCAAUUAAUUUGGCUCCUUUGUAUCUGGGUAGUUUGGAAUGAGCAUAAUAAUAGGUUAUUGGCUUAAAUAUGCAAACCGUCCCUGUAAUUUGGACGAAUUUUGAUUUUCGUCCCUGUAAAAAAAAAAAUUUUAAUUACAUCCCUGUAAAAUUUUUUUUGUUUUAAAAAGGUCCCUGGCCCCACUUCGCUGGUGAUGUGGCAACAUUUUUGGCCACGUGGCAGUUGCUGACUGUGCAACUUUUGCCACGUGGCGCUGACGUGUCAUGCCACAUAAUUAAAAAUUUUUUUUUUUCAAAAUUCUAAAAAUUCAUUUUUUAAAUUAAAAAAUCCGAAAAUAAAUAUAAAAAUCAUAAAAAAAACUGAAAAUUAAAAAAAAAAUUCUUCAAAAUUCUGAAAAUUCAUUUUUUUUAAAUUAAAAAAAUCUGAAAAUAAAUUUAAAAAACAAAAAAAAAACUAAAAAUUAAAUUGACGAAAAUUCAUUUUUUUUUUUAAUUCUGAAAAUUAAAUUAUAUUUUCAAAAGUUAUAAAUUUUGAGAUUAUAUAAUUUUUAAUUUUAUUUUUCAAAAAUUUAUUUGUAGAUUUUAAAAACACUAAUUUCCAAUUAUUUUUUUCACAUUUCAAAAAAAAAAAAUUGGAAUUUUUUUUAUGAUUUUUUUAUUUAUUUUCAGUUUUUUUUUCAAAUUUUUAAAAAUUUGAAAAAAAAAAUAAAUCAAUUUUUUUAAAAAAAAUAAAAAAUAAUGACGUGGACCGCCACGUGGCAAAAGUUGCACAGUCAGCAACUGCCACGUGGCCAAAACCUUGCCAAAUCACCAAGGAAGUGGGGCCAGGGACCUUUUUAAAACAAAAAAAAAUUUACAGGGAUGUAAUUAAAUUUUUUUUUUUUACAGGGACGAAAAUCAAAAUUCGCCCAAAUUACAGGGACGGUUUGCAUAUUUAAGCCUAGGUUAUUUAACAAUUCUCAUAGUUCCUCUUUAGAACUCUUGGAGAAGGUUAAAUUUCAUUCCUAUUGGUGGUUGAAGGUUAAUAAUGCCUCUUUUGUUUUUGGUUGUCCGCAGUGAUGGUCGAACCCCUUGACAUGUCUGGGUAUCGGCUAACUAUUAUUUUCUUUUAUUGUGACAGAUAUUGUAUUCUUUGAGAGCCUUUUUGGCACGCCUUGUGUCAAGGAGGAGUCUCCGUUUCUGUGAAUAUAAAUUCCCUUUUUGUUUCUUGAAAAAAAAAAUCAAUUUUUAUAUAAUGCAUAUAAUACAUCUUAUUUUAUUAAAAAAAAUAUAAUUCGUAACCAAAAAAAAAAUAUAUAUAUACACACACACAUACAUACAAUUCUUAUUAAAAAAAAAUGUGCAUAAUAUAUCAUAUGUCUUAGACAAAACAAAAAUAUUUUAGAAAAAUACUUAUAAUAUUGUUGGUCUGUAUUUUUAAUGUUGAUUUUUUCGACAAGAAACUUUCUAGUCGAAGCUAAAACUUUACUUUUGGUGUUAGUCUAGAGAUAAGUUACCUUCAAUACGUUGUAAUGAGUCUUGGCAUAUUCAAAAUCAUUCAGUUUCGACAUAGGAAAUUCAAAUUGUCGGUAAAGAGGCAAGGUAGAAGACACAUGGAAGCAUGUUGGAGUUGUCGAAGACUUAUAGUUUAAAGACCGUUAGUUUCGGUUACUUCUUAUUGUAUACAUAUAGAAGAUUUACAUAGGAAAUAAUGGUUACAGAUCAAAUACAUGAUUCUUUAUGCUCGAAAUAUCCAAGUUACAACGAGAAAAUUGUAUCAAGAUAAUGUAUGUGUGAUUUGGUGUACCAACUUUCGUUUAUGCAAUGCAAAUUCUUUUCUUUCAAUUUGUUUACUUUCAUUCUUUGAAGUUUCAUUCAUGUUGAUUUCUUCGUGAAUUAUUUCAAAAAACCUCUAAAAUUGAUAUAUUUCAAGAAAACUAGAAUUACAGACUCAUAUAUAGAAAACAUUACAAAAGUUCGAAUAUCAUAGGCAAUUGUUCUAAUACUCCUCCUUUUUGUAGCUAAAACCUACUGAAAAUGACUGAAAAACAUGCUAAGAAUAACGUAAAAUGAUUUGUCAUCACAACCCUAAACUUAAAUUGUUGCUUGUCCUCAAGUAACGAAAGAAAAACAUAUUUUAUUCUUUACAUUUUUUUCUUUAAAAACAUAUCUUUCCGGGAGUUGUGCUUAGGACAUCAUUCAUCACAUUUAUAGCAUAACAACAACUAACUUACCACGAUACAUUCAAGCGGGUCUGGCUUGGUAAAAGUAACCUAUAUUAUCAGCCAUACUCUUUUCCAGGAUACACAUAUGUAUCUCCUAAAGCCAGUAGAGCUGGUCACGGCAUUUUCCCACUCCAGUCGUCACGUGAAUGUAUCUUGCUAUAAAUUUGAAACAAUUCUAAACAGAUAGUAAAAAUCAUAUUAUUUACACACUUAGAGGAAUUUGAUGGUUAUAACUUGACAUAGGUUAAGGGUGGAUAUAUUUUGGAAAGUAGGCUAACAAAAGAACUUGGAGUUACUUCACUAACCUAGGGAUUCCUACUAAACAUUACUGCAUUGUCAUCCUUCCUUCCUUGAUUCAAACAGAACGGGUAAAACGGUAGAACUAUUUGUCUUUUUAUUUUUGACAAAAAGAUACUUUUUUUUAAGAGACUGCUUUAUUUUCGCUCUUGAUUUAUUUUAUUUUUUUCUAUUUUUUUAUAUUGAUCCAUGGUCAUCUACAUUUUUUUUCUUCUGACAAAUGUGUUCUACUGUUACCCCACCCCAAACUUAAAUUGUUGCUAAUUUCAAAGAGCAACUCCAAACUUAGUUUCAAAGCAUGUGCAGUCACAAUAACCCGUAUCUAACUCCAAUUGAAAUCAGAUAGGGUGCAUUUAAAGUGUAGGAUUGUGACAUGAUUCGUCACUAAUAAAGAAAUAAUUUUUUGUCUUGAGGCUCAAACUGGUUUCAGGAAGGAUAAUAAGAAUAUAUAUACUAGACCUUUGACCCGUGCAUCGCACGGGUCAUACCGAUCGUAACAAUCAUCAAUAUGUUAUGCCAUAGUAAAAAAAUAGUUCUCAAAUCAAUCGUAUGAUAAACAAGAUCCACGUUAAUCAUAUCUCGAUAACAAUCAUAUUUUGGGAAAUCGUAAGAACAACAUAAGUUAUUAUUAGGAAUUACAAAAUACUUCUCUAUAGACCACAUUUGACAUUAUGUUAAUAUCUUCACCGUCUUCAUCGAUUAUCAAUAUCUUCAACCAUUCCUUUGAAGAUAUUGCAACUAACAACUAACCAUUUGAAACGUAAGCGUUGAUAGAUAUAUCCCAACAUGUAUUAGAGAUUGACAUUGACUCUUAUUAAUAGUCGUUGCAAAUGAUGCAAUUAAAGGAAAUCGUCUCCGUUAAAACUUGAAUGAAAUUCUUAUGUCAGAAAGUGUCGAGAGAUAAUCUGACUAUAAAAACUUCGUUGCCGAUAUUAGUUUCGGAUAUCACCUUUACUUCAAGCAAAUGUUUUUCCAUCAUUGUUACAAUCUACCUUGUUUCAUUGAAUAAUCGUAAUCUCUUAUCUACAUUCCUUGAUAGCAUCAUUGUGAUUUGUAAAUCUCGAUGUAGUAAUUGUGUUGAAAAAUUCGAGAGUAUAAAUCAUCCACUGCAUCGACAUUAAUGUUCCCUUGUAUAUGAUAUCAUUACUCAAAUAUAUUAUCUCUUCUCGUAGAAUCAAAUCCAACACAUAAUCGCUGAUUUGUUCAACAAUUAAAUUUUUAGAAGCUUAGAUAGCUCUAUUUUAGAAAUAAGUUGUAUCAUUCAUGUUUUAAAAAAGUUUUGUAUAAGUGAUAAUAGAUCUUAGAUGGUCACCUGAACUUUGAAUAAGUAAAACGGAUGAAUAUCAAAUGACUCUUACGAUGUGUCUAACUUGUCUAUCUUAGAUUUUUCUUGAUGUAAUAUAUCUUGGAAAAUACAAAGAAACCCUUUUUUUUUUUUUUUGAAGCAACCAAAAUGAAAUAUUAUAUCACCAAGAGCGAUUCAUCACACACAAGGUGUGCAGAGAGAAACACUCUUCAAAAGAAUACAAAUCGAGUAUCUGGAGCCAAACAAAAAACACAUCUAAAAAGAGGAGAUGAAAACUACUCCAUAACACCCAUACAAAGUAAAGGGUGCCGCCACCAGUCAUUAUAACUGAAAGCGGAAGUUAGCGUAUUAGCCUUUAGCCAAGAAAAAGAAACAAACUUUACAGUGUCUAAUAAUUGAACAAAGUCCCGAGCAUUGUUAUUGAAAAUCAUGUUGUUUCUUUCAAGAAACCCUCAUUUUUGUUAGGACUCUUCUAAGCAAUACCAAAAGUUCAAGAACAUGAUGGCUAAGAAAUGACGCAGUCUAGUUUCAAUUUUGGCAUUUCAAACCAUAUUAUGGUAGCUUGUUAAAAAAAACCCAUUAUGUCAGCUUAAGGUGAAGAAAAAAGCACUAAUUAGUCCUUAAGAAAACACUAAUUAGUAUCUGGAAUAAAGGACUAACCUGCAUUGAAGUUUAAAGAAAAAAGAAUCAUCAAAAGAAAGUUUUUAAACAUUACAGUUUAUGAAACAGAAAAAUUAUUUUACCGCUACAUGGUACCUUUUCAUCCCCAACUUUUCUUUUGUACGCUAAUUUUUUUUUGAAAAGAAAAGGCCUUUCAAUUUUUGUACAGAAAUUUGUUUCUCCAACAUUAUUAUAAAGGAACGUGCAUCCAUUGAAUUUAACUGAAGAGAAUGAAAAUGUUAACCUUGCUAUGAAUUUCCUUAUAAAAUACCUUGUUGUGAACUUGGUAAAAUGGAAUAAAUACCAAAAGAACCAUAGAAUUGGUGCAAAUAUUAAUUGAGACCGGUCUAACUAUUUCAAGGAUAAAUAAAUACAGCUUAACAAAUAUAUAUAUAUAUAUAUAUAUAUAUAUAUAUCUCUUCAAACCAAAUAAAAAGAGUCCGAUUCUUAUUGAAAUCAAUCCCUUUUUUUUUUAAAUGAAAUCACACAACAUUUUUUAAAGGCUUAACUAUGGAAAUGGUCCCUGCAAAUAUCUGAUGUUUUGGUAUUAGUCCCUAUAAAAAUAUUUUUUGGUUUUAGUCCCUGCAAAUAUAGAAUAUUUGAUUUUGGUCCUUGGUAUUUUGUUUUAAUCCUUGUAAAAUCAUUUCAUAUUGAAACUGGUCUUUAUAAUAUUCAUUUUAGUCCUCGUUUUGAGGGACUAAAAUCAAAUAUUCUACAUAUUACAAGGACCAAAUCCAAUAUGAAUCAAUUUUACAAGGACUAAAACAAAAUAUCAAGGACCAAAACCAAAUUUUUUAUAUUUGCAGGGACUAAAACCAAAAAAAUAUUUUUACAGGGAUUAAAACCAAAAUGUCAUAUAUUUGCAGGGACUAUUUUCAUAUUUAAGCCUUUUUUGAAAUAUUACAAUGUUCAUACUAUUUUUUAUACACUUGCUUCAAAAAUACUCUAAAAAAUUAACAAUAAAAAAAAAAAUUAACAAAAUGUUAAAGUUCAAUAACAUUACCAACAAACAUCUAAUCUACUUGUCUCUACUGCUGCAACGCCAAUUAUAAAGUAUCCCAGUGGUUAAAACCUUAUUUUAGAUUAAAGACAAAAGCAGAACAACUAAAAAAUGGUUACUUUGUAGAGCUUAAUAUAUAGGACCACCAUAAGUAAAAAAAAUAAUUCACACUACACUAUAAAAGUAAAAAGUAACAAAUAAAAUAGGAAAAGAAAUCGAUAAUCUAAUGAGAAGAAGAUAAAGGUACAAACCUUGUGCGACGGAGACACCGUCAGAUUUAGAAAUAAAUUCAAACUUGAGAACAACAAUGAUGGAUUUUAGAGAUAAUUUGUCAACAACAAUAAGGAACAAAAAAUGAAAAAGAGAGAUAGAUAGAGAUGGGAGCAAUGUAGAAGAUUAAAUCAGUCCUUCCUUUCUAUUAAUGCCUUGAUUAAAUCUUGAAGUAGUUAUGACUAUGGAGUACUCCUUGGUAACACGUGAGUUUAAUGCACCCUCACCUAGAUAAAUGAAUAGUUCACUUAAUUGAAAUUAUGGUUGAAAUUGUAAUUUGGAAAUCCGUUGGCAUUAAUAGUUUAUGUAAACAAUGAGUUUAACACGUGUGUUUUCUGCUUUGGAAACAAUUAUGGUAUUGGCUUUGGAAACAUAUAAACUUGUGGGAGGAAAAUUUGAAUUACAAAGUGGAAUGCUGAUUAGGAUUACCACUUAGAAUGAUUAAUGCUAACACAAUGGAUGGAAAAAUUAGGUUAAGAUUAGGGUAAACAAUAGCUUGACCAGACAUGCUUUAGUAAGUAAGAUAAGGGCGGCUUGGAAGGCUCAAGGUACCAAAGAAAAAAUGCCUCGUGUGUAUAAUAACCUAAUCGAUCGUCCGUAAAGAACGACCGUAAAUUCAAGCAAAAAUAGCAUUCAUAUGGAACACUCAUAAUGUAUAUUAGAAGUAUUUAAGUAUAUAACAACCUAUAAUGGAUAUGGAAAUAUUUGGCUUUGAAUCUCACCAGUUAUGCUAUUCAGAAAAGAGAUGGUGAUCCUAUAAGUACAUUUACUAGCAAGCCCUAGAAAGUUACCUCAUUCGGUGGAAGAAGGAAUUUCUGCUCUUCAAUGUAAGUAUAAAUCAACCCUUACCUUAAAUGUUUUGAAAUGAAUACCUAAAACUAAAACAAAUUUAAGUAUAAAAGGAAAGGUUGUAAAUGUCAUGCAAAAGAAACAAAAUUUUAUUAGAUAAUACUUGAAAGAUAGGCAACAGAAAAAAAAAAAAUUGAUUAGUCAGAUCAUCUCAGCUUAGCAAAAAGAAAAUGCAGAAAAUAAAAAUAAUGGGUUGCCUCCCAUUCAGUGUUUGUUUAACGUCUGAGUCCCGACGAUUAAUAGGUGGCCUCCUAUUCAUCACUUCUUUUUAGUCAUUAGCUUGACGAAAUAGGUUGCCUCCUACUCGGUGCGUGUUUAGCGUCCCGAGCCUUACAGAUAGGUCUAACUUGUGCUUGGGAGCCCAUGUCCUUCAAGCUCCUUAAUUUCAUCAUCCUCCUCAACCUUCAGAUUAGGUUUUAAUUUCGGCACUCCGUUUUGCUUAAGGUGACGGUCUUGUCCAUAAACUUUGUAGGUGAUGUAGUCUUUUCCUAAUCGAAUGAUAAUUUCCCCUUGAUCCACAUUUAUAAUAUCUCGAGCAGUGACGAGAAAAGGUCUCUCUAAGAUCAUUUGAGCUAUAUUUAAUCCCUUUAUUUUCAUAACUACUACCUCAAUAGGGAAAGUGAAUCCAUCAAUGUUGAUAUUCAUAGUCUCUAUCACACCUUCAACUUUUUUUAGAGAACCAUCACCAAGUCAUAUUCUUACUUCGCAAGGUUUUAACUCCAUUCCUCCAAUCUUAUUGAAAAGUGAUAGUGACAUCAUGUUUACGCUGGAUACGAGGUCACACAUUACUUCACUGACAUAGAAUCCUCUAACCAUUACCGGUACACUGAAACAGUCAGGGUCUUCAUUUUUCUUGGGGGAGGUGUCCUCAUACUUCUUGCUAAAUUUUUGGGUAACAACUACCGUCUUAUCACAAAGUGGUUUAUCCGCUGGUGAGAAUAAAUAUUCUAGAAGGUUGUUGCAACAUUGGUUUCUGGUUACUUUCCUGGUUUGUAAGACAUCCCUGGGAGUUUUUAAUUCCUUCACAAGUAGCUCGAAUUCUUCUAAAAACUUGACGUCGUUCAUCAUAAGAUCACUCUCUUUCUCUUCAUCCUUUUCCACUUCUACCAUCUUGCAAGUUUCAUUCCUAGGAUUAUCUAGAGUUGUUUCAGAUAACCUUGUUCUUGUAGCAUUUGCAAGGUCAGUAGACAGCUGUCCCAUAUACACUUCCAAGUUCUUCAUACAAACCUCGUGUCGCUUUUUCAUUUCAUCAACCUGCUUAGUUAGUCUGUCAAUCUGCCCUUGGGUAUUCUUCGCAUUUUGAGAUAUCAUCUCUUCUAGACUUGACCUUGGUGGUUGUUGUUGAGUCCCUUGAGGGAGGGGGUGGGGGGCGGUUUGUCUGUUGUGGUUGUAGAACAUUGUUGCUUCGGUAAGAGAUUUGGACGUUCUGCCUAACUUGGAUUGUAAGUGUUGGAGUAUGGAUUCCUCUACUGCCUAGAAUAAUUUCCCAUAUACUUCACUUGACCUUCUGAAAACCCCAAACUUGCUGGUAAACAUGCACCACUUUCAUAAGCUUGCUCAUAGAUGUCACAGUUGGUUUUUGCAUAUAGGUGUGCAACUUUGUGAGCUUCCGACCCUUUUGCUAAUGUUUCUAGUUAUAUGCUGAGAAGUUUAUUGUUAGCAAGUAAAGCAUCGUGAGUGUUUAGAUCUAUUAUACCUUUUUCCUUGGGGUCACCUCUUCCUCGGUGUUUCCUCGAUAUUUAUUCAAAGAUAUGUUGUGAAUAAGCUCGUGUACUUCAUCAGUUGUCUUGAUUUUCAUGGUUCCUCUUGCAGAAGCAUCUAGUAGCAUCCAAGUAUCUGGUUUUAGUCCCGUAGUGAAAGCUUGCAUGAUAUCCAUUUCUGACAACUUGUGACCAGGAUACCUCUUGAACAAUAGUUUGAAUCUCUCUCAUGCAUCAUAAAGGACUUAUCCUUCUUGUUGCUUGAAGCCGAUCUCCUUCUUCCACGCCAAGUAUUUUGCAGUUGAGAAAUAUAUGUCCAAGAACUUCCUCUUUAGAUGAUCCCAAAUCUCAAUCGUGCCGCUUGGUAAUGCAUCAAGUCAAUCCCUUGCCUUUUCGAUUAGAGAAUAAUCAAACAACCUGAGUCAUUUGUCUGAUUCUGACACCCCGACUUCGUUGAUUGUGCUGCAGGCAUCCAGAAAGUGCGUUAAUUGAACGUUGCAAUCUUCCUUCUCCUUACCUGAAAAUUGGUUAGAUUUCAAAUUCAUCAUAACACUGUUCUUGAUGUCAAACACCACCGGGUUUGCUGGUUGGAAACCAAGUGAACCUUCAUCCAAGUUGUCAAGUCUCCCAUAGUCUCAUAGGGUAAUGCGGUGUUAUUCUCCCAUUUCGGACUCGUCUGAUGAAUAGUCUUGAAUUAGGAUUAUAUUAUGUUGUUAUGUCCUUUCUCUUGCAAGUCGGGCUACUUUCUAAAGUGCCUGUUCAAUUUUGUCUAUUUUUGAAUCAAAUUGCAGAACACAUGUUUUGGUAUUACUCAUAAAACAAUUUGAAUAAUAUUUUUGGUAUUUUGAUUUUUUUUGGUAUUUUUUUGAAUUUUUGAAAACAGAAAAAUAAAAUGCAUAAAAAUAAAUGAUAGAAAAAUAAAUGACAGAAAAAUAGAGAUAGAAAAAAUAAAUAAUUUAAAUUGCUUAGUCGAAAAUAUCAACAAUCCCCGGCAACUUGAUGGUCGGAUAUGGCAAGUGUACUAAAUCGUUACCAAGUAAUAAAGUGAUAAGUAGAGCGUUGUAUCCACGUGGAUUGUCGUUUCGUCCAAACAAUUCAUGUUAUUUAUUUUUGUAAGUUUGACGAUAUAAAAGAUAAAGGGUUAGAAAGCUUGCAAUUUUUAUUUGUUUGCAACAUAGCAAGUUUACCUGUUUUGGUUGCAGAAAAGUAAGCAGAGGUUAGGAUUCUUCGAAUCCCCUAUGCUUAUAUUGUUGGAUGCUCCCUCCGUCCCGGAUUAACUAAGUCCGAAACUCAUUUCACACGUAUUAAGAAAAAUGUAUAAAUAAAGGAGAGAGAAAAAUAGUUUUAAGUGCACUUGUUAAGUAUUGAUGCAUUCUCCACUAUCAUAAUUGUAAAGUGAAAUAUAUUGAAUUGGGAAUGAUCAAAACAGUAUUAAUUAGAGUUAUAAAGGGAAAAAAGUAAUUAAUAUUGUAUUGAAAAAUGAAAUGGCUCAAUUAUUUUGUGCAAAUGGUUCAGUUAUUAUGGAACAGAUGGAGUAUUAAAUAAAAUUCAUGUCGCGUUUAUUUAUCUUUCUUACUAAAGCUUGUCUGGUCAAGCUAUUAGUAACCCUAAUUCUUAACCUAAUUUUUCCCUCCACUAAUCACACAUUUAAUUCUCUUAAGUGGUUUUCCUUAUCAGCAUUUCACUCAACAAUUCAAGUUUUCAUCCCACACGUUUCUAAUUCUGUCGAUCCAUUGUUUCUACUACUGUAUUUAAUGCAUUCAAUCAUCUAUGUUGUUUUCUCCAAAAUCAUGCGCCAUUUUCAAAUCUAACAGCCCUUUUGUUUUCCCAACAUGCCAAUUAUGCUCCCUAUGCAUCUUAAAACUCCACCGGCCCCUUUUCCACUAAUGCUGGCAUAUUUCCCAUGCAUAUGCACAUGUUACAACACCAACCCUCUUGCCCAUAUAUAUACAUGAAACGCAUAAAAGGCACCUCAUUGCAUUCCUGUUUAAUUUUAGUGUUUUCUGUCAUGGCUAACUCUCUCUAUUAGAAUAUAUAUGAAGAAAUUUGUAGUAUUUUUUAUGCUUUUUGAUCCUGGUGGUUAUGCUAUGUUGAAUAUAUGGACUGAAUCCAAUGUGACUCGAAAGGAUAUAAUUUUGGAUGGAGCAAAUAAGGAUGGUUUAAGUUAUGUGGUGCAAUCACGGAGGGACUGUUCAACCAACCAAACUAUGUGUAGUUACACUAAUAUUUUGAGUUUUUUUAUAUCUGCUUUUUGUAACACCCCGUUACCCAAAAGCAAUUAAAUAGCAUAUAAACAUCAGAGUAUUUCACCAAACGGGCAUGCUACAUUGCAAAUUCAAAAUUUCUUAAAUAGAAAAUAAAACUAUUUAAUCAAAUCAACUUAUAUAUAUGAAAACAUAGCAGCGGAAUAGUUUUCAAAAUCCAUAAUCUCCUGAACAACCAACAAUAGUCUAAGGCAUUAAAGGCCUUACAUAAUUCAACAUCAUAAUUCAAAAACAACAAAAGGCUCCACACCACAAGUUCCAAAAUUUGAUACAUGGAAAGGAAAAGCAACAAUAACAAUAAAGAUAAAUCCCAUCCCACGUAUCAGAGCCCUAGACACGACUUUGANNNNNNNNNNNNNNNNNNNNNNNNNNNNNNNNNNNNNNNNNNNNNNNNNNNNNNNNNNNNNNNNNNNNNNNNNNNNNNNNNNNNNNNNNNNNNNNNNNNNAAUAAAUAUUAAAUAACUCCCCUAACUCCAAAAUAACUAAUAUUUCAUACUUAUUUUAAUUAUUAUUAAAUAAACCAUAUAUUAAAAUAAUACAUCACAUAGAACAUCCAAAAAUCACAUAUAUAUAAAUACAUGCAUAAAAUCCACAUAAAUCACCAACAUCAUAUAUAAUAAUAUAUAUAUUUACUCCACAUAAUAAAAUAAUUAAAUAAAUAACUAGGGCGUUACACUUUUUGUUCAUGUCCUUAAUUUGGUUUUUGUUUCAAAAAAAUUUCUGUGAUAUUUUCCAAGUAAAUAAAUAUCAAAUUUAGUUCAUUUUAAUUUUUGAAUGUGUUUUGCUUUCAAUCAUUUCAAUGUGUUUUUCUAUCAUGUACAAUUUUCUUGCUCCAUUUAUGCCUUAAAAGAAACUGAUCUUACUACCCUACAACUUCAUCAAUCAUCAUGCUAUAUUAUGGAAAACUCUUUCUUCCCUGCAAUCAGUCUCUAUCAGUAAUUGCAGAUUUAUCAUCAACAAAAAAGACUGGAGCAUCUACAAGUUUGUUUGAGAUUUAUUGAGAUUGAAGUCAUAUCUUUCUAUGGUUGAGAGAAGAGUUUCCUGGUAGUACAAUACUCCAGCAACAACAUAGCAAUGCUUUGGUCGGCAAGUGCUUUUGUUCUAAAUACAAGUUUUUAAUUCAUGUUUUGGCUGGCUGUUUGUAUGUGUGACAUGCUGGAUUAUAAGUAAGAAAAAUAGUUUUUCUUGGAAUUUUAGUAUGAUGAUAAUUAACUAUAAAUCUAUUUGUUUUGCUUUUCAGUUUAGUUAAUAGAGUUAUAAUAUUUGACAUGUUCAUUCAAACAUCAUCACUAGCGUGAUAGUGGCAAUUAAUACAUUUUCGCUUUUUUGAAUUGAAACCUAAACUAAAAACACCUCUACAUACAACAUUUACCUUUCAUUUUUGUUUACUAUUAAUUGGUCUCAAUAAAAUGUCAUGGUUGAUCUCCAAAAAUAUGUGCAGAGUCAUAUGGAUCAAUAUGUUACUUGGUACCUUUAAUUUUUGUUUAUUUUUAAGUGUACUACAAUGCAUAAACUUUUGACAGUUGUUAAAUGUAGUUUUUAAUUGAAGAAUAUCAAGGUCCCACUACUCAUACAUAUAUAGCAUAAGAAAUGGUAGAAGUGAAAAGAUAGUACAUAAAUGAACUCAUAUAUACAAACAUGGUUUAUUUAUUUAAGAAUCGUAUAUAAUUUGUUUGAAAAAAAAAAAUAAUCAUAUACAAUCAUCAUCUUAAUAGACUAUAGCUUAUCUCUUUAUAAAAGAUUCAAGUUAACAAAAACAUGUAACUUUCACAAACACCUUAUGUGUAUAUCACAAGUUUGUUCAUAAAAAAAAGUAUACCACAAGUUUAAGGCCCCUACAUGGUGCAACAUGUUGACUGUGGCACCUCCACAUAUAUCAUUUUAUUUACUAUAAGCAACUCGAAGAAUUCUACACAAUAAAAUUGCUUUGAUGUUUUCUCACCAUUACUAAUGCACCUUCAAGUUGUUGGUGUGGAACUGGUGUACUUAUUAUUAUGUGGUUUAAAAUAAUUUGAAAGAUUAUAUAACUCACCUGUUCAUCUCACGAGCGAGUUAUUUAACAUCAAUAGAAAUAUAUAAUAUAACUUAUUGAUCUUUAUUUAAGUCGAUAAGACCCGUGCGGAGCACGGGUCGAAAGUCUAGUCUUAGUUAGACUAUACAAGUGAUGAGGUCGUUGGGACGUUUCUAACCUAGUUGGUCAUCAAGUUGCACCUGCUGAUCGCACGGUGAUCCUUACGUGUGGGGUCUUACUCUCUCAGUUGAUUAUAGGUUUAUCUCUCCGGGGGCUAACUGCACAUGCUGAUCGCACAGUGAUCCUUACGUACGGGAUCUUAUUAAUUCAAAGGUAAUUGAAAUAUAGAUUUAAAUUGGCGUUGCAAUUUUUCCCAAGGCAAUGAAGUCCAAGGUAUCAUUAGUCUAGUCCAUCUAUGAAUCUUAGGACACUCAUAAUCAACCCUCUCUCACACUUAGUAGUUCUACAAACGGGUAACUCUAUCUCGUCUACCUUACCAAGGGUUUAAGAGGAUGGUUUUAUCUAGGUAUAUUUCACGGAGUUGCUUGUUUCCUUAAUUACUAAGUAGUUACAUCAUAGGUUCAGCAAAGUUACUGCUCAAUCUUAGUAAUGUCACCUCCUAAGCAUUUACUACUAGGAUCAACUCGCUUUCGGUAUCUUUUGCUAGUUACUAACAAAUUACUUCCUAGACAGAUAGUUACCAGUAUAAUGUUAAAAAUAUCAAGAUAUAAGCAACAAGAUAGUAAUAACAAUAUUAGACCCUGUCACAACUUAAGUACCUAAUCUAGGGUUAGUCUCCUUUGAAACAAAUAACUAAAUAAAACUUAAUAGCAAACAAAAAAUAAAUAAAAUAUAAACGACGUUAAAUUAAAUAAAUAUCCAACAAAAAUAAACAGAGGUUCAUCUUAGAACUCUAACCUAAAAAAGAAUUAGUUACACAUGGUAACUAAAAACAAAUUGCUAAAGAUAAAAACAUACCCUAGAUAAUCAAGGAGAAGAUAGAAACUCUUCUUAAGCUCCAAAGUUGCCUUCCUCUUGAAAUGCCACAAUUAUGAACGAGAAAUUAUGAAUGAGGAAGACUGGUAUUUAUAGUGAGAGUUUCUAACUGGGUUUGGGCUAAAAACGCGGGCUAAACCCACAAAAAUGCAUAAAAUUACACAUGCGCCCCUGACAUUUUCAAAUGCCCAAGGCGCAUGGUAUUGCUUCCUUUGUCUAGUUUCUCUGAUUUUCGUCGUUUUUAGGUCUUCGUCUUCAAAUAACUUGUCUUGGAACUUGGGAACAAAAUUCCUCCAACUGUAAAGUCUUCUGAGGCCUCUUGAAUAUUCAUUCUUGGUCUUCCCAAAGUCUUGACAAUUCUUCAGAUGUUUUUGAUUUGCCGAUUUGCAUGAUUUCUUCGUGAAUUACUUCAAAACCCCUCUAAAAUUGCUAUGUUUCAGAAAAACUAUAAUUAUAGACUCAAAUAUAGAAAACAUUACAAAAGUCCCGAAAUCAUAGGCAAUUGUUCUAAUAUUCCUCAUUUUUGCAGCUAAAACAUACUGAAAAUGACUGAAAAAACAUGCUAAACAUAACGUAAGAUUACCUGUCAUCGGUACCACAAUGUCCAAUUUUUUAUCUCUUCACUCUUAUAUUCAUGAGAAACUUCACUAUUUUUUUAUCUAGCUAAGAUGUCAACGUACCAUCAAUUACGAGUUAGAAAUAGAAAGGUCACUAGGCCAUUCCUCAAGUAACGAGACUAAGUUUUGUUUUUGAUUUGUGCUUAUUCCCUUAUUCACCUAAUAUUACCUACUAAUGAUGUAAGUUUUUUCCAGAAAAAAGCUACACAUAGACUUGUUGUUGAUCAUAUUUUCAUCCCGUCUUAUUAAAUUGAGCCAAGUGUCUUAAUCAUUGGAGUGUCUUUAUUUAUGCAUCCCAAUUUAGAUAAGCAUCAACUUGUUGUAAGUGGGAUAUGCAUCUCACUUUGCUUAAGCUUCAAUAUUUAUUUUCAAUAUGAAUAUGAAUAUGAAAGUGAGACUUUGUUUUAAUAAUGGCUUAAUGAUUAGUUUUUAAUUCAGCGAUUAAACCAAACCAUGACUAAACAUCAAGUUACAGAACUGAGUCAAUUUAAGGUUUGUCUUUGUUAGCACCAAAAUCAUAAAAACUCUUAUAUUUUUUUGGUGACUAGGGUUUGAACCCCGAAUAUAUUAUGCAUUGUCCUUACUAGCUGAGCUAAGCUCACGGGAACAUAAAAAUACUUAUAUUAAUAUUACAUGUUUAAAAAAAAGAGAUUACUUUAAACUUAAAAAAAAAUUGUUAACGAGCGCCUCCAAACACUUUUAAGUAUUUUAAAAUAAGUAGUUAUUUUCUAAAAAGUUAAUAUUUCAAUUUUUAAUACAUCAAAUACACAUGUUUUCAUAAAUAUUUACCAUUUAUUAUGGUCUUCAAGAUUAAAGAAUGUCUCCAAGACAUUCAUUAACAUUUAAAACAAAAAGAGUUUAAUUAAUAUAUAUCAUCAGCAUAAAAAGUUUUACAUAUUUAAUGAAGUAUGACAAUGACAACAUGUGUAAAACUUCUCUAUAAAUUAAACUCCUCUUAAAAUAAAAUAAAAACAACAAGAAGAAAAUAAAGGGAAAAAGUAAGAUUUUUUUUAAGGACAUAUGAAAAAUGUUAGUUAGUAAGUAGUUUUUAUGCUUUUUUAAGGAAGUAAGUAAUUUUUAUGUUAGUUUUAUGUCGGUGUUUAUUCUCUUAGCUCAAUAUAAUAUAAUAUAUUGGAAGAAAGUGUAAAAAUUGUCGAAUACACCAUUGAAAUCCUCUUAGGACAGUAUAAAACUAUUUCACAUUACUAGUGCAUCCAACUGAACUUUCAUAUAGUUGAAUUUUUUUUCACCUGUAAAAUAGUUCAAAAAUAUAUUUUUUUAUUUGUUUUACAAAAUCUCAAAUAGUAAGUAUAGGUUAACUUUUUGCCACAUUAGACUACUUAAAUGACUUAAGUAGAAAUUUGAUGGAUGAGAUUAAAGUGAUGUAAUAUUUUAAAACGUGUAAGGUUAAAAUGAAAUUUAAAAUAAUAUAAGGGACGAAAACUUAAUUGAGCCUAAACUUUAGAAUAGACACGUCAUAAUUUUUACGUGUCUUGAAUAUCAUCAUGGUGAAACCAAACUUUUUUUAUAAAUAACAUUUAAGAUGCCAAAAGCUUCACUCUUGAAAAUGAAGUUGAGAAAGUCCAAAUAAUUAAUACCUAACUUUGAAUAGUACAUUUAUAUACAUAAUACAAGUUCUCAAACUUAAGUGUUAUACAUAUUUAUCAUGUCAAUACUUGGAUGCUAUAUAAAUUAAUUUUUUGCCACAUUAUAUUACUUUAAUGACUUAAGUGGGAAACUUAAUGGAUGAGACGAGAGUGAUGUAAUAGUUUAAAACGUGCAAGACCAAAAUGAAAUCUAAAAUAAGUAUAAAUGACAGAAACCUAACUGAGCCUAAACUUUUGAAUAUGCACGUCAUAUGUUAGACGUGUCUUGAAUAUCAUCAUGGUGAAACCAAACUUGAUUGUUUUUACAUAUAACAUUUAAAACGCCAAAAGCUUCACUCGUGGACAUGAAGUUGAGAAAGUCCAAAUAAUUAAUACCUAACUUUGAAUAAAAGAUGAUCAAUCUCACAACAAAAACUAAUACGAAUAUCUAUCACAAUUUUGCACACAAGAAGACAUCAAUAUUGAUAACGCUUAUAAACAACUUCAAGAAAAAUACAAAAAAAUUGUGGUCGAUUUAGUAGACAAUUAAUCACAAUUGAAUUAUAAGGAGGUGGAGCAUUCAUAAAGAUCAACAUCAGAUGCACUACGACUUUAUUGCAAACUCAAGUUCUAAAUUCUAGUAUAAGGUGCUCUGACACUUGAUCUCUUGUAAGCAUGAAUUGCAUAUUCGUGUCUCCUUACGAUUACAAAUAAAGGCGCAAUUAACAUUAACUAAUAUGAUUUUCUCUAGACACUUUCACAAAUUCUUUGAAAUCUACUAGGAGAAGAUGCAAUUUGAGGAGAGAAAGAGAAAAAAAAGACAACGAAUGAAACAAAUUUUGAUUUACCUUUUUUGUGAAAGAGUAUACUUUGAAUUUAUUUAUUUUGCAAAGAUUGCAUUUUUUGUUUCUAGAAUGUAGAGACAAAAAUUUAAUUAUAUUAUUCUAUAAUCUAUACCCAAAAAAAAACUUUAAUUUAAUUUGUCCCUUUUAUGACACACCAUGUUUUUUCCAUGCGAAAAUGACUCUUUCACAUUAUUAUCAUUUUUUUCUUUCUAAACAAAACAAGAAAGAACAAAUUCUGUAAUAAUUCAACCUAUAUCUCUACUUUCUAGGGUUCUUCUCUCUCUCUCUUUCUCUCUCCUCUGAUCCAAAUCCAACCCAUGUGCUAAAUUCCUAUCACAGAUCUUCCCCUUUCCUUCCUUUUAACGUUUCUUCCAUAACACUCUUCAAAGUUUCAAUCUUUUUCUCACAUUGAUUCUCUUUUUUUCUUCGAAUCUUUGAUUAAGAUUCUUCAGCGUUUUCAUCUCAAGGGUAUUUUUUUUUUUCAAUCACUCCUUCGUUUUUAUGGUGGAUAUGGAUGGUUUUGGAGGUGGGGGUGAUCUUGGUGGACCUCCUGGUUCUGGAGAUCUUAGGCAAUUGGGUCAUGUUCCUGUUUCAGGUUUGUGAUGCAAUUCCUUUUUUUUUUGUUUAAUUUGUAUUUGUUUUUGUGUUGUUUAAUUCAUCUGGGUCAUGUAGAUCUGGUUUGUUUGAGAAAGUUAUUUAAUUUGAGUUUUUUUGGUAUAAUUGGUGCAUGAUUUGGUGUUUGAUUGUUAGUUUUGUAGUUCAAGUUGUUUAUUUGUUUGUUAUGUUAAGUUAUUGUAUGAUUUGUAGAGUAGCUGAAUCAAAAAGCUUAUUUCUUUGUGAAUUAUUGUUGUGAUGUUUUGGUUUAUGCUAUUGUUUGUUGCUUAAGUUAUUGUAAGACCCUGUUUGUAUAAACAAGCACUUACUAUAUAAGUGCUCAUGUAUAAGCUAUUUAUAUAACAAAAGAUAAAAUCAAAUCAAAUUAUUUUCAUUUAAGUUAUAAAUUGUUUUCAUAAGCUAUCCUAGAGAGCUGAUAGAAAUAAGUUGAAAACAGCUAUGAACAUGCCAUAAGUUGUUUUCAUAAGCUCUUCCAAACAGACUUAUAAAUGUUUAUGGCACUAGAUAAGCUCUAAUAAGCCAAUCCAAAGAGGCCCUUAUUAUGACUGAUUAAUGACUUUUUGCUUCUCUGUGUGUGUUGGAGGGGUAGGGGGAGGGGUGAACAUCGUGUGGUGAACGUGCUUACUCUUAUGUAUAAUUCAGGACAGUUUAAUUUGCCACAAGGCCAAUCCAGACAGUGUUUAGGUUAUAGUUAAUAGCAUUUUCUCACUAUACCAACGCUUUGUUAUAAAUUAUUACUCGCAGCAAUAUCUUCUAAAUUUCUUGAGUAAACGACGUGUUGUUUGUACUUCCAAUGGUCUCUUAUCGAUUUCAAAAGAAAAGUUAUUAUCCAUUCCAUAGGCGUUACAUGUUGAAACGGAUAAAAUUAUUAUUAGUGCUAUGUGGUGUGCUUAUCUAGUUUUUUUUUUGUGGGAAUUAUGGUCACAUGGGAACUCUUUGCUAAUUGCAAGCGCAACACUGCUACCUGUACUUUUCAUUUUAAGUAAUUAUAAGAAUUUGGUAAAAUGUAUUUGAUGAUGUUUUUGUUAUGCAGGAGGUGCUGUUUUUGAUGCAUCACAAUAUGCAUUCUUCGGUAAAGAUGCUGUCCAGGAAGUCGAGUUGGGAGGGUUAGAAGAGGACGCCCGUUUGCCAACUUUUGAAUCUAAUGAGGAGGAGUUCUUUUUUAAUAGAGAACAGGUUCAUUUUCAGUCUUAUGUCUGUUUUUUAUCUCUCAAAAUUCACGUGGCUAGAAUGUUUUUGAGCAACAUCUCCCCUCUUUUCCUUUCUCAUGUGAUUCACAUAUAUGGCACUUGAGUUUUGUAUCAACUAACAUUCACUCUCACUUUGCAGGAUGAGGAUGUGAGAUCUCUUUCUGAUAUUGACGAUCUUACAACCACCUUUUGGAAGGUAAGGAUGUUGUACUAUGAUUAUCACACUUUUCUGUAUUCUGGAGGUUUUUAUUAGAUAAGUGACUAAGUGUUGUGAUCAUGUGAUGAUGAUAGUUUCUUAAUUUACAUGCUUGAUGCAAAAAUGCAAAAAUUAUAAAUUUUAUAAAAACGCGUGUUUCUACUUCCUAUAUGAUUGAUUUAAUGUUUCAAAUAUGAGUUGAGUCAUGAAUUGGAGAAAGAUUAAAAAGUGAAUACUCAACAGAAAUUAGUUAUUCCUGCACCGUUUUCCAUGAUUUAAUGUUUCUCAAUUUCCAUGAGGAAGAACUGAAACAAGUCAUGGGUUUGGUCCAGAUUUGUCAACUAUGAGAGAGAAUCAUGUACCUAAACCUGACAUGUGAAAAAUGUUGUUUCUAGGUUAUUUUCUUCUUGCCACAAGAUUAGGCACAUUUUGUAUCUUGUGCUCAUCCACAGACAUAUCCUAUCAUAUUAAGUGUUCUCGAGAUUAGCUGCUUUUGUCAAGUCCAUAUUCAAACUAGACAAUAGUAUGGUAGCAGACAUGGACAGGAUUAUAGAAUCUAAGACCAUUUUCAGGCAUUGUUGAUUUUUGAUAUUCCAUGCCGAGUGCAAGCAAUAAAGGGAUAUGGAAUGGGGUUACCAAGUGACGUAUCAUUCUAGAAAACAAUAUACUGAUCUAGGAAAAAAAAUCUUUCAAAUUCACAAUUGAACAAUUAAAAAUUUGGGAAUAAUAUUACUAUUUAGUUGCUUGGUAGUUGAUAGCGGCGUUGCACGUGGUAAUCACGCCGGUGCAGCGCGAGUAGUUGUUGGUCGCCACAGCGAAACUUAGGGCAUUCGGCAUUAAGGGUGCCGGCGCCACAGUGACAGAACACGGUGGUGCGAGUCGUGUCCGCCGCGACACAUAGAUCUUCCAUUGUAAUCCUGUGAUUUUUGCAGCUGCGGCAGCCCGGAGUUUGUUACAGGGUUUAUGUUGUCUUUUAGGUCUAGCUACUAGGUUAACGGAGAAGAUAAAAUUUGGGCCCUUAAGGCCCAAUCUACAUAAAUAUCAAAUAAAAGGCAUCAUAAAAAAACAAUGGCCUUUGAAUACCUUGGGCAUUUAGAAAAGGCAAUAGUAGUUACUAGUUAGUAAUGCUAAACAAAUAAUAAAAUAACAAAGUAACAUAAUUAAGUAAAAAAAGUAUUACUCCCUCCGGUCAUUAUUAUAAGCAAAGAUUCAUUUUAAGGUUCAUUGAAUAACUGAUGUGUUUGGUCUAUAUUAUAAACUACAUCAGUUACUCAAUGAACCUUAAAAGUGAUUUUUUGCUUAAAAUAGUGACCGGAGGAAGUAGUAUCUAGUAAUAAUAGACCAACAAUUGAAUAAUAAUAAAAGUAAUAUAAUCUAAUGGAAAAUGAUUACUUGUACAUAUUUAGUAUUAGUAUUAAUAUUAGUACAAUCACAACAACCAAGCCUUGUGUCGCUAAGUGUGGUCGGCUAUAUUUAGCAUUAGUAUAAAAAUAUUAAACUACAUAUAGUAUAAAAUUUUUAGAUUAUCCUUAGGCAUUGUUUCCUUAGGCACUCUUGCUGCUACAAAUUAGUCUCUUGUAUUAAGCUUUCCCGUUAUAAGGUCGCUCAUGUGCACUGUGAAACCAAUGAAGUUGCUGAUUCUUUUACUAAAUUUGGUCUUGCUCAUAAAUUCGAUGUUGUUCCUAAUUUUUCCUCUUUUGCCUUGUUGGCAGAUUGAAAUUCUGUCUGUCUUUCCUAGAUGCUUUUAGAGUCAUUUGUGUUUCUGUUUGGGGUUUGACCCUGUCUUUUUCAUUAAAAAAGGAUAUAAAUUAUUUGUUUUAGUUUAAAUUGUUCUAGAUAUAUGUAUAUAGUAUAAACUAUUUAGAUGGAAAUGUAAAUUAUGUAUAUAGUGUUAAUUAUUUAGAUGCAAAUGUAAAUAUUCAAAUGCGACCACCGCUCUGCAUGUUAUCCCAGUUUCGGAGUCAACCGCUCUGCGUGAUCUGGGAUCGACAACUAUAUUUGGGUGGUGGUUUGGCCUCGGGGAACUAACAAUAGUAUGAUUUAUAUUCUUGUCUUACAUUGGUCAGGCAACGUGAUUGUUCCUGUUUUAUUUAUAAAGUGGUUGGCAUUUAUCCUUGGGAAUUGCCUGGCCUGACCCAACCAAUAAUUUUUAUGAAGUUUUGUGGCAUUUCAUGAACCAACUGCCCCAAAAGCUUAAGCUAUUUGUUGAAUGCAUGAUGCAUGAGUAUUUUAAUGUUAUAUCAUGCUACUUGAUGCUUGACUUGGGCAGCCCAAAAAAAAAAACCAAGUCCUUAUCAUAUCACCACCCUUCAAAGCCGACAUCUUGGCAGCUGCACUCUAUAAUGCUUCACUCGGCCUCUUUCAGCCAGCCUCUCCAAGUACUUUGGGAACCCAUGAGUCCUCUCAAGGCGGUGGUGAUACAUAGGAACCCGAUAAUACCUCUUAUAGCAUCUCCAUUAGGGGUAUCUAAGUGUGUUUCAUAGAAGGAUGAACCCGUUCCUUAUUUUUUAUCCCCAUUGGAGGAGGAACCUGAUGUGGGAAAUUUGGUAGCAUAGAAAUUGUUGAAAUACCUUAAAUAAGAUAUGGCACCGCAGAAUAAAAAACUGAUUUAUUUUCUCAACAGCCUGCAACCAACCAUAAAAAGAAGGGGGGCGAAGACUGAAACAUACCAGAAAACACAAUUACACACAUCUGAACCCAAAUCAAGAAGAUAAAGAAAUCACAAAAAAAAAUAAAAAAUACAAACCACAUCAAAUAAAAAAUACAAAUGGCUGAAAAAAAGAGAGAUGGAAGCGAAAUUGAGUGUGGGGUGAUUGGUUUGUGGAGGCGAGAAACAAAGUGUUAUUUUUUACAGUGAAAAACACAGUUUGUGUUUGUGUGUUUGAGAGAAAGAAGGAUUGGUCUCUCUAUGUGUGUACACGAUAAAAUUAUUAUAUUAAUAUUUUAAUUUGAGGCAGCAUUGAUUAUAAAUAAAAAAAGUGUGGCUUGCUUAAGUGUUGCGUAAUUUUUUUAUCUUUGGAGCAAAAUGUGUAUGAGUUUCACAACCUAUUUUCUCAGCGACGAAUGCUAGUUUUUCCUUUUUGCUUUUGCCUUUCCUGGGAAUUUAAUUCCUAUGGUUGCUAAUGCUAAUUUCAAUUAACUUUGGCAAUUAGCUAUCCAUAAAAGAAAAACAAAAGGAAAGUGAAAGAGUUAGUGAAUGAAAGAUUAAUCUGAUUAGCUUGCUUUCUUUGGCAUUUCAAACAUAUUUGAAUAUUAUUGGCAUCAAUUAACUGGUUCUGUCUCGCAACCAAAGUUAGUUGUUUGAUCUUUUCUUGACAUGUGCGCUACCUAUAUGUGCAAUUUUGGAAUUCAGUUUUUGACUGCUAUGAUUUUGAUGAUACUCGUCUCUUUGUCACUGUAAAUAGUCAUUGCUUAACUCAUCCAUAUGAAUACUAAGUUUUUUUUUUUUUUUUUUAAAUUUGAUUUCAGUUGAACAAGGCUGUCAGUGGACCAAGAAACCCAGGUGUUAUUGGUGAACGUGGAUCCAGAGAAAGUGAGUAAAGCAGUUGUAUUUCACUCACCAAUUUUCUUUUUCUUUUAUUAAAAUAAAUUAUGUCAAAUUUUGGCAUUCAUUUUGUUUAUUUAUUUAAUAUUUCGAGUGAACAAGAAAAUUGGUCUUUAAAAUUGUAAUUAAAAUAGUCCAUGAGUUUAGCGAAACGGAAAAUACAUUCAUGAAAUUGUAACACAUAAAUCAAAAUGGUUUCAUGUUUACUUAUUAUUCUUAGAGGCCAUGACAUGACAUGUUAAACGAACAUGGGAUCUUCCCCAUAGAAGUGGAAGCCCACAUGUUUAUUUAGUGUGCCACGAUAUAGCCUGUAGCAGCAGAAGUUAACAGAGGGACCAUUUUGACUUGACGGUUUAAAGGAUGUAUAUACCAAUUUGCAAACUACAAUAACUAUUUUGAUUGAUGCUCGCAAUUUCGAGGGCUAAAUUUCCUAUUUGCUCCUAAGAUUUUAACUGAUAUUUUUCCAUUAUACUCUGAAUCUUUGAUAUUGUCUUUUUUUGUUGAGAGUUUUUUCAACCAUGGUUUUGCUACAAGUUUAUUGAUAACUUUACGGUUUUUAAGUAGAAAACUUUCUCUAUUCAAGAAAAGGAGUGUGAUAAAAGCAAUAAUAACUUAAAUGUGUCGAGUCCAUUCAUUAUUGCCUUGCAUCAGUCAUAAAAUUAAUGAGAGAGGAUUGGCACUAAUUUUAGGGUAUUUGAGAUUAUUCAUCUGAGGGGUUGUCUAUAGUAUAAUGAUUUUUCAGGUCUUGUCUUGACUGUUUAAAAUCUGCAUUAGAAUAUGUUAAGAUGAGGUUAUGCGUCUCUUGUGUUCAAAGGGCCUAUAUAAUGCUGGGCUUUAGCAGCUUUAUUCCCCUUUUCACUGUUGACAAUAUUUUUUUCAUGUUGACUGAUUUAAUUAUAUAUUUUUUUAUUGCAUCCACUAUCCAGACUCUACAUCUGAUCUGGCACAAAGAGACGAUGUUCAUAGCUGGUUUGAUCAGAAUGCUUAUGAUAGUGAAGGUUCAAUUGAUGGAAAAAGAUGGUCAUCACAGCCCCAAUCUUCUCUUGCCCAUUUGCAAAAUUCGAAGUCCUUGUACAGAACAUCUUCAUAUCCUGAGCAGCUAAGGCAAGAGCAAAACUACCACCUCCAACAUUGCUCUAGUGAGCCAGUUCACAACUGGCUUGAUCAGCAUAUUUAUGAUAUUGAAACAGCUCAUGAUGAGAAACGAUGGUCAUCUCAGCCGCAUACCUCGAUUCCACACUUACACGAAUCAACACCCUUGUACAGAACAUCUUCAUAUCCCGACAAACAACAGGAGCUUACUCGUUUUUCUAGUGAGCCAAUAUUGGUACAGAAGUCUUCUUUCACUUCUUAUCCUCCGCCGGGUGGUCGAUCUCAACAGGGUUCUCCAAGUCAUAGUACAGGCCACUUGAACAUUCCAUAUCACACUGGAGCAGCAGCUCAGAUGGCACUAUCAUCUCAAAAUCGACCACAUUUCUCCAAUUCUGCGCUACAGUUGAGUGGAUUAAACCUUGGGUCACACUUUGGUGGAAACACACGACAAUAUUCUACUGGUUCCUCCCCUCUUAGUCAACGAAUACAGAACCAACUGGUCAGCCAAGCAGGGUUAUAUCCAGGAGAUCGGUCCAACCUCCUUAGUAAUAUGCUGCAGCAACAGUUACAGCUUCAUAAUGGAUCAGUUUCUCCUCACUUGAUGACUCAAUUGCAACAGCAGCAGCAUAGACUGCAUCAUCCUGUUCAGCAAUCUGCAGGCUACUUGUCAGGUUUCCAGUCCCAUUUAUUCAAUCCCCACCUUUCUCCUAGCUCAUCCGUCAAUAGCAAGUAUGAUCACAGACAUAAAUCAAGUCAAAAAGGUAAACAUAGUCAUCGUUUAUCACAUCAGGGUUCUGAUGCCAGUAGCCAAAAGAGUGAAAGCAGUUCAUUACAGUUUCGGUCCAAGCAUAUGACAAGUGAUGAAAUUGAGAGUAUUCUUAGAAUGCAGCUUGCUGUCACUCACAGUAAUGAUCCAUACAUAGAUGACUAUUACCACCAAGGUCGUCUUGCAAAAAAACCUUCUGUGGCUAAGUUAAAACAUCCUUUCUGCCCAACCCAAAUAAAGGAACUUCCUUCCCGAACACGUUCCAGUAAUGAUCCUCAUGCAUUUCUUCAGGUUGAUUCCCUAGGGAGGGUUUCAUUUUCGUCUAUUCGUCGGCCUCGCCCUCUUCUUGAGGCUGAUUCUUCAAAUUCUUCCAUCCCUGGUAGCUCUGAUCUAAAGAUUUCAGAGAAGCCUCUAGAACAGGAGCCUACAUUUGCUGCCAGAGUCACAAUUGAGGACGGUCUUUGUCUUCUUCUUGAUGUAGAUGAUAUUGAUCGUUACCUACAGUCUAAUCAGCCACAAGAUGGUGGAACGCAAUUAAGACGAAGAAGGCAGGUCCUAUUGGAAGGACUAGCUACUUCACUUCAACUGGUUGACCCGCUGGGGAAGAAUGGGCACAAGGUUGGGCUUGCAGCUAAGGAUGACCUUGUUUUCAUAAGGAUAGUAUCUGUCCCUAAGGGACGCAAGCUCCUCGCGAAGUAUCUUCAAUUGCUUCUUCCUGGCAGCGACCUUAUGCGGAUAGUUUGCAUGACCGUCCUUCGGCAUUUAAGAUUCUUAUUUGGUGGUCUCCCCUCGGAUCCAGCAGCUGCAGUGACUACAUGCAACCUUGCCGAGGUUGUUUGCCAAUGUAUCCGUGGAAUGGAUCUUGGUGCUCUUAGUGCCUGUCUUGCUGCAGUUGUUUGUUCUGCAGAGCAUCCUCCUCUACGCCCUGUUGGAAGCACUGCUGGAGAUGGUGCUUCCCUUAUUUUGGUAUCUGUUCUUGAGAGGGCUACCGAGCUUCUAACCGAUCCACAAGCAGCCUGCAACUAUAAUAUGGGUAAUCGUUCCUUUUGGCAGGCCUCAUUUGAUGAAUUCUUUGGUCUUAUUACUAAGUAUUGCAUGAAUAAAUACCACAGUAUCAUGCAGUCCCUCCUUUUACAAAAUGCACCAAAUGUGGAUGACAUUGGAUCAGAUGCUGCUAAAGCAAUUAGUAAGGAAAUGCCUGUUGAACUCUUGCGCGCAAGCCUCCCCCACACUGAUGACCGCCAAAGGAAGUUAUUACUGGAUUUCGCUCAGCGUUCUGUUCCCGUGAUUGGAUUUAACAGUAAUGCCGGGGGCAGUGGAGGUCUUGUGAAUUCAGAGACAGUGUUAAGUUGAAAGAUAGCCAUGAGAAAUUCUUCUACUGAUAAUGGUUUUUGGGUUGAAAAGUCGCAUACAAUGCCACAACUGCAACCCUGAAAUUGUUCAAAUACAUUUGGUGCUCAAGUACUUCUGGAGCAAUCUUAAAUGGAAGUGUGAGUUGUAUCCUAUAUGAUGGAUGGAAGCUUCUUCCUCGUCCUAAAUUAUCUACUUGCUGUCAUUGUGCAGCAUUCAGAAACAAAUAUGCAAUCAGGCCGUUUAUUUUAUUAUGUGCUUGGCUUGAUUUGUUCCUCUUGUCUUUUAUUUUUCUAUUGACAAGGGAGCUUAUUUUGUUACUAUGUGUGGUAGGAACACACUAGUUGUUAGUAUGUACAGGUUUAGGUAAUAUAUGAUUCCAUGUCUCCUUUCUUAUUAUUACAUGGAGAAGGGUAAUGGUGGGUUGUACUCGCAUCAUAUUUAUGAAAGAACUGUUUAUUUUAAAGGGCUAUUGGGAUGUGCAAACUUUGCUGAGAAAGAGGUUGACAAUUGAGCAUGCUGAAAUUCAAACGAACACUGUAGUGAGGAAUAAGUUAUGUUGAACCUGCUGCGUAAUUUUAUCUUUCUUUUUUUUAAGAUACGAUUUAGAAUUGUCAAUUUGUAUAUAUGUGCUACUUAUGUAUUCCCUAACUUGUGAGAAUAUCCAGUUUAUUUUUUUACUGUUUCUGUAUGAGUUUGGCAUGCUUUUACUUUGGUUUUUGUUGAGGUUCAUUCCACUUUGUAGGAUGAUUGAAUUGUUGAAAGAAUGUACUUGUUGUUCCUCCCGAAUGGAAUUUCAUUUUGACAGUAAUGGUUUAGGCUGCUUGGUACAAUAUUAUUGUUCGUAACGUGUUUAUAUAUAUGUGUGUGUGUGUGGAUACUGAUUGUUUAUUUUAUAAACAAGGUACCUAAACCAUACCAGGCCAGUCAAAAUCGGACAGCCAUUCGGUCUGACUGAACCCUAGACCGGUUGUACACAACCCUUUCAAGCAGUUUGAAAAAAAGAAUAUGUUUUUCUAUAUCAUCUUUUGGGAAAAAAAUAUAUGUGAACGGGUUAGAUUCUUCAAUCAACAACAUAUUUGUAUGUUUUGCUUUGCGUUUCAUCUGAGUGUUGUUGCUUUGUCUUUCAUCUAUAGAAGAAAAUUGAGUUGUGUUUUGUGACUAAGGAGAGUGAUAUGGUAGUGGCAAGGAAAGUAAAUGAGGCGAAUACAUACUUAAAUUUUUGUAACUUGAAGCCAUGCUUUAGGUUUAUACACAAGCAAAAUCUGAUAAUUUCUUCUUGGAAAAAUCAAACACAACAAAACUAAAUCUCACUAUUUUAAACAAAAUCAAUUGAUAAAGUCUAUCAUGAGCAUCUUUUGUCAAUAUCCUAUUCCUACUUGCUGGGAAAUAACAACAAUCAUUUGGUAGAAAAGUCAAAUGCACAUUUCAAUCAUAGCCCUGUGUUUUAAAAAAUGAAUACUACUUACACCCAUCGCUUUCAAUCGCACACGCUGAUUAUUAACAACAUUUAGAGCGUUAUGUUGAGACAAUGGUCAAUUUUGUUCCUCUUCAAAAAAAAAAAAAAGGUCAAUUUUGUUGUCACACACUAAGGAAAGUAAUGGCGAUGGUAAGGAAAGGAAUGAUGAUGAAGGAGUGAUUUGGCUUGCUAAGAAUGGAGUUGUGUCAUCUUCGGAUUCUCAUAUUCGGGAGAGUUGUCAUUCUCAUGUGCAUUUGUAGUUUUUUGCUUUCUUUGGUGCUUUAGUUUUUCCUUUAGUAAGAAAAAUAUUUGAAUGAAAAAAAUGUGAAAGGAAAUACAAAGAAAUAAUUGGUAAGAAAAGAUAAACGGGGUUGAAAUGUAACAAUGAAACAUGACAGAUCCAAUAAUUUUUAAUAGUAAGUGAGGUUUAAAACAUAUUUUAUUUUAUUUGAGACUUUUUUUGUCUUCACAUAAGAUCUUUUUGUUUAAAAAGCUUAGUGAAACAUAUUUUUUGUUAGUGAGUUUAAAGCUUAGUAGUCUUGCUCUUAGACCAAUCCUCAUACGAACGAAUGUGUAUGUAAGGGUUUUGGAUUUUUGUGCAAUCCAGAAGGUAAUAAUGGAAAGAUUAAUGGCUGAAUACUGUGAGAUUUUGAUUCAAUGACAAUUGGGAAUUACAAUCAAACAAUAAUGUUGAAUCAAUUUGUUAAUGGAAUAAAAAUACUAGAAAGUAAAGAUAGAAGAAGAACCUAAGCACAAAUAAAUGCUUAGGGUCAUACCCAUCAUUAUUACUACUUAAUUGGUGUAUAACAUUGUAACCUAUAAUAUAUUUCUUAAAAAAAAACCUAUAAUAUUAGUUCAUAUCAUUGCUUAAGUGUUUAUCUAAUUUUUUUCUUAUUAGAAAUCGAUUUCCUAAUCUAUCUUUUUAGAAAUCUUUAAGUUCAUACUAAAAUCAAUUUUCAUAACCUUCAAUCGAUUCUUUCAAGUUCAUUUUCUAUAUUUCAUAUUCUUCAACAUAAAAAUUAAUUUAUCUAGCCCUAAAAUCGGUUUAGGUACUAAUAAACGACUUAAGUCACUAUAGAAUCAUACAACAAUCAUUACAAUUCACAUAACAACCAAUUAAACAUCAAAUAUAGCACAAUUAACACGAAAUGCGUACAUUAAACACCAAAUAACACAUUAACAUUGAACAUCAAACAAUUACCAUCCAAACAACACAUAAACGUUUGCAAACAUAAUAUUCAAAUUGACGACAUAUCAUUAGAGAUGGUCUAGUCGUAUAGCAAUUAACCUAAUGCAUUGUUCCCACAAUUAUGCAAACCCUACUUAAUGGCUAUGAAACCCAAAGAUCAUGAGACAUAUUUAUUUAUUAUACUUACCAUCAUCCAUUAUAUUCCUUAUUAAACCCUUUCGUACCUUAACUGACGAUUUAUUUUCACAUAAAUUUGGUAGUAGACGUCGAUACAACUUUCUCAAGUCUAGUUCUCAAAGAAAGUUCGUAGAGUUAAAAGUAAGAAAAAAAAAGUCGGUUUGAGUAAAUUACGCGAAACAAAUCUAGAUUAUAAAGUUUAUCGAUCAAAGGUUGAUUAUGAUUGACUAGUAAAAACACUGACGUUUUUGAAUUAGGUCUUCCACAACAACAAAUAAAUUUGAAUUCGAUUGAUAUUUGACACUUAUGGUUAUUUGAAAUUUUGACCCAAAAUUAUGAUUUUUAGCUAAAUUUCAGUGACCAAAUUUAGUUUUAAGUUCCUUUUAUAGGUUUGGUUUUAUUUUCUCAAAAGAUUGAGUUUCAAACUUAAAUUCAUAUUUAAAUUUCAAAAAUAGUGUAACAUACUUUUUUUAACCAACUAAUAAAAUUGAUUUUUGUAACAAAAAAUUAAUUUUUUAGAUUAAAAAUAACAUUGUAUAAUACAACUUGAUGAAAUCAAUCUUUGCAAACAUAAAAAAUGAUCUUCCAUAGAAGUUUAAUUAAUGUUUUUUCUAAUUCGGUUGUAGAGGUCUUAACGUACCUACACUUACCAUCUUUUAUCCGUUUCCACUUAGACGGCUUCACAGCGGUGAAGUUAGUGACGCCACAAUAACGAAAGGGAUUACGACAUUUGAUUACAUUUAACAAGCGGUGGGGAAUGGCGGGGGAACGAGUGGUCGAUUUUUUUAAGACGUUUCGCGGCACUACACGAGUUUGUGCAAGGUAUACUAACAACCGCGUUGCCUCCAGGAUAAAACAGCUCAAUCCACCUGUUCGAUUACGCACUGCACCGUAAGUAAUCAUUCUAGAAAUAACACCCUCAAAUAUGGUUUAAUCAAUCGUUCGAUUAAACCACUCUACACGGUACGUAGACCAUUCGAAAUCGACGAGAUAGAAAUUAGUAUAAAUGACAAUUGUCCCUCAGGCCUCAGCAGACCAUGAAGUGAGAUACACGUAUACAUUUGAUGUAUACUUUUGCUUACCGCUUUUUUAACUUUAAAACCAUUCAUUUUACCUUUACUUUGAUAAUGAUAUUCCUUUUAUGUCUAAAAAAUGUUAGAAAAUAUAUGAUUUGGUUACUGGACAUUUUUUGGCUUGCGUUUCAAGCCGCUCGACCGAAGCUGUAGAAACAAAACUGCAUGUUGAUAUCGAUGGAAUAUGAUUUUUGGCCUUUGGGAGAAAUAUCACUGAGGUAUGAUGUUUAAGUUAUACGUAACUUUUAGUGGUGUCUUUCACUAGCUGCAAACUCACAGAUGUUUGGAAGCUAUUUAGGAGAAAUUUUUGUUGCAUUUUUUAACUAAAUUUCACAAUUCAUUAUGACAUAAAAACUUUUUAGAAGUCUAUGAUUGUUGGGAGUCUCCAGAGGUUCCAACAUUUACAAUUAACGAACAUGUGUAUUUUUAAUUAUCACACUGAUUUUGUAUUCAUUAUUAUGUUGUUUACAAAAAUUAUCAUACUGAUUUUCUUGUGUGAACUUCAGUGUCACAUUUUGUGCCUAUCAGAGGUUAAUAAAUAAGAAUUCAUAAGUGAGCGUGAGCUAUUGAUUUCAGAUUGAUGUCAAUAACUUUGAGCACGUUCAAGUCAGCCAAACAUAUCUUAGAGCAUUUACUAUGGUUUCAACACUUAACACACACUUUUUCUUUUCUCAAUACUCCACAUCAUUUUAUCUCUCUUCCGCCUAAUAUAAUUCAACACUCAUUCAACUUUUACAAUCUCCAAUAUUUUUUUUAAAACAUUCAACGCUCUACCCAUCACUUUUUAUUUCAUAUUCUUAUUUAAUUUUAUAUUUUUGUUUUUAUGAUUACAUAAAAUUACAAUUAUCGAUUAUAAUUAAAUUAAAAUAAUAAACACUUAGCCAUUUAUCUUUUAGAUUUUUGUAAAAAUAAAAUUUAUUUAAAUAAUUUAUUUUUAUUUUCUUAUCUUAUAUUAUUAAUUAAAAGAAGAUUAAAACUUCAAAACAAAAGCUAAUAGAAAGAUAAUAAUAUUAAGAUAGUGAAAAGCUUUGUUUUUUUUUUUUUUUUUGUGUCAAAAUCAAAUGAAACAAUAUUCUAUUUAUAGACAAAAAAAAUUUUAUGAAUUUUGGUAAAAAAAAAAAUCAUUUACAGUGAAAUAAUUGAAUUCAAAUAAUUAAGAUGAAAUAAACUUAGUCAGACAACCAGCAAGCGUCACGUGGCCUACUCUUGCCCCACCUUUGCAGAUUUCAACAUGUUGAGUUCUUUCAACAUCUAUCUCUUCCACGUCAUUUUUCCUCAACUUUCAACACACAAUUGCAUGCUUUUUAAGUGUUGAAAAUGACAUUCAACACACCGUUGUAAAUGGUCUUAGUGAAUUGGAACUGUUGAGUUCUAUGAGCACAGUAAGAAUAAUAUUAAAUUUUGCACAUUGAAUCUUAACCAUUUCCUGCAACUAAGUCUCCUAUUUUUUUAUUAAUUACAAUUGUACAG